UAUUUAGUGAGUUUGUGGAUUAGACAUAAUUAAAAAUUUUCAGUCCGCAAACCAAUCGGCAAAAUAGUGGAUUGGAUAUGGAUUGAGUGAAAUCUGCAUCUGAUCCGCAGGCGUACGAAUUGGAUUUGGAUUGAAUUUCACCAAUCUGUGGAUUUGAUGGAUUGAAAUUUAUAAUCCAUAAAAUCAUGGAUCGGAUAUGGAUUGAUGUCUAAUCCGUAAAAUCCGAUCUGCAAACACCCCUAAUUAGUAGCGCAUUUCAAUCCUGAGUUACAUCAGAUGGAUGUGAAGACAUUGUUUCUCAAUGGUGACAUUGAUGAGACAAUCUAUAUAGUGCAGCCAAUAAAUUUUGUGUUAGGAAACCUAAAGAAUAUGGUUUGCAAACUUAAGAAAUCCAUGUACGAACUCAAGCAAGCAUCUCGACAAUGAUAUUUUAAGUUUCAUCAAAUGAUCAUCUCAUUUGCCUUUGAGAUGAAUUUGGUCGAUAAUUGUAUAUAACAUAAGUUCUGUGGGAGCAAGUAUAUUUUUCUAGUUUGUAGAUGACAUUUUGCUUGCUAGCAACGAUAUAGGUUAUUGUGUGACACCAAGAGAUUUCUAGCUAGAAAUUUUUAUAUGAAAGAUCUUAGUGAUGCCUUUUUUGUAUUAGGUAUACAGAUACAUAGGGAGAGUAUUCUUGGAUUAUCACAAAAGAGCUAUAUCGAAAAUGGUUCUCAAACAUAUGGCAUGCAAAAUUACAAACCAAGUGAUACCCCUAUUAGUAAAGGAGACAAGUUUAGUCCUAAUUAGUUCCCUAAGAAUGAUUUUGAAGAAAAGAAAAUGCAGAAAAUCCCUUAUGCAUUUGUAGUAUGAAGUAUGGUGUAUGCUCAAGUUUAUAUGCAACUAGAUAUUACAUACGUUACAUGGAUGUUAGACAGAUAUUUUAAGUAAUCCAGAAGUAGACCAUAGGAAAGCAGUCAAACGGGUCACGCAUUAUCCAUAGAGAAUAAAAGACUACAUGCUCACAUAUCGGAGGUUGAACCAACUUGAGAUCGUCAGGUAUACUGACUCUGAUUUUGCAGGAUGCCAGGAUAGGAUGAAAUCCACUUCGGAAUUGAUAUAUCUGCUAGUUGAGAGUAUUGUCUCCUAGAAGAGUGCAAAACAGUCUCUUAUAGCCUCUUUUACGAUUGCAACAAAGUUCACAGUAUGUUAUGAGGCAUCCGAUCAUGGAAUAUAACUAUAGAAUUUGUCUUGAAGUUGCGUGGAGUAGAUGGUGAUGAUAUAUCACUGAAGUUAUUUUGUGGCAAUAAAUCAGUCGUGCUAUAUUCCAAUAACAACAAGAACUCGACAAAGUAAAAGCAUAUAGACAUCAAGUUUCCAGUUGUUUAUAAAGCACAUUGCCACAAACUCCAUUAUUAAGGACCACUUAGUAAAUGAUUGUCACCCAAAAUGUUUUACGAGCACAUUGCUCAUACAAGUGUUGUGUCAUUAAAGGAAAAUUAAUUUUAGUUAGAGUUUGUGAUUUUGAAUGCUUUUAUGAUAUAGACAUUUUAAAGUUAUUUUAAUUUAUUGAUAUUUCAGGUUAUUUUCUACAAAAAUAAAGUUUUAAAAUAUUCACACCCUGAUUUGAAUAGUUUGAUCUAACAAAAGUUCAAAGUGGACCAGUUAGAAAUAGGCAUGUUAAGAUCACAUUGCAUGAAAUUUUCGUGCUACACAUCCACAUCAUAGUCAAUGUCAUUCAGUUGUAUUGGUAUAAUAACUAUUGAUGGUCGAGUCAUGACAAUUGUAACAAAGGUCGUUUUGAUCCUAUGUUGGUAUGAUUGAUGGACCAAAUUGAUUAUAAAUACAUUUCAGUAAUGACAGUAAAGUUGAGCUUAUACGGUUAUUUUUACAAAACAUAAUUAUAAGGUUACACAUAUAGCCUAAGUGGGAGAUUGCUGGAUCUUCAAUAAUCCAACGUUGUUGGAUCCUUAAUCUAACGUUGGGCUUAUAUUUGAAUAAUUAUAUAUUACAAACUAUCAUAUAAGAUUAAACCCAAUUAAAGUGAUUUAUUAAGGCAUUCAAGAAAAAUAGAAAAAUAUAAAAUCCUAGAAGAAACAAUAAAAAUAGAAAAAUAUGCUAAAAUUGAAAAGUGAUUAGGAAAGAAAUCGAAUUUCUAGUUCGACCAUGGGGUAGAAUGGCGUAGUUCUAGGUUAGAUGCAUCUCAACGCAAGCUUCGAAAUGGUAUAUUAUAAGCCUAAAAUAGACACCUGUAGCCCAAAUUAUAGCUUCCGAAAGGUUUCCUGCUUCUGAUAUGUUGAGUGUUAGAAAAUGCAUAUUUAUAAAGGAGAAGACCGUCAUUUUACAUUUCAAGUCUUACUAACAACCUUUACUUUUAUGUAUUUAACCUUCUUGUGAUUUAAUUACAUGUGUUUUAUUUUAAUUAAGUAUUUUAUGUAUUUUAGGGGCAUUAUAGUCAUUUCACAAUAAAGGAGAGAUCAGACGGCAAAACGGAUAUCACUUUUGAACUCAGGACGGUCGAAAACCUUAAGAGGAGCAUAAAAGGAAAAAUGGCAGCAUAUCAGUGGACGAAAAAUCUCGUGUACGGUACAUGCAUCACACAGGAUUAUUUUCAACCAAACCGCGUUACUGUUCAUCCGAGUCAAACCGUGUUACUGUUCAUCCGCGUGGUCAAACCGCGUACUGUUGACUGAUGACGUGGCACAAUCCUGAGCGUCCAAACUUUUUUUAAUCCGAUGGCCAUGAUUUACUUCAUGUAUCUAUAAAAAGGGGGCCUUCCCCCCUAAUUUGAUAUCUCUGAAUCCAUUUUUGGGAUCCAUUUUCUAUAAUUCCUUCUCCAUCUUGUAUUUUCUUCAUAUUUUAAUAAAUUCCCAUUUUGCCCCUAGUUCAAUUAUGAGUGGCUAAUUUUCUUUCAAGCUUGGGUUGAAGGUGAAGUCUCAACAUCUGUCAUGGGCUUAAUUUGGUAAAUUUAUUUUCUCUUCCCCUCUAGUUUUUGUGGAUGUUUUGACUUCUCGUCGACAAAUAAUAAUAUUCUUGUCUAGUACCGCCUUGGUUUCACCGGCCCUCUAGUACAAGGUUAUUAUUAUUUGGCACGAUAAGCCCUUAGCACCAUAUUGAUUAGAGCGUGGUUCAUGAGGUGUGGAUUCCCCCCUCAGGAUUUAAUUGGCAUUAAUACAGAUUAUUUAGCCCAUGAUGCAUGUUGAUACGGAUCCAGAUACCCAAGUACGCCAUCUCAAUAGAAUUCUCUUCAAUUUAUUCUUGUCAUUUCAAUUCCAAUUUUAGAAUUUAUUCUCGCCAUUUUAAUUUAAGUUUUAGCAUAUUCCAAAUCAUUUCCACCACAAAUCCAACCACCCAUUUACAAAACUAAUUCUACACGUAAUUAAAAUCCACCUCCUCGUGGGAUCGACACUCGUCACCAUUAGUCUAUACUACAAUAGAUUCGUGCGCUUGCGAGUACAUUAAAAUUUGCACAACAUGAUACACAACUAUCCUACAUCAUAUUCUAAAGGUAAGGAGCUAGGUAGAUGAUCUCAUUGCAUGUCUCUUUUUUCAUAAGGGCUUUGGGAAUGAUUUUGUGAAUAUAAAUAAAUAGAACGAAAACAAAAAAGAAAACAAAUUUGUUAUCAAAUGAUAAAACCAAGCAGGUUGAUUAAUUUGUCAAGACUAUAAUUAGCUAGGUACCCAAAAACAUGUCUGCCACCAUAAUGAACCUCUUCGAAAAUCAAACCCAUCAAGCCAACACUUUUUCUUCAAUAAACAAGAUCCAAUCCCUUGGAAACCUUUGUAAAAGAAUUUGACGUUUAGAUGAGGGAAAACUUAAAACUUGAAAAAUAAGUUCAUUCAAGCUAUAAAGAACUUCUUGAAAAAUAAAACAAUGGUUAAGAGAAGACGAAAAACUUUAAAGGGGCACCAAUUCAUUGCCGAGAUCAACGACAAUCUUGCUCAACCUAAUUCCAAGCGUUGUCGCACUCUUCCACCCUACCUUUAUCCUGGUUGUGGACAACCUCAUAAGAUUCAUAUUCUUAAUGAUGAUGAUGAUUCUAUUCCCAAAUUUGGACAAGUACCUCCGGAGGAAUCCAUGCAUUCAAGUGACAAUGACUCCAUCGAAAGUGAUCCCAGUGAAGAUAGUCUUAACUUUGGACCUUCCACUUUUGACCCUAGGAUCACCACCACUACUGCCACUGUUCCUUCUACCAUCGCCGAUCACCAACCGCCACCAAACGAUCCCUCACGCACAGUCAACAAUAGUGCAUGUCUAAGCGCUAUUCAUGAUCUUCCUACCUUUGUUGCAACUCAUGUUCACUCUUCUCCUCCUUCUGAUCAUAUUCCUUAUCCUGAUCUCGUUGAAUAUGCUUUUUCAUCAUUUUGAUCCCAAUCUUGUUCGUCUUGAGGCCGAAAUUUUGAAAUAAGGUCGUGAUAUUGCCACCCUCACUACUUGUAUCAGUGAAUUGCAAGCCAAACUUCUUCCCUUUUGCAAUCUUUUGGCAAAAGAAAUGGAGUAAUUUGUUUUCAAAUCUUCAAUUGCAUGAUGCAAUAAGUUUGGGGGAGUAGUAUUUUCAUUCUAGGAGGCGAUUUUAUUUUUGUUCAAGAAUUUGUAGAUAUUUGGUUUUCUAGUUUUUAAGGGGAGUUUAUCUUUUCAUUGAUUUUUUUUAUGUUGCCUUACAAUUUAUUGAUCAAUAAAAUCAAUAUUUUUUUUUAAAUUCUUGCCUUGAUUUAUCUAAUGAACUAAUAUGCUAAUCACUGAUUAUUUUGGUUAGUUCUUUGUUGUUGUUUGUGCUUGUUUUAGAUUUAUAUUUUAGCGCCAAAAUUCAUUGAAGACUUGUAUAAAAUUGCUUUUACGACAAGGAUGCCAAAGAGGGAGAUUGUUAAGUCCAUUAUUUAUAGAGUUGAUAUCUUAUGACAAGUCUAGUUAAAUUGAAAUUUUAUUUAUUGCAUAUCUUGUAAUAGGGAUUAAUUUAUUAGUUCCCUAGUUUACUGAGAUUCUAAUUUAUUAGGAAUAUUCGUUUCCUAAUUUAAUUAGAUGUCUAUUUUAACAAGUAAAUUAAUGAUGAGAUUCUAUAAUUGGCACAUAAGAUCUAUUUAGAGCAAGAAGUUGGUUCAAAUAUGAAGUUUAUUAAAUGCUCUAGAUAUGUCUUGGGAGACAAAUAAGGCAAGAAGAUAAGAUUUAUUCCUAUUCAGAUUCAUAGGAAUUAUAAGAGGAAAAAAACUCUUAUUUAGAAAGAAUCUAAGUCUUUUAAGACUUGUAAUUUUUGUGAAACUCUAGUGCCAAUAUAAAGAGAGGUAUUUCACAAUUGAAAUAGCACAACACAAAGCAUAAAACAGAGAAGCAAAAUUUAGCCUCCUCGCUAGAGAAUAUGAAUUUGGCACAUAAUAUUUUGUUGAUUUAUUUUCUUAUAUUCUUUAUUCAAAGUCUUAUAACAAUACUAUUUCUUUUCAUCUAUGUGGAGAGUUUAUCUGGAUCUUGGAUCACUAGACAUUGAAGAAUUGUUAUUGAUCACUUUGCGAAGUGCCUUGAGGACCGUGGAUCAAAAGGGGUAGCAAUUAUUCAAGAGAAGUAUAUUUAAUUUAAGGUUGAGUAAGGUAUAUGAUGAUAAACUGUAAGUGAUAGUAUUAAAUUUAUUAAAUCCAUAGGUUGUAACAUUUCAACUUAGUGAAUUACUUUUCAUUUGGGUGGGGUCUCAUAAAUGUAUGAUUGAUUAAUCCAAGCCACGUAAAAAAUCUCUGCGUCAUUUAAUUUCUGUAAUUUUAUUGUGUUUUAAAAAAUUAAUAUUUUUAUGCAGAUGAACAGUAACCAUGAACAAUAUUGUAAAUAGUACCAUAAACAGUGACUGUUUGGUACUGUUAAUAGUAUUUUCAAAAAAUUAAUUUCGUUUAUUAAUUUUGUGCUUAAUUUAAUUAAUUAAGCUUAUUAAUUAAUUAGUUUUAGGGUUCUAAAAUUGCCUACAUCUGUUUGUAAUAUAUCUAAAUUCCUUUUAGUGAUGUUGCUGAGAAACAAGCGAUAAAUGAUUUAUGAAUUUUUAGUUCUUAAUCCUUUUUUUUUACCAUUAACAAUCAAACAACUCCAUGGAUUCAAAAAAAAAUUAAUGAAUAUCGAAUGCACGAGUGACGUUACCUCAACAAUUCACAAUAAUGCUUUAACUUAUGUGCCAGAAAAAGAACAUGAUGGACAUGUAAAAGGAGUUGGGUCUGGAAUCACACCAACAUUGAUGAAUCUAGAAGCAUUUAACAAGUCUCAUCCUGCACAAAUGAAAAUGAAAAUGAAAGAUCUCAAAAAAUUGUUUGAGGAAUUCAAGGCGGUAUUCAUUGAGAACAUUAGUAUACAAAAGGUAAUAAAUAUGGUUAAGAAACCUUAUGUUUGAUAUAGUUAGAAGCUGCAAUGCUUAUUGUAUACUAUUUUUUUAAUAUAUUUUCAAGAUCAAAAUGAUAAAGUGUCGGUUAGCUUUGAAUCAUAUAAUAUGUAAACCAAAUAUUUUAAAUAUGUGAAUUGUUCUUGCUUUCUAACAUUUUCGAGAUCAAAAUGAGACAAGCAACUAGAACAAAUUUCUAAAGACACUUCGCAUGGGAAAGUAAGUUUUGAUUUUUAUGAAUUUAUCAAUGCUAUCCAUCAUUUCAUGUUGAGUCUCAAAACUCUGUUUCACACUAAAAUCAAUAGACUUUUGAGUGUUUUCUGAUAAAGAAUCAUUUCUUAGAUCAAAGUGUUAGAUUAGUUCAUAAUCGAAAUAUCAAUAGAAUGUUGAGCUUGGGAAAAAUUGUUUGAAUUUCUUCAUAUAAUUUGUUUCCCUCUGAUAAUAUUUUUGUUCGUUAUUAUAGAAUUAGGCUAAAGCAUGUGGAAGCACUUUCACAAGUGUUAACAAUGCUCUUUGGGAAUAGGAAAAGUUGUAGGAGAAGGAACAAUUGCAUCCAGAGAUCUACUUACAAAAGUCCAUCGUAUAUGUCAUGGACUAGAUUGUUGGAAAGUUUAGGUGACAGUUGCACUUAUAGAAGAUAUUCCCUUAACUGUUCUACAUUCGAGCUUCAUGUUCUUAGUGAUGCAAUUGGAAGCACAGUUACUUGGUAAAACAAAAACAAAAAUACAUCUUGUUGGAGUAGGCUUAUAAUUUGAUGCUAUGCUUUCUUCAUACUUGAAUCUUAUAGAUUAAGGAAAAAAAAUUAACUUGAGCUUUAAUUUGCACUUAUAGAUUAAGGAAAAAAACUUAACUUGAGCUUUAAUUUGCACUUGAAUAUUAUAUUCUGUGUAAAAAUUUAACAAUCUUCAACUAAAUUUUUUUAUUGUAUGGAUGCCAAGUUCAACUAAUUUUAUGAAGAUUUAAGUUUCAAAUUUUUACUUGAUUGAAUUGUUAUUAAUUUUACAAAAAUUGAAUGGUAGCGGAUUUCCAAAUUUAUUUACUAUCUUUUGCAGCAUUUUACUCAUAUAAUAAGUGGCCUAGCAAACAAUAUUUUGAUAAUGCUGUUAUUAUUAUUUUAUGCAACAUUUCUUACUAGAGUUGAAAAAGCUAUAAUAUUCAAUAGUAUUUAUUGCAUCCUUUAUUAGGACAUUUUAAUAACUUUUGUAAUUGUGUUUUCGCAGCAUUUUUGAAUGGUUAUAUAUAAAAGAUAAUAUUUCUUUUAGUGAAUGAAGAUGAGAUCAAUGAAAUUCACUUUGAGUGGAUCACUUAUGUUGGUGACUUGAUUUGAAAGAAAAUGUGCAAAAGAUGAAAGUAAUAUAGGUAAAUAGCAGAUGAUUCAAUUGAAGUACAUUAGUUUAUUGUGACUUUAACUAUGACUUUUUAAGAAUGAUUUUGUUUAGUCAUUGUCCUAGCAUGCUAGUAAAAUAAUAUUUAAUUUGAUUAUCAUUGUUGUAUAGAAAGCAAAAGUGAAGCAAAUUCAUGGUCUCGUCAAUUUGUUGUGGUUGAUUUGAUAUAAUGUAAAAUCGGGGUCAAUUUGCAUGGCAUAUGAUUAAGGCAAGAUUUUGGCCCUUAUUUCUUUCUCCAUCUCUAUUUCUCUAUUUAGAUGCUUUGUACUCUUAUUUACUGUUUCUAAUUUUGCUGUCCCUCAUGUUUUAUUUUAUAUAUAGAUAUAUAGAGUUUCCUUGGCACGAAAACUUUUGGGAUCAGUGGUGGAAGGCUUGCUAAGGAUUGAAUGGUAUAGAUUGUUCCUGUUGAUUGGGGUAUUGGCUUUGUUAUUGAAAAUGAUAAAAUUGGUACUAAUUUUGAACUCAAAGAAUAGUGAAUUUAGACAAAUAUAUAUUUUUUAAAACCUAGAUCUUAUUUUAUAUAUAUAUAUAUAUAUUUUUUAAAAUUUUAAAGAUUGUCCUUGUACAAAUUAGAGAAAUAUAUAUAAUUUAAAACUAUAUUUUACUUUUAAUAAAUAUAGUUCAUGUUGAUAUGAUUUUGAGUUUGUUAUUUUAUUGUUUAGUUUAGAGUUUUAUCAUAUUUUCAAUGUAUAAUUUAUAUCAUGUGAAGCCUACAAAAGAGAUUCCAUUAUUAUAAUUUUCUCUUAAAAAAAGAUGUAAAUUUUGAUUAUUUUAACUAGUCAUAUGUAAUUGACAUUUUCUUGAAAGUUACAAAUAUAUGACUAUUAUAAGCUAUCAUACUCAUAUAAUAUGUGCAUGUUGUCACUAUAUUUGACGGUCAAAAGAUGUAAAAAGAUUUGAUAGUUUUUAAAUGACUAAUGUAAUUGAUUGUUUUGAUAAAUGUCAAAUAAGGAUAUUUGACACAUGCAUACUUGACAUUUUUUAACUGUCAAAUAUACUUAUCCUUAUUUGAUGUUUUUAACUAUUAGUUAUUCUCACUACUAGAAAAAUGGGCUUUACUGAUACUAAUUUAGUGUCAGUAAUUACUUUUCUUGACACUUAUUAAUUGUGUCAAUGAUGCUCAAGCCAGAACACACUGACACUAAUUUUUAGUGUCAGUGAUUAUUGUGUCAGUAAUUAGUGUCGUUAUAGUAUCACCUAAAUAAUGACACGAUGAUGUUAGUAUUUGAUGAUAUUAUUUAUACUUCAGUGAUUUAUGUGACUAUAGUAUCAAGAGCACACUGAUUCAAUAACAUCAAAAGUUAUUAUUGUCAUUUUAAAUAUUUAGUGUUAAUAUUUAAUGAUAUUAUGCUACUUUUGGUUAAUAGUAUAUUUUUAUUUUUAUUUUUAUUUUCCUGCUUGUUUUACAAUCAAAAUAAAACUCAAAAUAUAUUAAAUAUACCAAAUCUCACAACACAAUUCAUAUAAUAAACAUCCCAAUACAUCACUUACAUUAAUAUAAUUUAACUACAUCAUUGUUUGGAAAAGAAAAAUAUAAGUACCAAAUUGAGUUUCGACCAGUUCUAAACAACAGAAUACAAAAUUAAGUUUCAUCAAACAUUAACCUACAAAAUUAAGCAUAAGAAUGUCACUGAAUAUCCACACAUGGCUUCAUUUUUUUCCCACCUACAAGUACAUAAAAUCAAUUAGUACACCUUAAAAAAUAAGUCUUGGAAUUUGGAAACAAUAUAUAAAGUGCAAUAAUUUUUCCAGUGCACUAAUAUUAAUUUGAAAGAAUUUUUGUUUUCAAAAAUUACAUGGCAUGCUUAUCUAAUGAAAACUUUAUAAAUUAACAAUGAACAUAUGUAUUAAUUUGAAAGCAUUCAACUUACAAGUAAUCCUUAUCAAUCUUAAAUUGUUGGAAUGUCCUCUAGUUGACCAGCAACUGAUGCUCCACCUAUAAAUUAGAGAGACAUUUAUAAGAAACUGUGGCAAUCUUAAACAAAGAAAUGUAAAUUUCAAAACUGUGUAUAAAGAAAAUCACAUAAAUCUAGUAGUGCAUUCCGCAUAUUACAUGAUCAUCCGGAAGCUGGUUCUGCCCAAUCAAAUGUUCAUCACUUAAUUAAUCUAGAGAAACCAAAAUAAAAAUCUAGCUACCACUUAAUUAAAAAAUGUUCAUCACUUAAUUAAUAAGUUGUAGUUGGCAAAACAAAAUAUAACAUUUAAUCAUUAAAUAUUAUCCAAGUCCAACCCAACAAAAUAAAAUCAAGGAGCAUUAACAGAGGUCAACUAGCUCCCACCGCCCUGGGCUUAUUUUUUACAGUUUCUUGUGAUUAUACUUGUUACAACUACCAUCUCAUAGUUAUUGAAGAGGUCACUUUAGAUUCGGAAGGAGAGAGGAAAAAGUCAAAAUUAGACCAUAGUGAUGGGACUGGGAAUUAAGAUCAAGUAAAGAAAAUUAGGCAUAAUUAUUGUAAACAAAUAAAAGACCAUCAAAACAUAGCAGACAUACAGAGAUCACCAACAGCAAGCAUGGAUAUGAAAUUAAAACAACUAAACAAAAAGUUAAUUAUUUUAGUAAGUAGACUGAACUAACCAUAUGCUUCUUGCCACUAUAAUAACCAUAAGAACCUGACAGUCAUAAACACCAAAGCUUGUGAUUUUCUCUAGCCAGGAGCCCACCUGCACUGAAGUCCAUGGGUACAACAGUAUCCAAAAUAAUAAUAAAAGCCAUGAUGGGGUUUUAAAAAGUUCAUAAUUCGGUAUUAGAACAAUUGAUGGAUAAACUUAAAAAUUUGAAGUACACCAGUCAGUUUGAAGUACUUCAUACAACUUUCAUAUAUAAAAUAUAAAUGUGAAAUAACAAAUCAGCUGCUGGAGAAACUAUUGCCUUGCUUUACAUAUACAGAGCAUCCCAUGCUCAUUAUCAUGGAAUGUCCCAAUUCCCCAUUCUUUUAUUCCAAAACAAACCAACAAUGCAAGACAUACAAAUUGAGACGUGAAAUGAAAAAUACAUCAAACUAAUAAGCUUCAGAAGUUUACCCAAAUCAAUUAGCAAAUGGCACAAAACACAACAUUAGCAGGUAGCCUGCUAGACAUGCAUGCUAUUCUACUACACUAAAACAUUAACAUUAAAAGUCACAACCAGUUUAAAAAGAACUACGAGCACACAACUGUAGAAGUUCUCCAGCAGCAAAAGAUCAGGGAAUGCUUACAAUGAAACUGGCCCCCAGUUAUAUACAUCCAUCCAUCUGGAGGUGGAACCCACAACCUCAACCAUCAAAUGGUCCAGGUGGCAAGAUCCACCCUCAGUCCCCCACCCCUUCUUCAAAGCUGAUCACGCAGAAAAUCCACAACGCUAACUAAACUUUUAAAACAAAUAAAAAGAGGUUUCAUCAAACACUAACCCACCACCACAAGCCAUGAAAGUGACAGCAACAAGCAAGCCAUUAAACCAAAGCAUGUACCACCAUCCUCAUCAUCACGUGUCAUGUCAAAGCCACAAAAAUUUAACACUGAGUUACGGUUUGAUUUGAUGACGCAUGUUCUUGGAAGCCUCCCAAACACUAGCUAGUGCCUCUACAUUUGCCAACAGUGCUUUGUUUCACAUUCUUUCUUGUGCCAUCGCGGGCUGGACUGAAGCAAACAGGAAGGUAUUCAUCACAUGGAAAGUCAAAACUCCGAAAGUGCUUCACCAGCUCCUCCUUUCCCUAUAUAAUAAUAAAAAAGCACUUUUUAUUAUUUCCCGAUAAGACUUUACACAAGUAACGAUCAAAGCUUUUGUUCUCAAUCUUAAAACAGAUCACAAAAAGUUCAAACAAAAAAAAGGGCCAACUCCUAACACAAUCCACCAAUAAACUCCCCAUUAAACUUCGAUCGUACUAUGGAAUAACAAAUUACUGCAAACUCCAAAAUAAAAAGGCUCAACAGAGAACAAAAACAAGAACUUAUUAAUCAGGCAGCUAAUCUAAAACACAUCCAAUUUCUAUAAGCCCGCAUAGGAUCCUCAUUUAUAAAAUAAACCCCAUUUCGCUUAAACCCUCAAAGCCACAAGACUUAAACAAGAAUUUAAAUCAAUACAUAAAGAAAAGUGCGACCUUCCAAAUAAACAUGAAUUUCUCAACAUCGGCAACAACCCAGAAAAUUAAAAUUACAAAAAAUAAUCAUAAGCUAAAAUAAAACAAACCCAGUAAUUAAAUUGACAAAAAAAUAUUAAGCCAUUACCAAUUGUUAAAAUAAACCUCUCUGCCUUUAAAGUCCUUGAAAUCCUCCUUUACAAUUCUAGGCAUAGGCGAACCUUCUAUAGCAAACAAAUUAACUAACUUCUCAACAAUUAUCUCAAAUUCAAGCAAAUGGGUUUCGAGUAGCGAACAAAAAAAAGUGAAAUUUGAGCAGGAAAAUAAAAAAACUCCGAUGAAAGAAGCCUCAAUUAGGGUUUGCUUUGUUUUUCGAUUUGGGGAAAAAAAGAAAAAGGAAAGAGAAGCCUCAAUUAGGGUUUCGCUUUGUUCUUCGAUUUGGGGAAAAAAAGGUUUCGCUUUGUUUUCGAUUUGGGGAAAAAAGGAAAAAGGAAAGAGAAGCCUCAAUUAGGGUUUAGUUUUUCAUUAUUUGUCUGAAUUAAUUGAAUUGAGCUUGCAAAUGGACAACUGGAAACAAAAGAGAUCGAGAAGAGAAAAAGGAAAAAGAGAAGGAGAAAGCAAGAUAAUGAUAGGGUUUGGUUCAAAUAUUUGCGUCCAUAAACGAAAUAAAGUUUCCAAGUCUGGGUUAAGUUUUGUUUUUUAAUUUAUUACUGCUAUUAUAUCUUAAUUCUACAAGGUCCAAUGGUGUAUUGUCCAUAUUUUAAAGCUUUGAAUUUUAAAAGUCCUGGGUUAAUAUAUAUUUGUUAAAAGCGGAAAAUGGUGCAUAUGUACAAAAUUACUGACACUUUUCACAAAGUGUCAGUAGCUAAGUGUCAGUAAAAGUCAUUUUUGUAGUAGUGUCUAUUUUUUCUUGUAGUGGUUCAUCCCUUAAUUUAAUUCAAGAUUGAUAAUUAUAUUAAUAUAGGAGCACCAAUAAAUCGUUAAUAAAAAUUUUAUAUAAGUAAAAUAAUUAUCGAAGUUUAAAUAAUUUUGUGGCUAUUUUGGUAUUUGUACUAUAUAAUGGUAUAAUAGUCAAACUAAACUUAUGUAAAAGCAUAUGGUUAUUAUCCUUUCACUACUCGAACUAUGGUGUAAUAAUAAAUGACUACAAGAAUUAUUGAAGCAUAAUAUUUUACUAUAUUAAAUACGAAAAAUUAACCGUUUACUACUUUUCCGGUAAUUUUGCUAAUCGGGCUUUUGGUUGACUAGUAAACUACCAAUAUUGCCCUUAAUUAAUAGAUUUAAAAAUAGAAAGAAAGAGUAGAGAUUUUUAAAAAAUUAUAAAAAGCCUCAAAAGUAUAAAAAUGUGACAAAAUAACCCUUAGCAUAAUUAUAUAUCAAUCCAAAGUUUUUGGGUCGUCCAAACAUUCAAACAUUGCCAUCACCUUUAAUACUUGACUAAGGGUAUAAAUCUAAAAUGGUUUCAAACGUUUGUGCUGAUUUAUAAAAGUAUUUCUACUAUUAUGGGGUAUUAUUUGUCAUACUCUCAAAUUUUGGGGCUAAUUACAAUAUGGGGUUAAAUUUCCUACAAAUGCGCCCCUACGAAUGCACUAUGACAUCCAUAUUUGACAAACAAAACUAACGAAAAAGUAGUAAGCAUUAAUUUUUCAUAUUUAUGUAGCAAAAUAUUGCACUUUAAGAAUUCUUGCACUUGUUCGUUACUUCAACAUUAUUGAAAUGGUAAAGUAUUUUUUUUUUUAACCUAGAGAGAUGUUGGAUUAUUGGUGGUUAAAGAUGGUUAAAAGAUUUAAGGGCAAAAAAAAAAAAUUAAUAAUGAUUUACUUCGUUAAUUGUCGAAAUUUCUUCUUUAUUUGAAAUUAUUAAAAAUAAUAUGAAUUUUCUGUAAUUAAUUUUUUGAAGUGGGGUGGGUUUACAAUUAAAGUAGGGGAUAGUUGAAUAUUAUGAAAUUUUUGACAUUAUUUUUUGGUCAUAUAUUAAUAUGGCUGGUAAAUUAAUUUUUAUAUCACAUAUUUAAAUAAUUUAUUAUGUAUUAAAUAGAUUAAUAUUAUUGGUGAAUUAAUAUUUGUUUAUUACAUAUCUGAAUUAUUUAUUAUAUAGAUCAGGAGUGGGCAAAUUCAGGCUUGGAUCGAGUUCAAAUCAACAUAAUCGGGUUUCAAAUUGAUUAGACUGGAAAACAAAGGUAGUUUGAACUCAAUCCAAACUUAUAAUCUAAUCCGAAUGUAAUUUGUUUUUUCUUUUGAUUGUGUGUAAUCGAUUAGAUUUUCAAAUCCAAUACAAUCGAAUUAGACUGAUUCCCACCCGAUCGGGUAUAGAGGGGUUCAUCUGCAUCCUAUUCGAAUCUAAAUUUUUUUUAGAUUGGUCUAGUUAGAUCAGGUUAUUUUUCCAUCCCUACAUUAAAUAGGUAUUAUGUUGUUUCCAAAAAAUUAGAUUUUAUAUGUUAAAUUUCUUUAUUUUACAAAUUAUUGUCCUUACAGUAUAACUUAUCAGUGGUCAAAUAGUGGUCAAAUUAUGUCAACCGAUCAAGAUAUAAAAAUUUCAAACAAUUAAAAAUUAUGUAUCAAAUUUUAAAACUUUUAUUUUUUUUUUCAAAAAAACAACGGACAUUAAUGUUAAAAGCCAAACAAAAUGCAUCCAUGCAGUUCGAAUAACUCCCUUGCCCGGAAAAUGAAUUAUACAAGGAUAGGAAAACAAAGAGAUGAUCCAUAUUCGUUCCUUAAUAGACUUGGAUUUGGAAUUUACAACUUGCACAUGUAGCAAAAGGUAAUAUUGUCAUCUAAUUUAUGGUGCUUUUAUUUUUAGAGAAAAUGUACUCGUGUGGAGAUUGGAAAGUGAGCGAACGCUUGCAUCAUACAUGACUACAUGCUGCUCUAAGCAGCCACCCAUAUAAAAUUAAGAAAAUAUUGUUCCUUAGCUAUGUGACACAAGACAACCACCAAAUACCAACAAAGUAGAAAAAGCUAAACGGCAGUGAAUGCUCAAAUUCUUACAGUGCUUUUUGGGCUCCACCUCAUCUCACAUUUAGCCUUCCCUCUCAAUAAUCUAUAUAUGUGAGAAUGUCAGAAAAACCAUAAAAGAAAAUAAAAUAAAAAAUAAUUAUAGGCAAGAAAAUGAAACGCAGACCUAGUGCAUUCAAUUUCUAUGCAACUAAAGUCGGUUAGUUGACACGUGUAAUUUGAUGGCAUCAUAAAUCAUAAUAUGCUUGAUAUGGAUUCAUGUAAUAUCAUACAAACUUGUGGUCUCUAGCUCCCUGUUUAUUUGGUUCACUUCCUACACAUGUAACAACUUGGUAUAUCAGGCUAGGAAAUUCCCUGUUUCUAAUGGUAAUAGAAACAAAAUUUCACAUCAAAAGCAUGCCAUUGGAAAUUGGAAGUGGUGAUGAACUUGGUACGAUAAUUUUUUUUUUUUUUUUUUAUUGGAACUUACAGCGGAUAUUACUAAUACAACCGAUAUGCGAUAGCGAUUUUACAUUUGGAUAAACCCUUUCAUGGACCAAUAAGAUCUUAAAUUCUUGGGAUCUAUCUAAUUUGGCAAACUAAUUUCAUCAAGAUCAUCCAAAGAUAAAAAUACUUCAUCCAUGCAAGAGAGUUCUGCCCCAUCAUCGUCGUCAUCACAAUUUCUUUCGAAAACUCUACAGAUGACCCAUUUACUGUAAUCCUGAAUACAAUACGAGCAUACAACAAAUCAAAAAAUAAUCUUUAAUUUUUUAAUAAUACUAGAGAUUUCAGUAUUUUAAUUUUAACUUCAAUCUCAACUGAUGUGGCGGGUUAUUUCUAACUGUUAUUUGAAAUUUAUUAUUAAUGUUUAUAUAAUGUAAUAUCUACAGGUAAAGCUAACCUGCCACAUCAAUGAGAUUUAAGUUGGAACUGAGAAUCUUUGCAUUCCUGUUAAUUUUCAUAAAGAAUAAAAAAACAUAAAAAGAUAUAUACACUUACAGUUUUUGAAUUCACUCUUCUUUUAGAAGACCUACUACUACUAGUAUUACUGCUGGAAGCAGCUGCAGAAUCGGAGAGACGAUAUUCUUGCAUUAUCCAAUUAGUUUUAACUCCAGCAGAGGCUUCACCGAGGUGAAAAAUGUAAUAUUUCUUCAACCCAACUUUCUUAUCAGCCCUUGUAAGAACCGAUUCUUCUAUUCCCAUUGGCUUCCAAUACCCAUUACCCGUCAUCCUAUUUUGUGUCUUUCGACUAUAGAAGUACCACUGGUUACCUUCAGCAAGAGCUUUACCUACAUAUGUAUAUUGACACACAGAAUCAUGUUUUAUAAACGAGUAAUAAUAUUCGGACAGAAAAAUUUGAUUGACUGCUCAUAGAAACAAGUUAGCGUUCUGAUAGCACUUCGUCUAUUUGGUAUUUUUCUUAAUAAAUGUAUACAUAUGGAUGCAUGCAUAGAAGAUACCAAAAAUAUAAUAAUAAUAAUUAACGAAUUUAAUUAAGUAAGAUACUUGAUCAAAUAUAUACGUACCAUUGAGUUGCCAUGGAUCAUAUGGAUAAAGAUCAAGAUCAGGGAUCACAUCAGGGUGGCAAGGCAGGAGAGCGACCUUACGUUGAAGAAAAUGAACAAGAAGCUCUUCAUCAGUAGGACAAAAUCUGAAACCAGGGGGUAGAUUGACAUUAGCAUUAGCAUUAAUGUUAUCUCCCAUACUUACGUAUGGUAAUGAAGAAGAAAUUAAGAAAAGGAAAGAAUAGUGAUAAGGAAGUGAUUGGAUGCGGCUGAUAUUUAUAACCUAACAGAAGGGAGAAGAGAGAGAGUGUAUGACGUGAAAAAGAAGGUGGUAUUGAUCUUGAUGAUCACAAAUCACAAAUCACAAAAUGGAAAGGAGUCAGUUGGAGAAUUGGAUUUGAGUUUUGAUAUAUAGUUAGUGUUCACAAAUCACAAUUCGGCUCAUGCUCCAAAGGCGGCGGGUAACGGAACGUAUUUUUGGAUACUUUACAAGUAACGGUAUCUGUUACUGUUGGAGGGAACUGGAGAAGGUGUUUCAGAUUUCAGCUAUUUUAUUUUCGAAGAAAACGUUUUGAUAGUAUAGUACAUAUUAAAAAGUCGAUCCUCAUCACACUUCAUGCUUAGAUCAUACAGCUGCUGUCAUCCACGUGGCAUGCAGAAUAUGCGUUUGGUCGUGGACCAUAAAAGAAAUAGGUGGCCCACAUCUUGGAGUGCUGUGUGAGCCUGAUGCUAUGCACCACUAAUAAUAAUAAUUAUCGUAAUUAUAUAAUUUUAUAUAAAUAUAUUUAUGCGUAUGCAUCUCCCCAGCAAAAGUGCAAUGAGUACUGGUUCCUGGUUAGGACAAAUAAAUAGACUUUUUUUAUAUGAAUAAUAAAAGGAGUUCAACUGAUUAUCUUGGGUCAGCAGUCACUGGAACUGAACAAAUAAUAGCCCCACAUUUUAAAAAUAUAAUUAACCAAUUAUGGUUAAUUCUUAGAAAAGAAAACAUAUACAGGGGGAAAAAAUAAAUAAAUAAAAGAAGAAGCAACAAAGCUAACGGGUACUUUACUUACGAAUUUUCCAAGUAAAUGAUGAUUUUAUUGCUUAUCUAUUGGUUUUCAUCUUCUAUUGUAUUUUACUUCUCCACUUGCACGUGAAACACUCAUUUGAGACAGUGACUCAAAUGAGUUGACCCCAUUGAGCCAAUCCAACUAUCCAAGUCACCCAAAGUGAAUGUCAUUACACAUGCCUUUCAAGUUUCCAAACUAGUAUUAAUUAAUUCGGACAAGUAGCCCGUCCAAGAAAACAAAGAAAAAAGGCCAAACAAAAUCAAAUUGUUGUAAUAUUGAUAAUAGAGGAAGUAUUAAAGAAAGAAUGAUUAAAUAAAAUAGAAAGGAGCCUAGCAAAAUAUUGCAAAGGAGGAUAGCAUUUCUCACGUCAUUUUUUUUUCUCAAUUUUGAAGUAAAUAGAAAUAGCAUACAAGUGCUCUAUUUAUAAUAAUUGCGAUCGUGCUUUGCAAGUUCAAGAAGGCAAGCGGUGUGCAUAGCUAAAAGCACAUACAUAAUUUCACUUGUAACACAUGUGGUAAGGUGUGUGUGUGAUCGGCGUGCACAUUAUAUCAAGCAGUCUUCAUGCUUCUCAAUAUAUCAAAUAUGAUUUUCCUUAUUUCUCUCAUAAGUCUAUAGUAAGCCAAUCUUUAAAAGUGAUUUGACUGAUUUGAUUGGUUUUGGUCCAUAGCCACACUUCAACAUUGAUUUUCUUAAUCAGUGAUAUCACAAAACUCCUCUUGGAUAUCUACCACUUCAUCAUAGUUAUCCUUGAACUUUGUUAGGGAACAAUCCAAUGAAUAAAAAAGAAAUACAAUUUGAUGAAACAUAAAGUAGAGUUGACGUACUUCAAGACUGCCUCCUUAGAAAUCUUUACCAGUAAAACCCAAUGAGAAAACCUGGUUAAAGGAAAAAAUAGUACACAUAAUGUCCAGUUUAGCUUUAAAAGUUUUUCUCUAAUCUAAUGAGCACUCCUCUUCAUGAAUUUAAAAGUUUUUCUCUAAUCUAAUGAGCACUCCUGUUCAUGAAUACUCCCUUUGGUAAUAUGUAUCAACUCAAUAAUUUAUUGAAAUGUCACAUGUCAAUACUUUAUAUUCAAUUGUUGAUGUAGGGAACCUCUCAUAAAUUAUCCUACAAAAGCCAAUGACAAAAUGUUUCUUGUCUAUGGGUGGGUCUCAUGGGAUUAGCUAUAUCCCUGCAUUUACAAAAUCAACAAGAUCCAAAGUUUUCGUUAAUUCAUAAAUGAAAUAAUCUCAAUAAUGGAAUAUACGAAGCCAGUCUCUUCAAAUUAGCAAACAGCUUAAUCCUAUAAAAUAGAUUUAUAUAAUGUAUAUAUAAACAUGGGAAAUUAUCAGCCAUAUACCCUUAAAUGACACCCGUAUCAAACGUGUGUGAACAUUUUUCAAGUAUAUCACUCAUAUACCCUAAGUCGAAAAAACAUUUCUACCGUCCACCAAUCCGUUAACUUCCGUUUGCAAGCGCUGACAUCAUAAGGGUAGUUUAGUCUUUUAAAAUUGAGGAAACUUUGAUUUAAAAAACGACAUGUCAUCCCAUUUAUCUAGUAAAAAAUGAUAUGUCAUAUGAUAUAUAUUGAUAAAAAUGACAUGCCAUCCCAUUUAUUGGAUAAUUGUUAAUAAUUGCUAAAAAAAAACUACUUUACAACCGAAUCUACUCCUCCAAAAUUUAACCUAAAUUUUUAAAGAUCUACUCUUCCAAGCUCCAACUGAAAAUUUUUAUGGUAUAAUAUGAAUUUUUUUUAUGGAUAAUUGUUAAUAAUAUGUACCAUUAAUAAUUCAUUUUUUUAAUCAAAAAAUGUAUUGUUAAUAACAAAAUAAAAAAAAAUUGUGUAUUGAAAAUUUACAUUAAUUUUUGGGGUAAAUUUAUCUUUUUACCUCAUUUUGAGUUUCAAGGGCAAAAUAGUCAAUUUGCCAUAAUUCUGUUAACUUUCUAACGGAAGUUAACGGAUUGGUGGACGGUAGAAGUGUUUUGUUAACUUAGGGUAUACGAGUGAUACACUUGAAAAGUGUUCACACACGUUUGAUAUAGGUGUCAUUUAAGGGUAUAUGGCUGAUAAUUUCCCUAUAAACAUUAAUAAGAUAUGAAACUAAAGAUUAUACACUCACUUUAAGAUCAAGAGAGCAAAUUUUAGGAUAAUCAAGGGUAAACUUUAUCCAUUCUGAAAAUUAUAUUCCAAAAAUAUGUGGACAAAAAUGCUAGAGAAACAAUGCUUGUUCUAUAGCCUAAGAUAGUAAUUUGUUUCCCAAAAACAUAUAUAUUUUAGUCUCUCUAAUCAUAAUCAAUAGUCUUUAGAUCUUUUUAGGAGUUCUAAUUAUUGACAUAAACUGUAACAAAGUUAGAUCCUAUUUUAUAGAGUAAUGAUAGAGGCACAACCACUUUAUACAAAUAAGUGUGUACAAAUUGAUGCGGCAUCAAGAGAUUGAUUGUAUAAAAUCAUCACGGGUCCACAUAAUUAAAAAAAUAAUUGUUAUUACUUUUCAGUCAAUCUCUUCAUGCCACACUAGUUUGUACAAAACUAUUUGUUACUCUAUCAUUAUUGUAUUUUAUAAACAUAAAGGAUCAUAACAUAUCCUUCAUUUUAUCAAGAAUUCACAAAGAUCUUGAUAACUUUACUAGCUAUGUAUAUUGAUCUUCAGGCAUUUUGAAUCAUGAAGGGAUUCCUAUAAAAUGAAUAUCAAAUGCCCCAUAUAAAUUACCACUACUUUCAUAAGAAGCAUAUUAAUGCUCUCUCACAUAGCUGAAUCAAUUGUAAUGUAUUUGCACGCACUACGGGAGAACAUGUCUCCUAAUAAUCAAGGUUUCACAAUAAACAUUGUGCAUCGAGUCAUAUAUGAGAUUCUAUGAUGUCAUAUUACCUUUUCAUACACAUUCCCAUUUAUACUCAAUAAAUUUGACACCAUCAUCAGGUGUUUGGACUAUCAAUCCAUUAUGUUUGGCUAAGAAAGUCAAUUCCACCUGGAAUACUUCUUUCUAUUUGUGUCAAUCAUGCCUCAGUCUAUAUUUAUCGAUGGUUGGUGAUCAUGAUAAUUAAUAAUGUCCAUAGCUAUUGUAAAUGCAAACCUUUCAUCAAUGACUAAGCAAUAUUAAUAGCAUUUUCCUUUGAAGUAGGUAGUGUCAAAAUAAGAGCAUAGGUCUCCAUAAAGACCUUUUGUUCAAUGGAAAUAGUAGCUUGAGCAUCAAUUGCAGUCAAAUCUUGAAGGAUGCAUCUAGUAUCAAAGGAUAUUUAUUUUAUAGAUUAUUUUACUCUAUAAAAGAAAUAACUCAAGCAUUAAUAUAAUUAGAUCUUGAAAGAGCAAUAUCAUGUAUCUACUCUCACAAAAUCCUGAUUUUUUUUCCACUUUAAGGGCUUAUGCCAUAUCCUAGGCAUAUACCUCCACAUGAGGUCUUUCAGGCCAUUUUGGUCUCCUUAAGGACAAUGUACUUUUUAUUAUUACCUUGAGUAAAGUCAAUAGAACCUUAUUGAUGAGAUUAAGAAUAAAACUAUCACAAGCACAUGAGAUGAAGAAUAUUUAGAUCUUAUUCAAGUUCCUGUCGAACCCGUUAUAAGAGCUAGAGUAAAGAAAUUUAAAGAAGCACUUAAUUGAUUGAUUCAAGCAACUUGGGCUCAAUUAAAUUCGUCGAGGCCCGUUGAAGGAAUCGCACAUGAUAAAUGCAUGAUUCAGACUCUUGAAGUUUCCAAAUAAUCACUUCCAUGAAAUAGGAAGUUGGUUUGCACAUUCUAACGGGAAAAUAUAUUAUUUUCUAUUUUCAGAUACUUUCUCGUUUCUUGAGGAGGCUAUUAAGGAAACAAAUCAGUUAUUUCUAUUUUAAUCACCUAGUUUUCAUUUAAUUGAUGUAAGACAUUUAAGCCAAUUAGGAUCCUGAUUUGAUUUAGAUUCUUUCCUGUUUACUUAGAUUAAGAUUCUGAUUUGGUUUAAAUUCUUUCCUAUUUACUUAUAUUAGGAUUCUAAUUUGAUUUAGUUUCUUUCCUAUUAGGGAAGAUUCAGAUUCAGAUUUGAUUUUUGGGUUGGGAUUUAUUUCCAAAAAUUCUUGUAACCAACCCAUAUAAAGUACUUGUAUCCAAUAAACAUGGGAGAAGUUUUUGUUAUGCAAUUAGUGAUGCAAUUAGUGUUAUGUUCAAGACAAAGUAUGUAGAGGAAGUUGUACUAAUGUGACUAGUACUAUCAUGGUAGAGAAGUUAGGGCUUCCUAUACUUAAACACCUACGGCUAUACAAACUACAAUUGUUAAAUGACAGUGGUGAGGUGAAAGUGAACAAGUAGGUACUAAUGACUUUUUAGAUUGGCAAGUAUGAAGAUAAGGUGCUUUGUGAUGUAGUGUCAAUGCAGGCUGGACACUUGUUAUUUGGGCAGCCUUGGCAAUUCAACAGACGUGUGAAACAUGAUGGCUUCACCAACAAAUAUUCAUUUGUAUUUAAUCAACGCAACAUCUCUCUUGUUCCAUUGACACCAAAGCAAGUUUAUGAAGACCAAGUGAGCCUACAGAGAGAGAGUGAGGAAAAGAAAAAAAAGAGAAAAAGAGAGUGAAAUUCAAAAAGAGGCCGAGGAAAAUAUGAGAGAAAAACCAAAGAAAAAUACGGCCAUUGAGCAAAAAUCAGAUGGAAAACAAAAGAAUUUCUACGCGAGAGCGAGUGAGAUGAAAAAAACAUUGUUUUCACAUCAGCCGAUAAUUGUACUUUUGUACAAAGAGGCAUUUUUAAACACUAACGAAUUUGACCCUACUUUGCCUAGUUCUAUUACUUCUAUUUUGCAGGAAUAUAAGGAUGUCUUUCUUGAGGAAACACCACAUGGUUUACCUCCAAUCUGAGGGAUUGAGCAUCAGAUUGAUUUUGUACCCGGUGCAGCCAUUCCAAAUAGACCAGCUUAUAGGAGCAAUCCAGAGGAGACGAAAGAAAUUCAAAGGCAGGUUAAUAAUUGAUGGAAAAAAAAGGUACGUGAGAGAAAGCAUGAGUCCAUGUGCAGUUCCCAUUUUAUUAGUUUUUAAAAAGGAUGGGACAUGGAGGAUGUGUGUUGACUGUCAAGCCAUCAACAACAUAAUGGUAAAAUAUCGACAUCCUAUUCCUAGGUUAGAUCACAAGCUUGAUGAAUUACAUGGGUCUUGUGUAUUUUAUAAAAUUGAUUUGAAAAAUGGAUAUCAUUAGAUUAGAAUGAAAGAAAGAGAUGAAUGAAAAAUUGCUUUUAAAACAAACUAUGAUUUGUAUGAAUGGUUAGUCAUGCCUUUUGGUCUAUCUAAUGCCCCGAGCACUUUUAUGAGACUUAUGAAUCAUGUCUUACGAGCUUUUAUUGGCAAGUUUGUUGUUGUUUAUUUUGAUGAUAUCUUCAUUUAUAGAAAAAUCAUAAACGAUCAUGUAGUACAUUUGAAAUCUGUUUUAGAUGUGCUUAGAAAAGAAAAGUUGUUUGCUGACCUAAAGAAGUGUAUUUUUUGAUUAGAUUAAGGAUAAAACUAUCACAAGCACAUGAGACGAGGCAUAUUCAGAUCCUAUUCAAGUUCUCGUUGGACUUGUUACAAGAGCUCGAAUAAAGAAAUUCAAAUAAGCACUUAAUGGAUUUAUUCAAGCAACUUGGGCUCAAUAAAAUUCGUGGAGGCCCGUUGAAGGAAUCGCACAUGAUAAAUGCAUGAUUCAGACUCUUGAAGUUUCCAAAUAAUCACUUCCAUGAAUAUAAGGAGUUGGUUUGCACAUUAUGGCGGGAAAAUAUAUUAUUUUCCUUUUUCAAAUACUUUUCCAUUUCUUGAGAAGGCUAUUAGGGAAACAAAUCAAUUAUAUAUAUUUUAAUCGCCUAGUUUCCAUUUAAUUGAUGUAAGGCAUUUAAGCCAAUUAGGAUUCUGAUUUGAUUUAGAUUCUUUCGUAUUUACUUUUAUUAGAAUUCUGAUUUGGUUUAAAUUCUUUCCUAUUUACUUAGAUUAGGAUUUGAUUUGAUUUAAAUUCUUUCCUAUUAUGAAAUAUUCAGAUUCAGAUUUGAUUUUUGGGUUGGGAUUUAUUUUCAAAACUUUUUGUAACCAACCCUAUAUAACGUACACUUAUCCAAUAAACAUGGGAGAAGUUUUUUUGAUGCAAUUGGUGAGAGAGUUAAUUCUCUUUGGUUCUUUACGAACUCUUUGAACUUAUCGGAUUUCCGUGGUGUUCAAACUCUUGACUUAUCAAUCAGACCAUCCAUAGCUGAUUGUGGUGCCUUCACAUACCAGGGUUCGUGCUUUCAAUAAAUAUUGGGUCGAGGUUUCAUUUCAUUCUUAGUUUAGAUUCGAUCUUGGAAACUAAGUUGAUUAGGGUCGCGUCAGUUCUUGAUCGAGUUCGUAUCACUUACUGUUUUUAGACACAAGUUCCUUUUAUAUAAGGACCAAUAUGAAUGAACCAAUUGGACUACCAUGCUUUUGGGGUGCCACUGAUAAUUCAUUGGAGUCAUUUUACAACUGGAAUAAAUGAAUUUGUUUCUUUAGAUGCACUAGAGGUGCAUUUGGCUGGUGAUUUGUAAUUCACUGUAAAUAAAUUAUCUUCUACAUUUUGUUAUCAAUUUGAGUUAUGCAGGAAUCAAGAUGAUACAUAUAUAUCACAUGCCAUGAAAGCUCACGCUUAACAUAAUAAGGCAGCUUUUUCUCAUUCUCAAUAGAGCAAAGUUUUUCCCAUCGUAUUCCAAUUACCAGAAGUAUGGUAAACAAAUUAUUAGCUAGGGGUUCAAGAUAUAUGUUAAUAUAUGGUGAGUCAAAACUUAUAAAAAUUUUCCAAAUGACAUUAGAUCCCAUCUUAGUGCGUUGGAGGAGCAUAUCAGGCUUCUAUAGCGCAACCAGAAGUGCAUAAGUGGGGAUUAUCAAGUUGAUGACUCUGUAUCAAUUGCAGUAGGGAAUAAUGAUGACAGGCAGAAGCCUUAAUCGGAUGAACACCCCAACAUGCCAAAUAUUAUGUCCCUCUUCGUAAAUAAAUAAUAAUAAAGUUUUUAUAAUCACCUUAGUAGCAAAUCCAUAUUCAUUUCCAGAGAAAAAUUUGUUAGACGUCGUCAUAUAUAUAACAUAAAAUACAACAAAUAUAAAUAUAGAAAGCUCAUAAAAUGUAAUAGUAAUUUUAAUUGGCCUGGAUAUCUUCAUCUUUGUUUUCAAAGAAGUUUAGGUGUAUGACAAGAUCUCCAAAAUGGUUUUCGUUUUUGAUAAUUUUAUUGUAACCGUCAUAGGUCAAUAACAUUUGUUACCAUAAAUAUGACCAUGCUCAUAAACANNNNNNNNNNNNNNNNNNNNNNNNNNNNNNNNNNNNNNNNNNNNNNNNNNNNNNNNNNNNNNNNNNNNNNNNNNNNNNNNNNNNNNNNNNNNNNNNNNNNAAUUUGACCUCGACACUCACGUUUAGAUCGGCGGAGUAAUAAUACUAUAUGAGUUACAACAAAUGAGAAAUAUUUUAUUCACCAAUUAUUAUUGAAAAAUAUAUAUGUCUAUAUAACUAUAGAGUGAGAAAUAUUUUAAUUUAAAUUUUUAACAAAAAAAUAAACUAUUUAUUUCACGCAAUUCAAUGGUGGAGCAUAUAACAUUAUGAAAUGUUGCUUUGACUUUCAAUAUCAACCAUUAGAUUAUGAUAUAUUAGUGGCUCAAAUAUUGUGUCAAAAUUUUAAGUUAAAGUAUCCCAAACCAUAUCGUUAUAAUGGAAAUAUAAAAACAUGCAAUGAUUUUUUUCCUCAUUUUAUCCAUUAAAUAUUAUUUGAUGUGAUAUUUUAUUUAUUGUCACUAUUAAUUAUCAUAAUAAAAGUAAUGAUUCUUCGUAACAUAAAAAUUUUAUAAUUACUAUCAAAGAAUAACAAUAAAAUAAUCUUUCAUGAUUUAUAAACUAAAGUUAAUUAGGAAUAUGUGUUAGAUUUAACUUUUAUGAAAUUAAUAAAGUGACAUUUGAAAAUAAAAUGAAAACAAACUUGUGAAAGUUAAAUUUUAUAAAGCUCAGAUAAUUUUCUAACAUGUCAAUAAAAAUAUAAAAAAAUUUCUUUCACUUUUUUUUCCCACGUAAAUAUUAUCGGAGGCAAUAUUUUAUUUAUUGUCACUAUUAACUAUUAUAACAAAAGUAAUGACUCUUUAUAGCAUAAACUUUUAUAAUUACAAUACAAGAAUAUCAAUAAAAUAAUCUUUCACGAUUCAUAAACUAAAACUCAUUAGGAAUAUAUAUCUAUUCGAUUUAACUUUUAUGAAAUUAACAAAGUGAUAUUUGAAAAUAAAAUGAAAAUAUAUAAGCUUAUAAAACUUAAAACUCCCACCAUGUAAUGAUAUUAACUGUAAGAUAAAUAUAAAGUACAAAAAAUAAGUAUGUUAAAUGGGUGUUAAAAAUUAUACAUACUUCAUGAUCAAUUAUACAAUGGCCCUUAAUAUUAUAUAAAAUAAUGAGUAUUUGAAUAUACAAUAUUAAAUUUUAUUAAAACAUGUGUGAUCAAGUAAUUUUUAUAUUACAAGCAAUCUCAACAAUGAGUUUAUUGAUAUAACUAUGACAUUUACUUAAUUAUAUGUACUUAGUUGUGUUAUUUAUUAGUGUUAUAUCAUAUAUAAAUUUUACAAUUGCAACUUAUUUAUUUGAUUUGUGUUAAAUAACCUACCAUUAUAUUUUAUACUUAAUGGUAAUAGAUUUUGGAAGAUUUAUUUAAAAAAGAUUAUCACAUUUCAAAUUUAAAAGGGGAUUGAAAAAUAAUUUUAAAUAAAAUAUACUAUUUAAGUGAAAUUGUUUCAAACUCUAAGGGUGGUCAUAGUUAUUUUACAAACUUCUCUACCCCUUACACGUUUGUUAACCGUUUACCAUUAUUUUUUAUUUUUAUUUUUACCUACAAAUAUUGUGUACCAUUGAUUAAAUCCAAUGGUGCACAAUUAAAAACAUUAUUGAUGCUGUGAAAAAAUUACAUCAUCAUAGAGGAACCCCAUAAAUGGGCAGAUAAAAUAAUAAAAUUAGGGAUAGAAUACUUCUAGUAAUAGAGCGAUCUCAUGCUAAUAACAUAUUGUGAUAUUGAUAAUACAAGAAGUAUUAAAGAAAGAAUAAUUAAAUAAAUAGAAGGAAGCCAAGUAAAAUAUAUCCAAAGGAGCAUAGCAUUUCUCACGGCAUUUUAUUUCUCAACUUUGAAGUAUAGAGAAAUGAGUCUUAAGUUACAUCACUAACUUAUAGCAAACACAAAAGUAGUCACCCAUAAUAUUUUAAGUGUUUUUACUUGUCAUCAUAUUCUUAUAUUAAGUGACUAUUUUUGGAUUGUUAUAAGUCACAUUGUAUGUAACUUAGCCACAGCAGAAAGGACAUACAAGUGCUCUAUUUAUAAUAGCUGCUGAUAAAACGUGCUUUGCCAAGUUGAAGACCGCAAGCCGUGUGCAUCUAUGGCCAAAAUCACAUACGCAAAUUUCACUUGUAACACAUUACACGUGACGAUAUGUGUGUGAUCGGUGUGUGCAUGGUAGCAAGCGAUCUUCUUGCUUCUCCAUAUAUCAAAUGUGAUUUUCCUUCUUUCUAAGUCAAGCCUCACAAGUGUUUUGGCUGAUUUGGGUGGUUUUGGUGGAUGGCCACACCUCAAUACUGAUCGAUCAGUGACAUCACCACCAAAGAGUAGGGAAACAAAAUCUAGACGAGCACUCCAAGUAAACCACAGAUGAAUAGUGGAAAAAAACUAUGAACGCCCACAUAGCGGAACCAAAAAUCAAAUUCAAUUACAAUACCUACCUAGCACUCGGAACUCGACACGGGACCUCCACCUCGAACUCAACAGGAAGACCCAGAAAGCCGUUGAACUGAUCGAAGGUGACGUGAGUAAUGUGCCGGACAUUUGUGGGACACCCGAUCUCCAUGUUAUGAACGGCGGAGAUCACGUCUUUGCGUCUUUCAACACGACAAGACACCAUCGAUUUCCUCAAUGCCGCCAUAACAAACGCUACCAGCGAGAGCUGGUUCUGUUCCUCUUCAGUCGUUCUCGCUCCUUUUGUCGCCUUCCCAUUCCCCCGUCCCCGCCAGUGCAGCCACCUCCCUUCGUCACCAUCACAAGCCCCGUCAUUCGGCUUUUAUUGUUACUACUAAUCCACUGUAUUAAAUUCCUCUUUAAAAUUGUAUAUCUCUAAGGGCUCAGUUUCUGGUUAUUAUUAUUUUCGCAAAUUGUAUAUCCUUCAACGGUCGCCUACUUAAAAAUUCUUGUCGCAAAAAGAACCGAUUCGACCCGAACCCUCGAACUCGACCCAGAUUCCGUUUCCUUUUUCGGCCACUAUACCGGCGAAAGUUGGUAUCGAUAGGAAGCUCGUGCGACGCCGGUCAUGUCCAUGCCAUCCUUAUCGCAGGAAACCGUUCGGAAAGCUGUCGAUCGAAGCCGUGAAAAGCCGCAAAAUCGCCGCUUCAAUUCACCGCAAUUUCGCCGGUUUCCGGUGACGGAACCACUUGAUUUUUGUUCCCCACAAUUCCUUCUAUCUUUUCCGACCAACCAUAGCCACCGGGGGAGUCGAUUUGCCGUUGAUCGGCCGUUGAAAGAUUCACAGUUUUGUGAGAAAUUAACUUAAUAUUUGUGAAGCAAAGUUAAAAUAAAAAUGAGUAAAGGGAGUUAUAUGAAAGUUUAGAGCAGUGCUGGCACUAAAGACAAAAACAGUGGUACGGUACCACCGUGGUACCGUAGGUGAAUCCUAAAUUCUGACAAUUAAUAGCUCAUAAUUAUUUAAUUUUUCAAUUUUAUCACCAAAUCAUUAAAAACUAUUAUAUAUUGAAACACGGAUUACAAGAAUAUUUUAAGUAUUUCAUUAAUUUGAUUUCAUGAAUUAGGUCAAAAUGGCACCAUUUUAAUAAUAGAACAAUCAUUAAUUUCACACCUAAUUUUUAAGUAUUUCAAAUUACCUCCAAGGAAUUCUGACAGUAGUACAAACUAACUAAAUUUCAAUUUUUAUCAAUUAAUCACUAAUUAGUAAUAUCAUUAGUGGAAAUCUGACGUCACACAGGUAUUUGAGAUAUUUCAUUAAUCCGAUUUGUAAGGUGAAGAUGACCGCAUUUUAAUAAUAAAACAUUAAAACUCAUCAAAUACGGCUUCCCCAAACACAUUUCCUACCAAUUCGUUUUCUUUUAACUUUGGUUUAUUCAAGUUAAUAAAUAUAUUAAUUUUAUGGCUCAAAUUUUUUAUUUGUUUAAUUUAAACUAUAUAUUUUUGUUUAUUUAAUUUGUUAUUGGGCAACUUUUUAAAUAAUUGAUUUUCUACAUUUUUUUCCUUUCAGACGACAAAAUCUCUUUUUUGCACACUUAAAACAGUACUAGGGACAAAAACAAAUUAAUUUUUUACUAUAGAUUCUUUCAAAGAUUUGGUUACUUUAACGAUUUGAUGGUAAUUUGAUAAAAAUUAAAAAGUUAGGUGCUACUAGGUAGUGUUAAAAUUUCCAGCUGGUGAAUUGAACUUUUAGCAAACGUUAGGUGAGAAAUUGAAAAUUUUCCAAUUGAAAAUUGAUACAGGAUAUGGUGUGCUAGGAUAUGAGUAGUGUAACAUGGGUUCCAGAUGGCAUCAUGAAUCUUUGUUUUUUGUGCCAUAUCUGAAUCCAAAAUAAAAGAUAAAGAUACAGACCUACUUCAGAUUCGUAAAAUUAUUAAGAUCAGUACAUGUUUAAGAUCUUUCAUGAAUUCAUCAAUUUUAAGUAUUUGACAAGUUCAUCAUCAAUAUUUUUUAAUCAAUUAGGAGAGAAACUUAACAAAUUUAAACUUUUUUAAACUCCAAAACAUAACAAGAAAAAUAAAAGAGUAGCAAUUUUUUUAAGAAAUAAAGAUUAAAAUAUAGUAGUAUCAACUAAAACAUGUAAUUCAUCCUAAAAUAAAAUUAAGAAAAAAUAAAAUGUCAUACAAGUCUAAUAAAAUGAAUAUUGCAACUUAUUAAUGUAGCUUUGACUUUAGUAAGUUUAAGAUAGAAGUUUAGGAUCCCGCCACGGGUGCGUGAUGCAUCAUACCCCCUUUUUUGUCUUUUUUUAGUGCACCCCUUAUUCUCUUCCAUAUUUACAGUUUAUUAAAGUUUAUUAAAGUAUUUUCUUUCUCCUCCACCCCUCACCUCUAUAUUCUUCUGGAUUUUUUUCGAUUUUUAAUUUAGCCUAUAAUCAUUCAAUUGCAAUCAAUAAAAGACGACAUUCUCAUUGAAUCUACUUCUUUGUUACCUUAAAAUCCAUUUACUCUAUCACGUAAGCAAUAAUGAAUUUAACUUUUUGUAUAAAAGAAAGUCACAUAAAUAUAUUUUUGUAACCAUACUCUAUUCAUCAUAUAAAAUGAAAUUCAGGUGUAAACAAUUUGGAUUUUCUUUUUAUAUUUUAUUAUGUAUCUUCUUCCCAUUUUCUCCUCUAUGCGUCUCUCCAUUUUUUUCCUAAAUAAUCUAACUCUAAGGCUUUCCAAUAAUUAGUUUAUUAUUUUUUUUAUAAGUAAAACUCUUCUUUGUUAUGUCAAUGAAUUUAUUUUUUUCACAUAAAAAUAUUUUAGCAAAUGGCCAAAAGUGAGAGUUUUAAUAAAAAUUCAAAAUCUAUCUUAGUUUCUAUCGUCUUUAUUGACACAUCAGUCAUUUUUGGUCUCAUAAUUAUAAGUUGUGAGAAAGAAUACUAGAAACCAAUCAUCAUUAUUAGUGAUUCUCGCUGAGAGACCUUGGGAAGAAAGAUUAGGCACAAAAUUUUGUAAACUUUGACUUUUUUAAAAUUUUCAACAAACAACAAGGACUCCAUUAUUAAUAAGGCCCUUGAAACUACUUUCCUAUCAUAUCCAAUGGUUGUAGCAGAAAAAGACCAAAAGAGGNNNNNNNNNNNNNNNNNNNNNNNNNNNNNNNNNNNNNNNNNNNNNNNNNNNNNNNNNNNNNNNNNNNNNNNNNNNNNNNNNNNNNNNNNNNNNNNNNNNNAGGCAUGUACUUGAAUAUGGAUGAAUCCAAAUCUGAAGUCAAAUCCAUAGUUACUCCAUAUAUGUGUUGAAUCUAUUCAUCUUUAACCAAAUCCACUCUAAAUCCAUUUUGGACUAACCAAGGUAUGACUAAAUUUGGAUAAUAUGCAUCAUGGGUUAGACUCACCUCACUUGCCAUCUACUCAUAGGGGUAAAAUGGGUCAUUUAAUUUUGACCUAAUAAUAAGUCCAUUACAUUAAAGUAUCAUUUACUUUUCAUAUUGGAGAGAGAAUCUUGAGAAGUUGGAAUCCUAACAUUGAGUGUGUGGAGUUGUAUUGGAUCUAGAUUGUUUAUUUAUACUAGAAUGAAAAUUUAGAAUAUGAAUCAUAAUCUCAUUUAUAUGUCUAUUUUGUCUUGAAUUUGGAGUGAAUUAUUCUAAAUUAUAAUUUUAUCCUUAUUUAAAAGUUGUUGUUUUUAGUUAUAAGUAAAAAUAUAUAUUUGUAAAAUAAACUUUUAUUUUACUAUUAAUUUUAAUUAUAUAAAUUAAUAAUAAUUAUUAUUAUUCUUAAUUAUGUAGAUCAUAAUUUUUUAUUAAUUUUAAUUUUAAUUAUAUUAAUAAGAGCAACACAAAUGAAAUGUUAUUGUUAAUAAGAUAGUACAAAAUUAAUAUUUUCUUAUAAUAAACUAUUUAUUUUUAUUAACUAUGAAUAUUAAAUAAAUAUAAUACUAUUAAAUAUUAAGUAGAUAUAAUAAUAUUAUAUUUAAAUAAGUUUAAUAUUAUCAUUUUUAAUAAAUAUAACAUUAUUUUAUUUUAAUGAUAUAAUUAUAUUAUAUUUAAUAAACGAAGGAUAAAAAAAGAAUAAGAGCGAAUGGAGUCCUAGUCCCAACUCCCCCAAUGAGAGUGGGAAUCCCACUUCUCACUUGAAAAAUGAGUGAGACUCCCACUCUCCUUAAAUGUGCUAGUAAAUGCUAGAGUGGGCGAAAUCUACACUCUCUACUCCCACUCCAACAAGUAGAUGCAUCAUAAAAUGAUGUUCUUUUUUUAAAAAAAUUAAAUAAAAUUAUUAAUCAUGUCGUUGGCAAUGGUCACUAUAGAUGAGCGACUUGUAGAGGGUAUGCAAAAAUCAUUGGAAAUUUUAACUUGAUAAUAGGUAAAAGAUGCGGUGUUAAUAUGUUGGAAAAGUAUUAGUGAGUUGCUAUUUCAAAGUAUAAUUUUGAGUGUGACUUAUUUUAUAUAUGUGAGAGAUUUCAUGAGUAUGUCAAAAUAAUGUAUUUCUAUACUCAAAAUGAUGCUUGGGUGAAUGAAAAAUUGAUGUUAGAAAACACUCAUUGAUUACAUUGAAUAAGAGUUGAAGUUACAAAGAUUGUAACAUUCAGUUAAAUUUAGAAUUUAUAAUUGCUAGUUAAACAAAUUCAUAUUUAAAUAGAAAUUAAAUAAAAAAUUUAAUAUGUGAUUGAUGGGGCUGCAAUUAUUCUUUGAAUUUAAUUUAAUUGCAAAAUUAAAUCAAAGGUUUAAUGGACAGUCAAAUUUAUAGUAGUCAAAUAUGUGGAUGAAAUUUACCUCACAUAAUUCUAAAAAAACAGCAUUCCUCUUCAUUUCAUAGGAAUGGGAUAAGAGAUAAGAGAAAAUCCUAAAUAAGCAUUGAAAAAUAGGGAUACAACAUCCUCACUUUGAAUCUAAUUCAAAAAUUAAAUCAAAAGUUUAACGGACAGUCAAAUUUAUAGCAAUCAAAUUUGUGGAUGAAAUUUACCUCACAUAAUUCUAAAAAAUUAGCAUUCCUCUUCAUUUCAUAGGAAUGAGAUAAGAGAUAAGAGAAAAUCCUAAAUAAGCAUUAAAAAACAGGGAUACAAGAUCCUCACAAUUCCUCCUUUAUAUUCAUUUUGAUAGAGUUCAAACAAGAUCGAAGUUCACCAUAAAUAGCAUAGUGAUGCAUUAUAGCUAUUUGUUCGCAUUAUAUCCAGGGAGAUAGACGCCAUGCAAAUCUUGAAGCACCACGAUAGAAGGCAUAACUAUCUUAAGGAUAUUGUAUUUCUCACAAGCCUCGUGUUCUUACUUUAUCUUUCUCUUUCAAUUGAUUGUCUCAGUUGUACGUUUAACUACUCUUCUUUGUAUUUCUAGUUGCUUUAAUCUGUAAUUUGCAGAGAGUAUGCCAAAAUCAUUGGAAAAUUUAACUGGUCUUUUUACAAAAAAAUUCUAAUGGAAUAUAAGGAAAAUGUGGCUAAUUGAUACAAAAUAUAAACUAAAGAUGGUGCAUAGUUAUUAGCUUAAAUCUUUUGUGACUAUUUGUCAAAAAAGUUGCUAGUUCGCAGAUAAUCUCCCUAGCUAGUACUAUUGUUGUUCUUAUUUGUGUCAAUCUAAUUUAUAUACCUACUUAUUACAUACAUGUUUGGGCAGAAACAAGAAAAUUGUAAUAAAAUGCCACGUGUCGAUGAGGGGUGCCAUGGCUCUAAGUGAUCAUUGUACGCACUUGAGGUACCUGACAUGCACCAUAAAUUUGGAUACCCGAGGUACCUUACUUACACCACAAGGUCGGAUACGCGAGGUACCUAACCUACACUAUAAAUGAGAAUAUCCGAGGUACCCGACUUAUGACACAAACUUGGGCACCUGGGGUACCUUACCUACACUAAUAAGUGCGGCACCUAAGGUACCUGACAUACACUAGAUAUGCCUGGAGAUUAAGAAGGUACAACGGGUACUACAAAUCAUAUAUAAAAAAGUCGAGGAAAAAUCUUUGAAAGUUGGUCACGAGAAAUGUCUCCAUCGUCUAAAAGAUAAUAUUUGAUUUUGUGAAAAUCAAAUAUUAGAAUAUCAUGCUGAAAAACCGACGACAGUCAACUGUCACCUCUGAAGGACGCUGCACCAAGGACAGUGGUCAUCAGCCGUCCUGCCAGACAACCUCUGCUGAGGUAUCUUGGACCACUCUCCAGCUUACACCACUUGUCCAAACGGAUAAAUUAUACCAUUAACGCCUUCUUACUCCCCAAGAAUGCUCUCAACGACCCUAAAAAUCAUAAAAAGAUAAAAAGACAAAAAAAAACUGAAAAAGGACAGCCAAUAACCAUUGAAAAUAUGUCAUGUGCCAAUUGGGUUAUUCCAUAUAUAAAAGCGUCCAGGUUCUAUUUUCAUAAUUCAAUCAUCACACACACACUCCACAAAAAAGAAAGGCUAAGGUCCUCCUCAACCUUAAGCUAUUAUUUUCAGAGGGCUGGCAAACUUUUGCCACCAUAAAAGAGCUUGAGUUGCUGACUUGAGUAUCGGAGUGGAUGCCGGGCCACUCCGGCUCCACCUCUAACCUCUUUUCCAUUGUUUUUUAGGCUUAAAGCUUAUCUUAAAAGAUCUCCUCUCUAGAUUCCAAGCUUUCGCUGUCAUCACCAGCCUCCCAACCCUCCUUACCUCCUUCGGAUCUUAAAAAUAUCAUACACAACAACCUAAUGUGAUACCCCAGUUACCAAAAAAAAAAAUAUAUUGUUCUAAAUAGAUUUUUUUCUCUUUUCUUUUCCCUUCAAAAUCUAUCUAAUACAAUAUCUAUUACUUUUCAGUUGUCUGUAAUUCUCAGUACAUAUUCUCCUUGAUAUAUGCAUAAAUUACUUGCUAAACACAAGAUAAAGCUAUCCGUUUCGAUCUCUAGAUUAGUGUGAUNNNNNNNNNNNNNNNNNNNNNNNNNNNNNNNNNNNNNNNNNNNNNNNNNNNNNNNNNNNNNNNNNNNNNNNNNNNNNNNNNNNNNNNNNNNNNNNNNNNNAAUAUUCAAGAGUAAAAUGAAGCCAGUAAAAUGGUGGCGUUGAAGCAAGAGGGCUGUUUCCUCGAUGCACAUCGUGAGUUACAAACUUGUCAACUUGGUUCAAGGGCAUUAUUUUUAUUCACUAGCUUCCAUGCUAUGAUAAGCUAUCCCCUUUAGCUCAAAAGCACAACACCACAUCUUUAUUGUAAUAAUGAAGCAAUGUGAAUCAUAUUUGUGAAGUGAGCCCUUCUCCAGCGCUUUAGAGCCUAUACAUCAAUAAAAUAAAAUAAAAACCUUCGAUUUGAAUAAUUCCUUUUUUUUUUCUAGUGUCUAUUAUUUUUCACUUUUAUCAUUAGAUUCUUUUUUUAAAAAAUUAACUAUAAUAUUUUUGAUGUCAUAAUUUUAACUUUCAAACCUUACUUGAAAGAUUGAUAAAUGUGAUUUUUAAUAUGUAAAAUUUUUGUUACAAAUUAGGAACCUAUGUGAUAAAAAUAAGAUGCAUUGAGAAUCUAAAUAUAUCAUCUUCUUUUUGUCUUAACAUAACAUCCACAGAAUCCAACUGAAAAAAAUGAUAAUGAAAGGUUUGUUUGGCACAUUCAUUAAGUUCGUCUAGACUACAAAUUUGUACUGACUAAUCAAUCGUUGACUUCAUAAAAAGUAUGCACUAAAAUGUAUUAUUUUUAAUAAUAUUGAAGCAUUUUCAACACAAAUCAGGCCUAACUACAUAUUCUUCUAGGUCUGCACAAAAUUUUAGUUUUUUUUUUCAUAAUUUUUUAAAUGUUAUAAUUAUUUAAAUCACCAUCCACCAAUAUUCAUUGGAGAUUCAUUGUCGUCGGCAAACGUUCAUACUACUGGUGAAACUAUUAUUUGACAUUAGACCGGACAAUUUUUGAAAUUUGUAAUUAAUUAUACUCAAGGGAAGAUCAGAUUAAAAUAUUCAUAGAUUUUUAAAUAUCAAACAAAAAAAUAUACGGAAGAAAAUGGAAAUCCAUAUAAUUAUAUUUUAAUAAACAAAAGAUAGAGCGAUCUGUAUGAAAGUUCGUAAGCGCAGACCCAUGUUACAGCUUCGCCACUGCUCAGUGCUCACUACAGUUUAUCAUUUGCAUCCAUUGUCUGCUCCCGCCUCUUCCUAAUUUUGGACUCAAUUUCACUCAUAUUUAGUAAUGUUAGAAUCUUCAUUGCUAGAUCUACCCAGAGGUACAAAUAUCAAUCUUUAACACAUUGAGAACCAUUUUCUUAAAUAUAUAUUUUUAUAAUUAAACCAAAAAAAUUGGCAACGAAAAGACUUGAUGCAGCACUAAGCCAACAAUAAACAUGAAACCAACAAUAAAUGGGUUCUAGCAUAUAUGCUUAAUUUCACAAGAAAUAAAAUAAAUCUGAAAAGAAAAGAAAAGUUCUCAAUUGAAAAAUAAUAAAUUGAAUAUUAUUGAUAGGAGGUAACAACCAUAUUUAUAUUAGUAAACUUAAUCUUAAACUUACUACGUGAGAGAAGUAAACUCAAAUCUUAAAUUAAAAUUAAUCUGACAAUCAUCAUUUGUUGACUAGUCAUUGACCUAUUUUCAAUCUUUUUUUCCCAACAUUUAAUGUGUUGUUCCUCUUUUAAAAGUUUUUAAUCAAUAAAUUAAUUAAAAAAACUUGAUAAAGGCUUAAAUGGUAAAACCUUGGAGAAUCUAGAAUUGGUGAAAGGUGAUUAAAAGCGGCAGGUCAGUGUCAGUUCUUGGAAGGAUUUUGUGCAUUGAGUGUGAUUGCAUGCGGCGUUGGGUUAUCCUAGAACAUAACAAUUGAUCGAAAAAUAUAAUAAAAAAAGAAACGAUUAUAAGACUCAGACUAAUAUUUGAUAUUGUUCAAAUAUAUGUUCUUGAAUUCACAAAAAAAGAAAACUCUCAAAGGAUAGGAAAAUAUCUUAAUUAAAAAAUAAAAUUAAUAUUAUGAUAAAAGGUUAAAAAGAUCUAUUAAUAAUAUUAGUAAUAACCUUAUACAGUAGAACUUUUAAACAUGAAUAUUAUAUAUAGGAAUAACUUCUUCAUAGUAAUAAAAAAUUGUGGUCCUAACUUAGAAACCAAUUAUAAUUAGGAAUAAACUUCACAUUGUAAUAAAUUAUAUUUUUUUAUAGGUCUCAUCUUAAUAAACUUACCUCCAUAUAGUAAUAAUAUUUAAAAAAUAUAUGUCAUGUUACAUUCAAUAAUUAAGAUAGCUNNNNNNNNNNNNNNNNNNNNNNNNNNNNNNNNNNNNNNNNNNNNNNNNNNNNNNNNNNNNNNNNNNNNNNNNNNNNNNNNNNNNNNNNNNNNNNNNNNNNNNNNNNNNNNNNNNNNNNNNNNNNNNNNNNNNNNNNNNNNNNNNNNNNNNNNNNNNNNNNNNNNNNNNNNNNNNNNNNNNNNNNNNNNNNNNNNNNNNNNNNNNNNNNNNNNNNNNNNNNNNNNNNNNNNNNNNNNNNNNNNNNNNNNNNNNNNNNNNNNNNNNNNNNNNNNNNNNNNNNNNNNNNNNNNNNNNNNNNNNNNNNNNNNNNNNNNNNNNNNNNNNNNNNNNNNNNNNNNNNNNNNNNNNNNNNNNNNNNNNNNNNNNNNNNNNNNNNNNNNNNNNNNNNNNNNNNNNNNNNNNNNNNNNNNNNNNNNNNNNNNNNNNNNNNNNNNNNNNNNNNNNNNNNNNNNNNNNNNNNNNNNNNNNNNNNNNNNNNNNNNNNNNNNNNNNNNNNNNNNNNNNNNNNNNNNNNNNNNNNNNNNNNNNNNNNNNNNNNNNNNNNNNNNNNNNNNNNNNNNNNNNNNNNNNNNNNNNNNNNNNNNNNNNNNNNNNNNNNNNNNNNNNNNNNNNNNNNNNNNNNNNNNNNNNNNNNNNNNNNNNNNNNNNNNNNNNNNNNNNNNNNNNNNNNNNNNNNNNNNNNNNNNNNNNNNNNNNNNNNNNNNNNNNNNNNNNNNNNNNNNNNNNNNNNNNNNNNNNNNNNNNNNNNNNNNNNNNNNNNNNNNNNNNNNNNNNNNNNNNNNNNNNNNNNNNNNNNNNNNNNNNNNNNNNNNNNNNNNNNNNNNNNNNNNNNNNNNNNNNNNNNNNNNNNNNNNNNNNNNNNNNNNNNNNNNNNNNNNNNNNNNNNNNNNNNNNNNNNNNNNNNNNNNNNNNNNNNNNNNNNNNNNNNNNNNNNNNNNNNNNNNNNNNNNNNNNNNNNNNNNNNNNNNNNNNNNNNNNNNNNNNNNNNNNNNNNNNNNNNNNNNNNNNNNNNNNNNNNNNNNNNNNNNNNNNNNNNNNNNNNNNNNNNNNNNNNNNNNNNNNNNNNNNNNNNNNNNNNNNNNNNNNNNNNNNNNNNNNNNNNNNNNNNNNNNNNNNNNNNNNNNNNNNNNNNNNNNNNNNNNNNNNNNNNNNNNNNNNNNNNNNNNNNNNNNNNNNNNNNNNNNNNNNNNNNNNNNNNNNNNNNNNNNNNNNNNNNNNNNNNNNNNNNNNNNNNNNNNNNNNNNNNNNNNNNNNNNNNNNNNNNNNNNNNNNNNNNNNNNNNNNNNNNNNNNNNNNNNNNNNNNNNNNNNNNNNNNNNNNNNNNNNNNNNNNNNNNNNNNNNNNNNNNNNNNNNNNNNNNNNNNNNNNNNNNNNNNNNNNNNNNNNNNNNNNNNNNNNNNNNNNNNNNNNNNNNNNNNNNNNNNNNNNNNNNNNNNNNNNNNNNNNNNNNNNNNNNNNNNNNNNNNNNNNNNNNNNNNNNNNNNNNNNNNNNNNNNNNNNNNNNNNNNNNNNNNNNNNNNNNNNNNNNNNNNNNNNNNNNNNNNNNNNNNNNNNNNNNNNNNNNNNNNNNNNNNNNNNNNNNNNNNNNNNNNNNNNNNNNNNNNNNNNNNNNNNNNNNNNNNNNNNNNNNNNNNNNNNNNNNNNNNNNNNNNNNNNNNNNNNNNNNNNNNNNNNNNNNNNNNNNNNNNNNNNNNNNNNNNNNNNNNNNNNNNNNNNNNNNNNNNNNNNNNNNNNNNNNNNNNNNNNNNNNNNNNNNNNNNNNNNNNNNNNNNNNNNNNNNNNNNNNNNNNNNNNNNNNNNNNNNNNNNNNNNNNNNNNNNNNNNNNNNNNNNNNNNNNNNNNNNNNNNNNNNNNNNNNNNNNNNNNNNNNNNNNNNNNNNNNNNNNNNNNNNNNNNNNNNNNNNNNNNNNNNNNNNNNNNNNNNNNNNNNNNNNNNNNNNNNNNNNNNNNNNNNNNNNNNNNNNNNNNNNNNNNNNNNNNNNNNNNNNNNNNNNNNNNNNNNNNNNNNNNNNNNNNNNNNNNNNNNNNNNNNNNNNNNNNNNNNNNNNNNNNNNNNNNNNNNNNNNNNNNNNNNNNNNNNNNNNNNNNNNNNNNNNNNNNNNNNNNNNNNNNNNNNNNNNNNNNNNNNNNNNNNNNNNNNNNNNNNNNNNNNNNNNNNNNNNNNNNNNNNNNNNNNNNNNNNNNNNNNNNNNNNNNNNNNNNNNNNNNNNNNNNNNNNNNNNNNNNNNNNNNNNNNNNNNNNNNNNNNNNNNNNNNNNNNNNNNNNNNNNNNNNNNNNNNNNNNNNNNNNNNNNNNNNNNNNNNNNNNNNNNNNNNNNNNNNNNNNNNNNNNNNNNNNNNNNNNNNNNNNNNNNNNNNNNNNNNNNNNNNNNNNNNNNNNNNNNNNNNNNNNNNNNNNNNNNNNNNNNNNNNNNNNNNNNNNNNNNNNNNNNNNNNNNNNNNNNNNNNNNNNNNNNNNNNNNNNNNNNNNNNNNNNNNNNNNNNNNNNNNNNNNNNNNNNNNNNNNNNNNNNNNNNNNNNNNNNNNNNNNNNNNNNNNNNNNNNNNNNNNNNNNNNNNNNNNNNNNNNNNNNNNNNNNNNNNNNNNNNNNNNNNNNNNNNNNNNNNNNNNNNNNNNNNNNNNNNNNNNNNNNNNNNNNNNNNNNNNNNNNNNNNNNNNNNNNNNNNNNNNNNNNNNNNNNNNNNNNNNNNNNNNNNNNNNNNNNNNNNNNNNNNNNNNNNNNNNNNNNNNNNNNNNNNNNNNNNNNNNNNNNNNNNNNNNNNNNNNNNNNNNNNNNNNNNNNNNNNNNNNNNNNNNNNNNNNNNNNNNNNNNNNNNNNNNNNNNNNNNNNNNNNNNNNNNNNNNNNNNNNNNNNNNNNNNNNNNNNNNNNNNNNNNNNNNNNNNNNNNNNNNNNNNNNNNNNNNNNNNNNNNNNNNNNNNNNNNNNNNNNNNNNNNNNNNNNNNNNNNNNNNNNNNNNNNNNNNNNNNNNNNNNNNNNNNNNNNNNNNNNNNNNNNNNNNNNNNNNNNNNNNNNNNNNNNNNNNNNNNNNNNNNNNNNNNNNNNNNNNNNNNNNNNNNNNNNNNNNNNNNNNNNNNNNNNNNNNNNNNNNNNNNNNNNNNNNNNNNNNNNNNNNNNNNNNNNNNNNNNNNNNNNNNNNNNNNNNNNNNNNNNNNNNNNNNNNNNNNNNNNNNNNNNNNNNNNNNNNNNNNNNNNNNNNNNNNNNNNNNNNNNNNNNNNNNNNNNNNNNNNNNNNNNNNNNNNNNNNNNNNNNNNNNNNNNNNNNNNNNNNNNNNNNNNNNNNNNNNNNNNNNNNNNNNNNNNNNNNNNNNNNNNNNNNNNNNNNNNNNNNNNNNNNNNNNNNNNNNNNNNNNNNNNNNNNNNNNNNNNNNNNNNNNNNNNNNNNNNNNNNNNNNNNNNNNNNNNNNNNNNNNNNNNNNNNNNNNNNNNNNNNNNNNNNNNNNNNNNNNNNNNNNNNNNNNNNNNNNNNNNNNNNNNNNNNNNNNNNNNNNNNNNNNNNNNNNNNNNNNNNNNNNNNNNNNNNNNNNNNNNNNNNNNNNNNNNNNNNNNNNNNNNNNNNNNNNNNNNNNNNNNNNNNNNNNNNNNNNNNNNNNNNNNNNNNNNNNNNNNNNNNNNNNNNNNNNNNNNNNNNNNNNNUCUUUCACUUGUGGAUAUAUAUUAAUUGGUCAGCAUAGACAUCUUCUUGUUGAAACCAAAAUAUUUCUAGGUUCUCAAGUAUGUUUGUAGCUUCCAGACAUAAAACUUUUUGUAUUAGUUUUUUGAAACUAUAUAUCUUUUUUAUUAAUAUCUAUCUAUAGAAUUUGACUCACUUACUAAUUAAUUUAUUAAUGUCUAUACAUUGAAUUUGACUCACUUAUUAAUUUAUGAAUACAUGAUAUAAUUUACCUCUAUAUCACUUGCAUUAGAGAUAAUUAAGUAAAGACAAUAAUUUUUGUACUAUACCUCUAUUGAGUUAUAACUUUUUUAUAAUAAUAAAUUUCUCUAGUCCCAACAAUAUAACUAUGCAGAGGUUUUAUUGUAUUUAUUAGUAACUAACUUAAACUUAAUUCUACAGAAAUAAGAUAAUAAGCUGAAACUCUAAUUAAACUAACCUAACAAGAAUUACUCAAAUACAAAUACUAAUCACAAUGAAUCUUAAUAAAACAAAAAAUAUUAAAUUGUUCAACAAUAAAAUUUUUAAUCAAUUUUAACCAUGUGCUUCCGACAUCAGGACUAAGGUGGGGACGUAUUGUCAUAUUGGUCUUGUACAGUUAAGACAUCAUCGUUGCAAUUUGACAUAAUCUAGAAUGUCAAAGGGUUGAGCCAGAAAGGACUCUUCAACCAAUUAAUUACAAACGUUUAUAAUUGAUAUUUUAAGAUUAUGUAUAAACUUGUCAUCAUUAACAUUACAAUUUGAUCAAUUGUGAGCGAAAGAAUUUGUUUCUCUCAUUCAAUCAAUACGGCUAUAUAUGCUUUUGUUCCCGAGCUUUAAUCGGCCAACAAAGGCUAUAUUAGACAUUUAAUUCUUCAUGUCUUUUUGAAGUAAUUUUCUCUAGCUGCCACUCAAAUUUCAAUUAAUUCUAAGGAAGGUAGAGAACAAAAAAAUUAAUUUAGGCAUACCGACAUUUCUUAAAAAAUAAAAUCUAAUUAAUUAAUGUAAAGACACGUCAUACUACUCUGUUAAAAAAAAAGACAAAAGAAGUUAGAAAAAUGAAAAAGAUUUGCAUUUAUUAGUUUAGUCUUUUAGAAUAUUUUAAUCAAGAAUUUGAAAAUGUGAAGAGUUAAUACAGCUCAUUAAAUUUAUUUAAUAUAAUGAAGAAAGGAAAGUGCAUAGGCUUUGCUUAGUUUAGCUAUAUUCACAGAAUGUGUUGUGUCGCAAGUUCAAUUUUAUGUAAGAUCUCGAGAAGUAUGAAAUGAUAUAUACAUCGAAAAUAGUAAAAAAUAUAGUGUAUAAUGCAUAAAAGAUUAAAAAAAAAUUAUCUUGUGUUAUAUUUUUUUAUUUUGUAGUUAAAUUUUUUUGUUUUCUAGUGAUAGUGUACUAUUUUUUUGUGCUCGUAUGGAGUGCUGUUUAUGCUAAGGUGUGAUUGUAGCAUACAAAAUGAAGACACUGUUUGUAAUACAAUACUGUCGUUUCUGUCUUUGUAGUAUUUUGCUGGUGUUCAAAAAUCAUUUCCAUAUAUAAAACAUCUUUUCCACUACCGAUACAGUCAUAUUGUGACAUUUUGCAUACUAUAAUUAAAAUCUCCCUCUAAAGGUUUAUCUCCGACGAAGCUUUAAUUUGCUUGCCAAUCUGGCCAUGGAAACUUUUUCCUUGUUAUUGCAUCUCCUGCUUCUAGGUUUUGCUCAUGCAGAAACCAAUAGCUUCAUCUAUAAUGGGUUUAUCCAAGCAAACUUGAGCUUGGACGGAACAGCUUUCGUAAGAAAAGAUGGGAUUCUUGCUGUAUCAAACGAUCAAGGGAGAAUUCUUGGGCAUGCCAUCUAUCCAUCUCCUCUUCGAUUCAAACAAUUAUCCAAGUACAAUAUUAAUAAUAAUACAAUAUCACACACAGCUUUAACCUUCAGCACCAACUUUGUCUUUUCCAUCGUUCCCAAAUAUCCUCAACUUGGAGGUCAUGGUCUUGCUUUCGUUCUAAUGUCCAGAAAACAACCUCCGAGUUGUCUUGCAAAUCAGUACCUGGGCCUUCCAAACGACACCAGCAACGCAAAAUUCUCUACUCGUAUAUUGGCAGUAGAGUUUGAUGCCGUUCAAAACCUCGAGCUCCAAGACAUAAAUGACAACCAUGUUGGAAUAGAUAUAUCCAGUUUAAUUUCUAACAUAUCUGAGCCAGCUGCUUAUUAUUUUUCAAAAGGAAGCAAUAUCAACGACGAUAACAUCUCUGUUGUUCUCAAGAGUGGGGAUCCUAUUCAAGCGUGGAUUGAUUAUAACAGCCAGGAGAUGUUGAUAAACGUCACAAUAUCUCCUCUUGGCAUACCAAAGCCCCAUCGGCCUUUGAUAUCAUAUCCAAUUGAUCUGGCCACAGUAUUGGAUGAGUACAUGUAUGUCGGCUUCUCUGCUUCAACUGGUUUGCUUACAGCCUUCCAUAAUGUGCAUGGCUGGAGCUUUAAGAUCGGUGGGACUGCACGAGAACUGGAUGUAACUAUGCUUCCAUUUCAUGCACGGCCAAAAUCUAAACAAGUCGUGCAUAAGAAGGGAUUUGCAGUUGGUAUCACUCUUGCAAGCGUUAUUCUGGUAAUCUUUGUUAUCAUUGCUGCGAUUCUUGUCCUUCGCAGAAUUAGAAAUGGAGAUGACAUCUUGGAAGACUGGGAAGUUGAAUAUGGUGCUCGUAGAUUCAGAUAUUCUGAGCUCUACUCGGCGACAAAGGGCUUCCGGGAGAAGAAUCUUGUCGGAUCUGGAGGAUUUGGAAAAGUCUACCGGGGUGUAAUUCCAAGCACUGGUCUGGAAGUUGCAAUAAAGCGAGUUGCACAUAAUUCACGUCAGGGAAUGAAGGAAUUUGUUGCUGAAAUAACAAGCAUGGGACGACUUCGGCAUCGUAAUCUUGUGCAGUUACACGGAUGGUGUCGAAGGCAAGACGAGCUCCUCCUUGUUUAUGACUACGUACCAAAUGGUAGCCUUGACAAACUUUUGUUCGACAAUGAUCAGCAGAAGAAAAAAAUACUAAAUUGGGAUCAAAGGUACAAAAUCCUCAUCGGUGUGGCUCAAGCUUUGCUUUAUCUGCAUGAAGAAUGUGAUCAAAGGGUAGUUCAUCGAGAUGUGAAGCCAAGUAAUGUCUUAAUCGAUGCAGAUCUCAAUCCGAAGCUUGGGGAUUUCGGGCUUGCUAGGGCUUAUGAUCACAAUAUUAAUCCACAAACGACCCAUAUUGUAGGGACGCUAGGUUAUUUAGCCCCAGAAUUGACAAGAACCGGAAAAGCAACAACAAGUACAGAUGUGUUUGGUUUUGGAACAUUAAUGCUAGAAGUAGCUUGUGGAAGAAGGCCAAUCGAGCCCCAAAGAACCGCAAUGGAGUUAGUAUUGGUGGAUUGGGUUAGAGAGCUACAUAGUCAAGGGCAGAUCACAAGAGCAAUUGAUCCAACACUCGAUUAUUUUGAUCCACAAGAAGCUGAGCUGGUGCUUACCCUUGGCUUACUCUGCUGUGAUCCUCAUCCAGAUUUUAGACCAAGCACGAGAAGGGUGGUGCAAUUUCUACUGCGAGAUGCAAGCCUUCCCCAAGCGCCUCUUGACAUUCACCAUGAAUUUCCAAGGGCAAUACCAGAAUUAUCUGAAGAUGAUUCUGACCCGUCCUCCUGUAGAAUGACAUCAUCUACUAGUUUCACAAGCUUUGACAAGAAAGAAUCCGGUAGUAGUCAAAUAACUAGGGUUACUUUUUAAUUAUGUACCUACUAAAAUGUACAAGAAAGAAAGCAUCACACGGAAAUGUAGAACUCCGUUUAUGUACUUUUUAACGUUUCUUGUUUCAAACUUUUCUUUGCAAAAUAUGUAACAGAAUAUACAGGGGCUCGGAUCAGUUCUCUGUUAUGAGUGUUGUCCUCUUAUCUUUCGUAUAAGAACAUCUUAAGAGGAAAUCCAAAAAAAAAAAAAAAACACUUUCCAUCAAUUUUUCGUUUUAUAUACUUGAUCAAAUUAUAUUUAAUUGUCAAUCAUUCAAGUUGACGGCUAACAAAAACAUGGAUUAAUUGACAAUUUUCCUCUAAAACUAAAUUUAAGUUUCACAUAACAUAUUAAUCUUUCAGCUUCCUCGGAUAUAUUCUUUAAAUUUUUCUACUUUUUUAUGGGGUCAUAAUUGGGUUUAAAAAAAGUUUUAUAUUAUACACAUAUAUUUUUCGAAAGGUAUGACCGAACAAAAUUCAAAUUAGAUUUUUUAGCCUCCUGCUCCCUGGAUUCAGCACCAAUAUUAAGUAAAGAAAAAUUAUUGAAAACCAUUAGGACAGGUCUCUAGGAGUUAGAUUCAAAGGAAGCUUGGCGCAAUAAUAAUUUUUAAUAUUUUGUGAAGCCGUGGAUCCUCAUGCUAAAUUGAAGAACAUGUUUUAUGUUUGUCAUUAAUUCGCUUGAAGUAUAAAUUAAUCUAUUUAAAAACGGCUUUAUUUAUAGUAAAAAAAAAGAAGAAAAAGAAAGCUUUUAGAAACAUAAUUGUUUAGGGGGAAAUCUGGGUGCUAAUGUAGGCCAAUAAUUCAAUUACAUAUGGUAAGAAAAGUCAAUUAAAGGAAGUUAAUUUGUUUAACUAGGCCUUAAGAUAUCUCAUAGAGAGAUAGGAGAUAAGGUUAUUGAAGAAAAUGACAGUUUUAGUAAAAUACUCAAUAUUAAAAGGUAUUAUUGGAAGCUAGAUUUUGAUGGUUAGGGCCAAUGCAUGAAUAGUACACACCACCUUGAGAGAAAACAAAAAUAUCUUCUUUUGGCUAAGGAUGAGAAGCCAAUAAGAAUGGAGAUUCUAGCCAAACAAUGUGAAAAGGCCACAUCAGUUAUCCUUUGAUGCCACUAGAAAAGCAAGAGGACCACAAGGCUGGGAAGUCAGCAUGUGUCCAGCUAUGGAGGCAAAAAGAUAGCUAGAGGGUUCCUUACUUCUCAAGCUCAUUGAUGUCACCAUCAAGGGACCAUAAGGCAAAUAUAUUAAAAUAGCCUUCUUGAGGGAGGCUAGCCAUUAAAUAAGCACCAUGUACCUAAAAUUAUCAAAAUUCCCUCAGGAACACUCGUAUAUAUGCUCCACAUGUUCAAUCUUGAAGGGGCUCUCUCGAUCUCUAGCUCUACAUCUCUCCUUUUGCUUCAUAGCCCUAGGCCUCUUUUUUCCAAAUUUGAUUUCUAUAAAGGUUGCUUUAUCUUCUUAUCCCUCCAUUUUUACAUUUUCAUGGAAGAUCUUGACCAUCUCAUCUCCUAAAAUAGCGUUUUCCUUUAUUAUUCUCUUAGAAAACUCUUUAAUCUUCAUUAAAUCAACAUCUCCCUCAUGUUAUUAUUCAUUAUAAACAACCUUUAUUGAAGUUUUGUUGAUAUUGCAGAGCAAAUAAUCUAAUAUUUCUUUUAUAUAGUGGAUUGAAGAUGAGUUGCUCACGUGAACAUCGGCCAGAGAGGUGAAGCGCAUAAAAUCUUCUGUGUUCUUUAUUGCUUAUGCUUAUUUUUUGCUUAUUAUGAUAGUUUUGAUAUCCAUAUCGUAUUUCCCAUAUGAACUGGUCUGAGUUAUACUAGGAGCUCUACUAAGGUCCCCAGAUUAACUCUCUAGAGCUAUCCUCGAGUUCAACAAACCUAUUCCCUGAGCUCUCUUAAGGUUCCUAUAUCAACUCCCUAAAUUAACUCCUAAGAGCUCCACGGGUUCGCCAUAAUAUUCCAAACUUAGAACACUACAGCUCACAUCCUAGAUCACCUCAGAUAUACCUCUUGCCUUGAACAAUAGAAAUACACACCUAAAUCCAAACAUACCCUAAUCUCCCCUAAAGUAUAAAUUUUAUUUGUUUUAAUAAGAUUUGAACAAGAUUAGGUGGGAACUACUGCUUAAUGGUUUAAAUCGGAUCCUAGCAAAAAUCUGGUUAAAACAAUAAUUAUAACUAAAUUUGAAAGUAUUUAGAACCAUCUUGUUAAUUUCUGAAUGAAUAUUGAACAAUAAUAAAUAAAGACGUGUCUUGUAAUGAAUAGUUUGUCUUUUUAAUUCUUAAAGUACAAAAUAAGUAUUACCUAAUCUUCAUUGAUAAAACGUUUAAUUACUCAUUAGGGAUAAAUAAAGAAAAGUAAUUUAAUUUUCAAGUAAUUUAAUGUUUAACUUUUAGAUAUAACGUUAUAAGUAUAUAUUUGUUUAAUAAACAGACAUUGAGACUAGAAAUUUUUUUUUAUGUAAUUGUAUUUUUAAUAAAGUAAAAAUAGGGACCUAUUUGAAAUUCUGCAGGGUCUUGCUCGGUAUGCAGUUUAUGACAACUUUUGCUAGCUCCAUCUUCUAACUAAAACAAGAGGUUUAGGGUCCAAAAUUGCUCAAUUUCUGAGGAGGAGAUUUAAAAAUUCUAGCCACUUUGUUUAAAUUAAAUAAAAAAAUUAAUCAAUAAAUGACGUCAAGUAAUAUUGGCGCAUUUUAAAGUAUAUUAGAUGUUGAAACCGAACAAUAUUUUGAAGGCCUAAAUUUUCUCUAACCUAAUUUUAUUUUGUUCUUUUUAUUUUCUUACGCUUCUUGUUAUAGCAAAUUUGAGUCCGUAACAUUUUGCGUCAAAGCUAGACAAUAAAGUAAGGAGUAAAUCGUAGCAAUUUAGCAACGGCUGGCAAGCUUACACAAAUGAGUGGAUUCCAUAUUCCUCGAACAAAAGCAAUUUGGCAACAAACAAUAUUGAUGAAAUAUUAAGAAUGUCGAAUGCAAAGAUGAAUUCAUUUUCAAGCGGCAAAAAUAACAAAUAUGUAGAAGAAAAUUGUGUGCUUGUGUGAUGGGAUGGUUAUGGGUUCUGUUUAGCUUUUUCGAAAUCUGAUUGAUUCAGCAAGAUCUAGACUGAGAAAACUUCGAAGUUUUUUUAAUGAGAUUCGGUUCUUUGAUUUUCUUUGUAUUUCUUCUUGAUUUCAGUUUGAUUUUUCAAGAGCUGAACAAAAUUUAAACCAAUUUCUUUGAUAUUUUCAGACAAAAUAUUAACUGAAUUAAAAACUAAAGUAAAUCCAACUUGAAAUUUUGGUUUAUUCCGGCUAAGACCAAUAACGAACCCGAUCAUUUUAUUCGGGCAACUUCUGAUAGCCUAUUUACAUAAAAUAAAAGAUUGUUUUGUCCUAGGGUCUCUUAUUCAGUUCAAAGACCAAAUAAUAAUAAUAAUAAUCAUUGGGGGAUUAACAUUUUAUUUAGGGUUCCAAAAAUAUUUUAUAUUAAUCGCAGGUGUUGAUAUUUUCACCCCAUUUUCUUUUUGUAAUGACAAGUCCACUGUAAAUAUACCUCAUUAAAAUAGAUUUGAAUGCUGAGCUGCCCUUUUUACUAACCUUUUACAAAGAUACAAUUAAUAAUUAUUGGAUAAAAAUAUAAAACUAAUUAACUAUUAGUUAUAUAUUAUUAUACAUGUUUAUGUGUCAGAAAAUUAUGAAGAGUUGAAUACAGGUCAGCUCAAUAUUAAAUUUAAAUCAUAUUAAAAUCUGUGGUAGAAUAUUAUAAAGAACUGAGUAGAAGUCAGCUCAGCACUAUAUUUAAAGUCCAUUAAAAUUUAUGAAGAUGUCUUAUUUUAUAAACAAAACUCUCUGAAUCUCCAAAUUACCCUUGUAGAAUUUGAUACUUCCAUGCCCUGCCGUUUGCAUCUUCUUCCACAGCCGCUUUGCCACUUUUUUCCUUUCCUAAAUGAGCAAAAUAAAUAAUGGGGCGUUGUUACCGAACAAAAUAUUCAGAGGUUGGGGGAAUCCCCACCCAUAUUUACAAGAAUAUAUGUAAAUUUUUUACGGUGUUAAGAGUACCAUUAGGAUUAGUGUUUUAAUUUUUUAUUGUUAUUGUUUUAUCAAGGGAUUUGGUUCACUGAUUUUCAAUCAUUAUUAUUUGACUAAUAAAAGGAGUAGAGAAUAAAAGAUGGAUUUGAAUUACCCAUACCUCUACAUUUAAAAAUUAGUAAACAAAACGUUCUUUUCAAUGAGAAAAGAUAAAAGAGAUCAAAUUUUGUUUUUACUCUUUCCAUCAUUUUUAUUGCUAGAACCGUAAUGUCUUACUAGGGGUGUUCGCGGAUCGAAUUUUACAGAUUGGAUAUCAGUUCAUAUCCGAUCCAUAAUUUUGUGGAUUAUAAUUUUUCAAUCCAAUCCAAUCCACGGAUUGAUUAAACUCAACUCAAAUCCAAUUCAUAUAUCUGCGGAUCGGAUGCGGAUUUGACUCAAUCCAUAUCCAAUCCAUACGUCUGCGGAUCUGAUGCGGAUUUAACUUAAUCCAUAUCCAAUCCACCAUUUUACGCAUUAGUUUCCGAAUAAAACAUUUUUAGUUCUCCCCAAUCCAUGAACUAAUGAAAUAAACAAAAAAUCUAAUAUAAACAAUUUUCACUACCAAUUAAAUUUAAAAUUGAAUAAAAUUAAAACAAAUUAAUUGUUAAAUAAAACUAAAAUAAUACAUUCAAAGUUUCAAAAUAUAGCACAUUGAGAUUAAUUGUUCAAAUAAGGCUACAAUAAUACGUUUAAAGUUUCAAAAUAUAACACAAUAAGAUUAAUUGUUCAAAUAAAGUUACAAUAAUACAUUAAUAUAACACCAAAGUUAAUUGUUCAAAUAAAGCCACAAUUAAUUGAAAUAGCGAAGUUUCUGAAACCAAACAUAGUCUAAUCCUUCACUAGGGCUGUUGUACUUGUCGAAAAGUGGUGAUUACAGAGCCGUCAACGAUGGGAACCAGGAGAAGUACAGGUGGCGAUCUUGAAGGUUGUGAUAGUGCAAUUGUUUGGUUGGAACCAGUGAUUGUGAAGUGACUCGAUGGACUCGGGGAAGAAGAUGACUUGCUCUCAUUGGAAUCGUGCAGUCGACGUCCUUCAAAUCGGUGUCGAGAGUGUAUUGAAUCAGUAUUGGGUGUUGCUAGUGAAUGUGAUGGUGGGGAAGCUUCAGGUUUUUUGUUUGCAAAUUAUUGGUGACUUGGCGUUAUGUUACUUUGAUUUUGGGUGACUUUGCAAAUUGUUGGUAACUUGACGUUAUGUUACUUUGCUUUUGCUAGUGCGUGUGAGUUUGCUUUUAUUUUUAUUUUUACAAUUUCUACAAGUUAUAUUUGUAUAUUUGAUUAUUUAAUUAUUUUUUUAUUUUAUAUUAUUAUUGGGUAAUGGCUAAGAUAUGUUAUAGUGCUUAUUUAACUAUGUAAUGCCACAUUUAUAAUAUUCUUUAAUUAAAUUUAUAAUAAUUUUUAACUAUAUAUAUAUUUUGCGGAUUCACGGAUUUUUACGGAUUUACAGAAGUAAAUCCAUAUCCAAUCCAUCAACUGCGGAUUUUUAAAUUUUCAAUCUAUAGCCAAUCCACGAAUCCACGGAUCGGAUUUAUACGGAUCAGAUUUUCACAGAUCAGAGGGAUUGAGCGGAUCGAAUUGGAUUAUGAACACCCCUAUGUCUUACCAUAUAUGUAUGAGCCCAGAAUUCAUCAAAUAUAUUCUUUUCCUUUUUACGGUGGGAAAUUUACAUAGUUAGCCUAAAAGUUUUCUAGUUUUUCAAAAUUGCCCCCUCUAAUUUUUUUUAUCAUAAUUGGCCAAAUAUAAAUUUUUUCAACACAUUUACCCUCGUUCUCAUCUUGCUCAAGCUCCCAAUGAACGACAAAAUCCUAAAGUCUUGCAAUCAUCGGCAACACAACAACAACAUGUUAGUAGUGGUGACGGCGGCUUCAAUUUUCCAUUUCCCAUAAACUUCAUUUGAGGGCAACUUCUCUAAUUACCAGAAAGCAUGUUUAAUUUGGUGAGUAAAAUCUGAUUUGUUGUUGAUUUAAAAUUAAAUUACACUAUUUUAUAGAAAUUAGUGGUAAAAAAAAUAGUGUAUUAGGUUUAUAUUGGUAACAAUUUGCUAAAUAUAUUAUAAGGUUACUUGUUGCACAUAAAGUGUUUGAUGAAAUGUGCUUGAGAUUAUUAUUUGAUUAUUUGAGUGUUUGAAAUGAUGUGUGGUGUUUGCAGUGUUGUAUAGUAUGAGAAUGAGAAUGAUAGUGACUAACCAUCGAGAUUAUGAUGAUGAUGAUUUAUGGUUGUUGAGAAUGUCAAAUAAAAUGGCAUUGAAUGGAAAUUGUCAAAGACACGAUCCACACCGAACGGCAACGACACAGUUGGUGAAGAAGCUUCCAUAAUAUUCGUAUCUAAUUUUUGAAAAAAUUACAACCUCUGCAUGUAUAAAUAUGAUCAAUGUAUAACGUUUUACUUGAGAAAUGAAAAACACUCAUUUAUUCAUGGUAUCAGAGCCCAAUUUGCUGCUCUAUUUGUAACAAAAACAGAGAGAACCAAAUUCUUCCCACAACCAUUUUUCUUCUUUAAAAUCAUUCCUAGCAUUACAGAAACCCAUGCCAAUAAAAAAAUAAGCCACCCAUAAAUAAAAACUUAGGUUUACAAAUCUAUCAACAGUCCCAUAAAUUUUCCCAGAGAGUGAUCUUCAAAAACAAAGAAUACCAUCAAUUUUCUCAGCUUCCAGUAAGCAAACUGUAAAAAUUUCGCAUUCAAACACAGCCACACGUACCUUCCGGAAUCCUUCACCACCAACUCGCCCUCACGCGCUCCAGAGGUUGAAGAAGACAAAAAAUGACGUGUCAUUUUCUUAAGGAGAAACAAAAUGACUUGUCAUUUUAUUCCGUCAGAAAUGACAUGUCGUUUUCUUAAGGAGAAACAAAACGACUUGUUAUUUUUACCCUAAAAAUAUUUUUCCCCCGUUUGAAGCUAUACAACAUUUUUUCUUUCUAAACAUGUUCCCCCCCCCCCCCCCAAAAGAAAAGAAAAGAAAAAGAAAAAAAAAUAGAGAAAACUCUAACUGAAUCUACUCAUGUUAUCAUUCAAUCCGUUUAGUCUGAUGGAGCAUGUAAUGCCAGAAUUAUCCUUACCCAGACAAACUACAAUGUUUGGUCUUAAAUAAUGGAGAUGCAUCUCACAGAAAGAGAAAAACUCUACAUAUAUUCGUAGCAGCACAAAGCCAUUUGACGAAUCUUCAAAGGAAUAUGAGAAAUGGUAUAGUGAGAACCAAAAAGUAAAAAGAUGGUUACUCAUAUCCAUGUCUCCUGAGAUCAUAAAACGAUAUUUAUGAAUUCCUACAGCUUAUGAAAUCUGGAAUGCAUUAUCAAAAGCCUUUUUAUGAUGGAAGCAAUAAUUAUAAGUUUUCACUCUAAACUAGAAGGCGUUCUCUACCAAGCAAAAUGGACGACCACUCUCUAAAUUAUACGGAGAAUUGAUCGAAAUAUUUCGAGAACUUGAUCACCGAGAUAAAGUGGUCAUAAAGAAUCUAGAAGAUGUUGUAAUAUACAAAAAGUCUGUUGAAAGAUUGAGAGUGCACAUUUUUCUUGCUGGGCUAGAUGAAGAAUUUGAUCAAGUUCGUGGAGAAAUUCUACAAAAAGAUGCUAUCUCAAACUUAGAAGAAUGAUAUUCUCUUAUCCGAAGAGAAGAUGUACGACAAAGCACACUAAACAAGGUGGACAACUCAGAAAUGUUUGUUGUGAUAGCACGUCAACAACCUCAAAAGAAGCUUGUUGACAAGUCAUCACUCUAUUGCACUCAUUGUAGGAAGAAGGGUUAUACGAGAGAAUAAUUUUUUGAAAUCGUUGGAUAUCUUGACGGGUGGGAUACUCGAAGGAAGAACACCAAGUAGGGAUAAAAAUGACAGUAGUUGAAUCUACAUCCACUAGAAAUCUUAAAAAAGAAUAUUCAAUGCAAAUUGCAACCUCUGUCAAUCAAGGUUAGUCCCUUAAACUCUUACAUCUGUUAUUAAUAGUACAUGGAUAAUUGAUUUUGGUGCAACUGAUCAUAUGACUUUUGAUUCUUGAUAAGUUUCUUAAUUGAAACCAUCUUCACAAAAACAUGUUUCCACUGCAAACGGAACCACAACCUCAGUUAUUGAGGAAGGAUCUUUACGACUCACAAAUAAAUUAAAUUUAAGCCCUGUGUUAAUUGUUCUAUCUUUAAAUUAUAAUCUUUUUUUUUGUGUCUUAAAUAACCACUUCCUUAUCAUGUGUUGUAAUUUUUUGGUUUGAUCAUUGCGUGUUUAAGGACAUCCAAACGAAGCAAAUGAUUGGUUAUGGUAUUAGACAAGGCAACUUGUAUUACCUGGAGAUGACAUUAACAAGCACUAAAAAGUUAAGCCCCACAUUAGUAGCAGACAGUUCCAUGAAGAAAAAGAAAUCAGAAAUUUGGUCACGGUAUAAAUAUUUAGGGCAUGUGUCAUUUGUUUACUUAAAAAUAUUGUUUCCUAGUUUGUUUCUGAAAUUUGAUGUUUGUAACUUUAAAUGUGAUGUUUGUGAACUUUCAAAAAGCCAUCGAACUACAUUUACAUUGUCUUUAAAUAAGAAUCCAGUUCAUUUCAUGGUAGUACAUUCUGAUGUAUGGGGACCAUCUAAAGUUUGGUUUGUUAUAUUUAUUGAUGAUUGUAGCAGAAUGACAUGGAUUUCUUUUUAUAAAAUCAAAAGACAAAGUAAACUCUUUAUUUCAAAGCUUUCAUAAAAUGGCAACGACUCAAUUUCAGACACAAAUUCGAGUUUUACAUACUGAUAAUGGAGGUGAGUGUAUGAGCACAGUAAUUCAAUAGUUUCUGCAAUCACAAGGAAUUGUCCACCAAACCACUUGUGUGGGGACACCUCAACAAAAUAGCGUUGCUGAAUGAAAAAAAAAAAUUUACUAGAAGUUGUUCGAGCAUCACUAAUCCAAGCCCGCAUGCCACUAUCUUAUUGUGGAGAAGCACUGGCAUCCGCAACGUACUUAAUCAAUUGAACACCUUCAAGCUCCCUUGGAUUCUAGACUCCUUUCUAAGUUCUAAAUGAAGCAAUUUUUUCACCAAAUGUGCUGAAUUUAGCCCCACACGUGUUUGGUUGUGUUGUUUUCGUUCUAUUACUAUGACAAGACAAAUUAUCUCCUCGAGCACUACGUUGUGUGUUUGUAGGGUAUGCCUUACAUCAAAAGGGGUACCGAUGCUAUCAUCCUCCAUCAAGAAAAAUAUAUAUCACCACGGACGUUGUCUUUAAAAAAUAUAUAUCACCACGGACGUUGUCUUUCAUGAAGAUAUUAGGUACUACCCAUCGGAGCCUGAAUUUCGAGGGGAGUAUAAUGAAGAGGAAAUUCAUACUAUUACAUAUCUCCCACUUGAAGAAGAUCAAUUUUCCAUUAAGGUAGUAAACCUUCAAGAUACUGGAAAGAAAAUGGCGAUGAUUCUUAGACUGAAACAAGUGAAGACACAUUUGGGGAGCAAAAUAACUCAGACAUAACCACAAUCAAGAAUGAGUCCCAUGAAGAACCACAUGAAGAAAUACCUAACCAAUAAUCUACAGAGGAUGUUCCUACCACAAAUCCCAGUCUAAUCAGAAAAAUACUUCCCUAGCGUCAAAAUAGAGGUAUCCCUAAACCCACAUAUGAGUCUAACCUCUCUAGUAGAGUCAAAUACCUUAUAAGCCAUUUUGUGUCUAACCACCGCUUGUCAGAAUCAAAUCAGUCAUUUAUGAAUCAAUUAUCUACUAUAUCUAUUCCUAACAGUGUGCAGGAAGCUUUAAAAGAUCCAAAGUGGAAAGCAGCUAUGAAUGACGAAAUGAGAUCUCUUUAAAAAAAUCAGCCGAUGGAUCUAAAUUAUAAAAUACAAGGCAGAUGGCUCUAUUGAACGAUAUAAAAUAAGGCUCGUAACUAAGGGUUACACCCAAACCUACGGGAUAGAUUAUACUAAUACGUUUGAACCAGUAUAAAAAAUUAAUAUUAUUCGUAUUUUAUUAUCAUUAGCAGCAAACUUUGAUAGACUAGUGCAACAGUUUGAUGUAAAAAAUGCUUUCCUCCAUGGAGACCUGUCUAAAGAAAUUUAUAUGGAUCUGCCACCAGGAUGCAGUGGAUCAGAACGACUCAAUCAAUAAGUAUGCAAAUUAAAGAAAUCAUUAUACGGGUUGAAGCAAUUCCCAAGAGCAUAGUUCGGGAAAUUCAUAAAGGCUAUGAGUUUUUUUGGCUAUAACCAAAGCAAUUCAGAUCACACAUUGUUCAUUAAAAAAUGACAAGGUACUUGUCCCACACAAGGCUAGAUCUUGCUUAUGCAUUGAAUGUUAUAAGUCAGUUCAUGUAUAAUCCCGGAGAACAACAUAUGAAAGCAGUAAUGUGGAUCCUGAGGUACCUAAAGUCAAAUCCUGGAAAAAGAAUCUUAUUUUCCAAAAAUGAAGAUUACAACAACAUAGAAGUUUAUACUGUUGUAGAUUGGGCAGGGUUAGCUAGUGAUAGAUGCUUUACCUUAGGCGACUUUACCUUUAUGAGAAGCAACCUUGUCACAUGGAAAAGCAAGAAACAGCAUGUCGUUGCUCGUUCGAGUCCUGAAGCAGAAUAUCAAGGCAUGGUCUUUGGGGUAUGUGAAGGGCUAGGGUUAAGCUUUAUCUUAAAAGAUUUUGGCUAUCAAUCACAACAACCAAUACAACUAUACCGUCACAAGACAGUUGUAUGAGAUAUUGCUCAAAACCCAGUUCAGCACGAUCGAACAAAACACGUCGAGGUAGAUAGAUUUUUCAUCAAGGAUGAAAAAAAAUCUUAGAACUGCCGAAAAUUCGAUCAGAAGAUUAACUUGCAGAUAUUUUAACGAAGGCCAUUUCUAGUAGAGCAUUUAUAAAAUUCCUAGACAAGAUGGGUAAGCAAGACAUCUAUGCACCAACUUGAGGGGGAGUGUUGAGAAUAUCAAAUAAAACAGCGUUGCAUGGAAGUUGUCAAAGACACGAUUCACACUAAACGGCAACGGCACGGUUGGUGAAGAUCCUUCCAUAAUAUGUGAUAAUUCUAUGAAAUGAGAGUUAUUACAUCAAUUCUAGACUUAAAUCAAGAUUACUUAGAGAGCAAAUAGGGUGUUUUUAUUACAUUUUGGUUAUAUUUUGCAUAAACAUUCAUUUUAGUUAAGUCUUAAUAAGUUUUGCUUGAAUCAAACUAAUUUGUGUUCAAAACAGGUGCAUAAUUGUAGGUUUUCAGAAAGUCUUAAUUCAUGAAGGGAUGCUAAGACAUUAGAUUAGCAAGAGGAGGAAAGAAGAUGGCCGCAAAAAAAGUAAAACACAAUUGAGAACAGUGCAGUGUUGUAGUUGUUGUUAGAGCAACAUGUGCUGUAGCAAUCUGGGAGCAAUAAGGGAGAAAACUUAGGCACGGGCCAGCUGCAGAAUCGCGAUCUACAUGUUUCCUAAUUUAACUCAUGCAUGCCCACAAACUUUCAUUUACCUUAGUUUGCAGUAUAAAAGGGGCGCGCGCACCACAUAAAAAGGCGGCAAGGGAAUUAUCAUUAAGACAUUAGAGAAAAGAGGAGAAGAAGAUCAGAAUUAAGAGGGACGACUUUAGUAGAAUUGAGAUUUCCAGCAGAGUUAUUUGGAUUGCUUUUUACCGUUCUCAACUUUUACUUUUCUUCUUUCUGAUGUAUCCUGUGAACAAUAUAUUUAUGUUUGAUUUUCUCAUUUAGAAUAUGAACUAGAUUUGCUUGUAGUUGAGUGACAAACGAUCCAAUGGGUUCUUGACUAUUCUUAUGUGUUGUUAUGUCAUUGCUAUAGCAUUUUACUCUAGUAGUUAUUAUUAAUAUAAUUGUUAUUUUGGUUGACCACUCAUUUAACAAUUCAAGUUAAGAUAGAGCCGCAAAAGGGCAUGUCUUAGUGGAUAUUAUUAUAGUAUUACUUGAUCUUGAUUUAAGUUUCCUGGAUUAAGUUAUCUUGAAUCCCAUAAGGGCUACACUUGAAGUUAAGAUUUGUGACACACUAGACAUAAGUGCUCACCUUGUAGGGUGGAGAGACUAAAGGGUCAUAAAGCCAUACCAUAAGUAGAUUAGCAACUGGUCAUUAUUAAUAGAUUUAAGGGUAUGAGAGUUCCAAUAUGCGACAGCUGAGGAUGCAGAGUAAUUUUGCCCAGUGCUGCAGCACUUGCCGUAACAACUGGUGUUAACUUGAUGAAAAGCAGUCAGCCUAAAAGGAGAGUUUGAUCAUUCAACUACCAUAGUCUAAAUUGAAUCUUAGACACAUUUAAUUUAGUUUAUUUCAUUACGGUAUUAUUUUACUUUAUUCUCUCACAAUCAUCAAUUACGAUAGAACCCACUUUAUGUUUGUUAACUUCGCACUUAAGUAGUUUGCACUAUUGUGAUCGCUAUAGCACUUCAAAUAACAUCAAUCCCUGUGGAGAUGAUCUUGAAUAUUCAUCACUGUAUACCUGCACAUUGGCAUUAGUAGCAUUUGAUUAUAAAAUUUACCAACAAUAUGCGUAUCUAAUUUUUGAAAAAAUUGUAACAUCUGUAUGUAUAAAUAUGAUCAAUGUAUAACGUUUUACUUAAGAAAUGAAAAACACUCAUUUCUUAAGUGGUGUUAUAUUGUGAGUGUGUUUUGGUGUGAUAGGCACCAUAUGUGCCUUUGUUUUGAUGCCUAUUGCACCAAAACACAAUUCAAAUUAUGUUGUAUUUUAGGGCAAUGCCACUGUUGCACCAAGUGUGACAAACAAUUGUACAUAAAUAAUCAGUUUAUAUGUUAUGUUGUGUUUUAUGUGCCACAAAUGCUUAUCACCCAAACUGUGUUUUGGUUUUUUGUCUCUUUUUAAAAGUUUUAAUUGUUUUGUUAAUUUUAUAAAUGUUAUUGACCAUUUCUUUUGUGUGAUUCAUCAUAGAUAAAUGGCGAAGAAUUAACUGAUCAAGUAUAAACCAUCCAGACCGAGAAAUUUGUGUUUUGAUGUGACAUGCACUUGUCUCUCAAGCUUAACUGCAACAGGUACUUAUCACAUGUGUGAAAGUGCUUAUAGAAGCUCAAGUGCCACAAGCAUCUAUCACCUAAGCUCAAGUGUUGUAGGCACUUGUCGCACAUUUUAUGGGUUUGUAUUUUACUUUGUCUUUACUCAAAAUUUGUUUUUUUUUUUGUUCUAAUCUAUUAACUCAAACUAAGCAUUUUAUGAACCCACAUCAAUUUACAACAAAAAGUAGAUAAUAUUUACAACAACAAUGACAUCAAUUUAUUGAGAGUAGUGAGAUUUGGAGAUUUGUAGAGAGUGAUAUCGUGAUUUGUUGAGAGUAGUGAGGAUAUUUUUAUUUAAAAGUUAGAUAUUUGGUUAGUUAUAAUAGAAAAAUUUCGAAGGGCCAAUUUUAAGAAAUCUAAAAUUUUUUAGGCUAGCUAUUGCAUUUCCCAUGACAAAAUUAAAAUUGAGCAUGCCGACCCUUAGGCUUUGUGAUUGCAAUUCAAGUUUCUAAUGAUGUGGCAAUCACAACGAACCCUUUUUUUUUUUUUUAAUUGGAUUGCAAAUCUUCGAUUCAUGGGAAUGGUGCUUUUCAUUUUAGGAAACUAACCCUAAUAAAUUAUUAAAUUAUAAAAGUAACCACAAAUACAUUUUUUAUUUUUUCUAUCAAACUUAGCCAAAUGCCAUUCAUUUGGAUGAAUUACCCUUGUCAUUCAAAUCACAGAAACCAAAAGUACCGAUACUACACCUUGAUGCGCUCUCGAUUGUCAAUGGCAUGGAGAUUUUUCCUAAUUCAUGCGUCAAUGUUUUAUUUGGUGUCAUUACUUUUCGAUCAUAUUUUUUGUUGGGUCAUUAUUGAAUUUUUGGUUUAUAUAAUGAAUUGAGUUGUGUCUUGGUCAUUUAAAAUUUAUCAGUGGCAUGCGUGCUAAUAUAUAUAUAUUUUUUAAAUGUUAGUGAAUGAAACAUUAUUUGUUCAAUUUUUUUUUAUUGUCCAUGACAAUUAAAAUCAAGGGAAAUUAUCCACGGACCACUCAUUUUUAAAUUUUUUUAAAAAAUACACAAUUCUUUUUUUUAAUACCUGAUUUGUGCUCUUGCUAUCAAACUUCUCAAUUUCUAAGACCUAAUUUCUGCUCUUAUAUCCUAAUUGAUUUUUUAACUUCUUCACAAAAUUUAACUUUUGGCUAUAAGAUCACAAGCAUUAAACAUAAACCCAAAUUUAUAAAACAAAAUAAUUUCUUCUCAAGUUUAUAACAAUCAAACUUGAAAACACAAAAUACUCAAAUAACCCAUGAAAAUUUAAAAGAAGACGACCAAACCCUCAAAAAAUAAAAGCAGCGGUAGAUGCAGUGGUUCAAUACGGCAGCAUCCAGCUGAUGUUAUUGCCACCUGUUGUAGGACUGAAGCCUUUACUGUCACUACUUUCACUUUGAAGAACCAACAGUAAAGAAGAAAAAUGAAGAACAAGAAAAGAAGAAGAAGAAGAAGAGAAGAACAAAGAAGCAUUAAAGAACCAACAGCAAAGAGGAAAGAAAGACGACGAACUAUGAUUUUUUUUGGGUACCGAAAUAGGGUAAAUUAGUCAUUUAAUAUUUAAGGGUAAAAUAGUUCUUUAAUAUUUAUUUAUGAUAAAAAAGAAAUUUUAUGUUUUGGGGUUAAAAAAGUCAUUUGAGUAAUAUUCGGUUAACUCUUAUCGUGAAAGCUCUUAAUGUGAAAGUGGAGGAGUGAUCCAUUCUAUAAAGGGUGGUGAUAUUUCCACCCUACAAAUUUUAUAAACCCACUCCCUUUUCAAAAAAUCAUUACCACAAAUGCACAUUAUUUUUUUAAAAUUUAAAUUAAGAAGAAUUUAAAUAUUUAAUCAAUUAAAUUCAUAUUCAAUUUUUUAUGAGACUAUAUAUUUUUAUUAUAUUUGAUCAAUAAGGUUGCUUUAACAUAAAUUAAUAUGAUUAUUUUACCCCCACAAGGUAAAAGUAUCAAAAUAUCUAAAAAUUUACUUUCAAUUUUUUUAAUAUUUUAAUGAUGCAUAAGUAGUAUUUUAUUAGUAUGAUUAUUAAUAUUCCACUAAACUAAAAAGAUAUAAUUAAGACAUGUGGAGUAUUAAAAAUUAUUAAAUUUAUGUAAAUCAUAUUAGAUUAUAACACAUAAAACUAAAUGCCUAAAGAAUUAGUUACAAUAACAUAUAUUUCUUAGGGUAAUUUGGUUAUUUUAUAUUAUAAAGGUAAAAUGUUCAAAUUAAACUUAUCUUAAAACAACUUUACAUAUUGAUUGUUAAAAGACUAAGUUUGAAAAGAAAAAAAAUUAUAAAAAUGAUUUAAUUAAUUAAUUGUUCAAACUUAUUAUUAAUUUGUAAUUUUAUAAAAUACAGUGAACUUAUUGUAAUUAUUUUAUGGAGGUGGGGUGGGUUUAUAAAAACAAUGGGAUGUAAAUAUCGACACCCUUCCAUAAAGUUUAGGUGGAAUGCUGACAAAAAAAAAAGAUUUGAGUAUUUUUGGAAAAAAGUCUAAAAAAACGAGUGGUCUGUGGAUAAUUGCCAUAAAAUUAAACAAUUAAUGCUAGCAACUCUUCAAGCAUUAAAGAUCAAGAUUUUCAUGUGAUAACUUUGAGAUCAAAUGGAAAAUCAACUAUUUUAGGCAUCUUAUUAAUUUUUCUUAUACUAUACAUUAUUAUUGUGAAUUAAUGAUAAAAUAUGAAUCUUAAGGUAUUCUAUUUAUUAUAAUUCCAGAAUCAUAACAUAUUUACUUGAACAUGAUUUAGACUAUGAUAAAAUACUAUGAUAUUAAUGUUGUUUAGAUAUAUAUUAUUUAUUUAACAUUCAAAUUAAAUAAUGGUACAAAUGUAAAACUGCAUAUUUUCAAUUUUUAAAGUUGAAAGAACAACAAACUUGAUAUUUAUUUUCAAAGAUUCAAACAAAAUAAACAAAUAUGCUUUUUAGAUUCACAUAUUCAAAUCUAUUUAAAAUUCAAAUUGAUUUAAAUCUAUUCACAUUUCAAAUAAAAAAAAUAUUGGUAUUGAAUGAAUAUAGUAGGAACAUCAAACACAAAACUAGAGGACUAAUAUGUUGAAAUAUGUGAACCAAUAAAUGAGAAAGUUUAACCAAAGUUAGAGCCUAUUCUAACAAAAACAAAAUUAUAAAAAUUAAAGCUAGUAAUUAUUUCAAAUAAUUGAAAUUGUGCUAAGUUACUAUGAAUAUUCAACACAAAUGAAAUAAUUAGUUCAGACAAGAACUCGUAAGAGAGAAAAUUUAAGCAAAAUUAGGAAAUCUUUAAAUGAAAAAUGAAAGUUGGAAUAUAACUUAAAAUAUUGGUAUCGAAUUUGGUACGAAUAUCAAAUACAAAAUUGAUGGACUAAUAACUUGAAACGUGGGAACCCAUAAGUGAAAAAGCUUAAGCAAAAUUAACGACUAGUCUAAGAAAUAUAAUUCUUAUAUUUAACCCAAAUAAUUGAAAUCUUACUAAAUUAAUGAGAAUACACAAUACAAAAUUAGUGGAAUAAUAGUUGAAAUAUAUAAACCCACAUGAAAUGAAGUUUAACUAAAAUUAUGAACUCGUCUCAUAGAAAUGAAAGUUGUUUAGAAUCUAACUCAAAAUAUUGGUAUUUAACGACAUUAGUAGGAAUAUAAAACAUGAAAAUAGUGAACUAAAAAGUGAAUAUAUGAAACCUAUAAGUUUAACCAAAAUAAGUUACUAAUCUAACAAAACUAAAUUUAUAAAAAAUAAAAAUUUAGUAUCUAACCUAUAUAAUUGGAAUCUUACAAAGUUAAUGGAAAUACUCAACACAAAAAUGAUGGAAUAAUUAGUUGAAAUUACUGAGCCUAAAUAGUAGAAAAUAUAACGAAAAUGUGAACUUAUCCAAUAGGAAAUGAAUUUACUUACAUUCUAACCCAAUAUAUUAGUAUUUAAGGAAUUUAAUAGGAACAUCAAAGACAAAGCUAGUGGAUUGAGAAGUGAAAACAAAUAAAUUAGUAAGUGAAAAAGGUUAAAAAAAAUUAGAGUUGUGUGAAAUCAAAUUGCAACAUCCAAUUAAUAUAUUGGUAUUUAACUAAAAGAGUUGCAUAUGAUUAUUUUAUAGUUUUUUAAUAUCAUUUAAAUUAUAAUAUUUUUCUCAUUCAAAUAUUUUUAUGUUAGUUAUUUACAAAUUUUCUUAUUUUUCAGCAUUAAAAAUAAAUUGUCAAAAAUUAUUUAGAAAACACCAAAAUCACCAGCUGUUCAAGUUGUAAUGCACCUCUGUCCGCGGCCAAUUAAAUACCGGCUCCAUUCUCUCUUCUAGUCUUCUUCAUAAUUUUACGUUGUACACUUUUUAUUUUCUUUUUCUACGCUACACAUGUUUGUUUUUUCAUUUUUUCUUUUUUUUUCCUCAGUGUUUUUGCAUGUUGAUAAUUGUAUAGUUGCUCUUAGACAAUCACAUUCGCUUGGAUAAACUUCUUUUUAUCAUGGAAAAUGAUCUUUGCACAAUCCCUAUUUUAUCAUAUGUACAUUGUUGAGUGUUAGAAAAUGCAUAUUUAUAAGGAGAAAACCGUCAUUUUACAUUUCAAGUCUUACUAACAACCCUUACUUUUAUGUAUUUAACAUUCUUGUGAUUUAAUUACGUGUGUUUUAUUUUAAUUAAGUAAUUUAUGUAUUUUAGGGGCAUUAUAGUUAUUUCAUAAUAAAGGAGAGAUCAGACAGCAAAACGGACAUCACUUUUGAACUCAGGACGGUCGAAAACCUUAGGAGGAGCAUAAAAGGAAAAAUGACACUAUUCACAUGUACGGUACUAUUCACGUAUACGGGACUGUAUACGUUACUGUUCACGGCACUGUUCACAUAGACGGAUCGAUGACGUGGCAUUGACCGAUGAUGUGGCAUUGACUGAUGAGGUGUCACGAUCCUGUUGGACUAAAAUUCUUAUGUACUGUUGAUGGUGACGUGGCAGCAUAUCAGUGGACGAAAAAUCUCGCGUACGGUGUAUGCAUCACACAGGAUUAUUUUCAACCAAACCGCGUUACUGUUCAUCCGGGUCAAACCGCGUUACUGUUCAAAGUCGGGUCAAACCGUGUUACUGUUCAUCCGCGUGGUCAAACCGUGGACUGUUGACUGAUGACGUGGCGCAAUCCUGAGCGUUCAAACUGUUUUUAAUCCGAUGGCCAUGAUUUACUCCAUGUAUCUAUAAAAAGGGGGCCUCUCCCCCCUAAAUGGAUAUCUCUGAAUCCAUUUUUGGGAUCCAUUUUCUGUAAUUCCCUCUCCAUCUUGUAUUUUCUUCGUAUUUUAAUAAAUUUCCAUUUUGCCCCUAGUUCAAUUAUGAGUGGCUAAUUUUCUUUCAAGCUUGGGUUGAAGGUGAAGUCUCAACAUGUGUCAUGGGCUUAAUUUGGUAAAUUUAUUUUCUCUUCCCCUCUAGUUUUUGUGGAUGUUUUGACUUCUCGUCGAAAAAUAAUACUAAUCUUGUCUAGUACUGCCUUGGUUACACCGGCCCUCUAGUACAAGGUUAUUAUUAUUUGGCACGAUAAGCCCUUAGCACCAUAUUGAUUAGAGCGUGGUUCAUGAGGUGUGGAUUCCCCCCUCAUGAUUUAAUUGGCAUUAAUACGGAUUAUUUAGCCCAUGAUGCAUGUUGAUACGGAUCCAGAUACCCAAGUACGUCAUUUCAAUAGAAUUCUCUUCAAUUUAUUCUCACCAUUUCAAUACCAAUUUUAGAAUUUAUUCUCGCCAUUUUAAUUUAAGUUUUAGCAUAUUCCAAUCAUUUCCACCACAAAUCCAAUCACCCAUUCACAAAAAUUAAUUCUACACAAUUAAAAUCCACCUCCUCGUGGGAUCGACACUCGUCACCAUUAAUCUAUACUACAACAUAUUCGUGCGCUUGCGAGUACAUUAAAAUUUGCACAACAAGUUUUUGGCGCCGUUGCCGGGGAGGUAAGUAAUUUUAAUUCAUAGAAUUAAUUUUUUUGAAUAAUUUCUUUUAUUUGUUUUCUUGUAUUUUUUUUAAAUUAAAAAAAAGAAAAAAAAAAGUGAAUCUACAUUUAAAGGUUAGUAUUUCUUUUCUUUUUCUCUUCUUUAAAAUUCUGUAAUUUAAUUUUCCAUUUAUUUUUCUUUGUAAUUUUUUUUUGUUUAUCUUAUUAAUUUAAUUUUUAGUUAAUUUCUUUCACGUAUUUAUUUUUGUGUAUUUUUAUAGAAAGGUUGUAAUAGCGCAAUAAGGUUAGUAUCGUAAUUUCUCCCUCUUCUUUAUUUUUAUUUGUUUUGUUCUCAUCUUUAUUUUUUGUUUUGUUUGCAUCUUUAUUUUUAUUUUAUUUAUUUUGCAUGCAUGGUCGUAGGUCAUUAUUACCUAAUCUUGAACCUAUAGACCUUGAAUUAGAAAAAACACUUCGCACACACAAACACGUUAAAAAUAAAAUGGAUUUACAAGCACCACAGGAGAGGCCAUUUAAGGACUAUUUUAGUCCCUUAGCUAAUUUGAGCACGUCAUGCAUAAGAUACCCAAAUGUAGCUGCUAGGAGUUUUGAAUUAAAACCUAGUGUGUUAAAUUGUCUCCCUACAUUUUAUGGCCUAGAAAAUGAGGAUCCAUAUAAUCAUUUGAAUGAUUUUCAUGCCAUUUGUCAAACAUUCAAAUAUGAGAAUUUUUCAGAUGAUGAUGUUAAACUUAGACUAUUCCCAUUUUCUUUAAAAGAUAGAGCUCGUUCAUGGUUAAAUACUUUACCUGCUAAUAGCAUUUCAUCAUGGGAACAAAUGGUAACGAAAUUUUUGAAUAAAUAUUUCCCAGUGCAUAAAACCAAUGCUAUUCGCAGGGAAAUCUCAGAGUUUACCCAGAGAGAGGACGAGCAAUUUUUCGAAACAUGGGAGCGAUUCAAUGGGCUACUCUUGAAGUGUCCACAUCAUGGGUACGAGAAAUGGCACCAAUGCCAAUACUUUUUGGAGGGAUUACUACCAAAUGUGCAAGAAUGGCUAAUGGCAACAAGUAGAGGAGAGCUAAUGUCAAAAAGUGCAUCAGAAAUUUUCAUGCCAUUUGUCUCAAGGAUUCCAACAGAAUGGACCAGCAGCUCCAGCUCCACCAAUGCAACAAAUUUCUCAAGUUCCUCAAGCCUCUCAGCCACCAUUUAGACCAUACAAUCAGAACCAGAACCACUCUCAACCUAGACCAUGGGAGGAUGCAUUCCAGAAUUUCAGGAAUGUUACUCACUCCACGAUUGAGCAACAGAACCGCACCAUUGAUGGACUACGAAAUGAGUUGAGAGUAGGCUUCAACUCACAAGCUCAAUCGGUUUCAAGCCUCGAGAAGAUGGUGGGACAACUUGCUUCUUCAGUUCAGACCUUGGCAAUGACCGUUGAGAAAGGCAAAUUUCCAAGUCAACCAGUGCCUAAUCCUAAAGGAGUACAUGAAGCAAGUACCAGUUCACCACAGCAGCAUGGAGAGGUCAAAGCAGUAAUGACCUUGCGAAAAGGAAAAGAAGUCGACAACAAAGUGGAGAUGCCGGUGACAAAAGAAAAUCAAAUCGUGCCUGUGAAUGUUGAGGACUCACCACCGGAGGAAAAAGAAGAAACCAACCCACGGGAAUAUGUUCCCAAAGCUCCAUUUCCUCAGAGGUUAGCUAAAGGAAAAAAGGGAAAAUCCACAGGUGAGAUUCUUGAAAUCUUCAAACAGGUAAGUGUUAACAUCCCUUUGCUUGAUGCUAUUAAACAAGUUCCAUCUUAUGCCAAGUUUCUUAAAGACCUUUGUACUAAAAAGAGAAAUAUGCAUGCUCAAAAGAAGGCAUUUUUAACAGAAAACGUUAGUUCUAUACUCCAACAUAAAAUUCCUUUAAAAUGCAAAGACCCAGGCUCCCCCACUAUCUCAUGUAGUAUAGGGAACCACACAAUUGAGAAUGCUUUGUUGGAUUUAGGAGCUAGUGUAAAUUUGUUGCCUUAUUCAGUAUUUGUGAAACUUGGAUUUGGAGAAUUACACCCAACUCCAGUGGUGUUACAGCUUGCAGAUCGGUCCACGAAAAUACCUCGUGGUAUUGUGGAGGACGUGCUUAUCCAGGUAGACAAGUUUUAUUUUCCUGUUGAUUUUAUUGUAAUUGACACUCAACCAAUACAGGAUUCAAGGAAGCACAUCCCCAUUAUUCUAGGCCGACCUUUUUUGGCAACUGCGGAUGCUCACAUUCAAUGCAGGACUGGAAAUAUGCAGUUGUCCUUCGGCAACAUGACUAUGGAGCUGAACAUCUUCAACAUUGCCAAACAACCUCACAGUGUAGAUGAUGGAAUUGUUGAUGUGGAUUUAAUUGAAGCAUUAGUUGAUGAUACUUUUGUUUCAAACCUUAGUGAUGAUCCUUUACAAACAUGUUUAACUCACUUUGGUUUGGAUUUUGAUAUUGACAGAUCGGUUGAUGAGGUCAACGCCCUGCUUGACUCAGCACCAUCCAUGGACACUAAUAAAUGGAAGUCAAGAGUUGAACAACUAGCACCAUCAGAGAAGAAACUCAUCCCAUCAUCAGAAUCACCACCGAAACUCGAGCUCAAACCAUUGCCCAACACAUUGGAAUAUGCAUUUUUGGGAGAAGAAAGUACUCUGCCGGUAAUCAUCUCAUCAUCCCUAAAUGACGAACAAAAAGGUAAGUUGUUGGAUGUUUUAAAAGAGCACAAAGGAGCAUUAGGAUGGACCAUAGCAGACAUUAAAGGUAUAAACCCAGUAGACUGCAUGCAUUACAUUCACCUUGAUGAAAAUGCUAAAUCUACUAGGGAAAUGCAACGUCGGUUAAAUCCUAAUAUGAAAGAAGUUGUUAGAACAGAAGUCCUUAAGCUAUUAGAUGCUGGUAUCAUUUACCCCAUUUCUGAUAAUGAAUUGAUACCCACUAGAGUAACUACAGGAUGGCGUGUAUGCAUUGAUUAUAGAAAGUUGAAUUCUGUCACACGUAAAGACCAUUUUCCUUUACCAUUUAUUGAUCAAAUGCUUGAUAGAUUAGCAGGCCAUGAAUUUUAUUGCUUUCUAGAUGGCUACUCAGGAUAUAAUUAGAUUCCCAUAGCACCAAAAGAUCAAGAGAAAACUACUUUCACUUGCCCUUUUGGCACAUUUGCAUAUAGGAGAAUGCCAUUUGGAUUAUGUAAUGCACCUGCUACAUUUCAACGAUACAUGUUGAGCAUUUUUUCUGAUAUGGUUGAACGAUUCCUUGAAGUCUUUAUGGAUGACUUUUCUGUCUUUGGUGACUCGUUUGAUCAAUGUUUACAUCAUCUAACACUAGUUCUGCAGAGAUGUAUCGAGAAGAACUUGAUCUUAAAUUGGGAGAAAUGCCAUUUUAUGGUAAAACAAGGUAUUGUUCUCGGUCACAUCAUUUCGAGCAAAGGUAUUGAGGUUGACAAAGCCAAGGUGGAUCUCAUUUCUAAUCUUCCUCCACCCAAAACAGUCAGAGAAGUAAGAUCUUUCCUUGGGCAUGCUGGGUUCUAUAGACGUUUCAUUAAAGAUUUUAGCAAAGCUUCUAGACCCUUAUGCAAUUUACUUGCUAAGGAUGUACCUUUUGUCUUUGAUGAUUCAUGUCUUGUUGCGUUUGAAAAAUUAAAGCAUUUGUUGACAUCAUCACCCAUCAUUCAGUCCCCGAACUAGAGUUUACCAUUUGAACUCAUGUGUGAUGCAUCUGAUUAUGCAGUAGGAGCAGUAUUAGGAGAAAGAGUUGAUCGAAUUCCCCACGUUAUUUACUAUGCUAGUCUGACAUUGAAUGAUGCACAGUUGAACUAUUCAACUACUGAAAAAGAAAUGCUAGCAGUAGUGUUUGCAUUAGAGAAAUUUCGAUCUUAUCUCAUUGGUUGUAAAAUAACUAUAUUCACAGAUCAUGCUGCUCUUAAAUAUCUUCUCACAAAGAAAGAUGCAAAAGCUAGACUAAUUCGUUGGGUGUUACUUUUGCAGGAAUUUGACUUGGAAUUCAAAGAUAAAAAAGGGACAGAAAAUGUUGUGGCGGACCACCUCUCUCGUCUCCAUCUUGACACAAUUACAGAGCCAUUAAUAUUGAAUGAGUCAUUUCCAGAUGAACAAUUAAUGAGUGUGGAAGUAUUACCUUGGUAUGCUGAUAUAGUUAAUUAUCUUGUUACAGGUAAACUUCCUGAGCAUUGGACCAAGCAAGACAAGGCAAAAUUCUUUGCAGAGAUAAAGAAUUUCUUUUGGGAUGACCCGUAUUUGUUCAAGUAUUGUGCGGAUCAAAUUGUUAGACGAUGUGUCCCAGAAAGUGAAAUUCAGAAUAUCCUUUCAUUUUGCCAUGAACAAGCUUGUGGAGGCCAUUUCAGUGCUAAGAAAACAGCGACUAAAGUUUUACAAUGUGGUUUCUAUUGGCCAUCUAUAUUUCGAGAUGCUUACACUUUCUGUUCUUCAUGUGAUAGGUGUCAACGAAUGGGAAGCAUUACACGAAGGAACAUGAUGCCACUAAAUCCAAUUUUAGUGGUUGAGAUUUUUGACGUAUGGGGUAUCGACUUCAUGGGACCCUUNNNNNNNNNNNNNNNNNNNNNNNNNNNNNNNNNNNNNNNNNNNNNNNNNNNNNNNNNNNNNNNNNNNNNNNNNNNNNNNNNNNNNNNNNNNNNNNNNNNNNNNNNNNNNNNNNNNNNNNNNNNNNNNNNNNNCGCUUUGGAUUCCCUCGAGCAAUAAUCAGUGAUGGUGGUGCCCACUUUUGUAACAAAGCAUUCAAAGCUCUUUUGACAAAGUAUUCAAUCACACACAAAGUGGCGACCCCGUAUCAUCCGCAAACCAGUGGCCAAGUUGAGAUCUCCAAUCGAGAAAUAAAGCACAUAUUAGAAAAGACAGUGAGGCCAGACAGAAAAGAUUGGUCAUUAAGACUUGAUGAUGCCUUAUGGGCAUAUAGAACGGCUUUCAAGACCCCGAUUGGGAUGUCACCCUACAGGCUAGUGUAUGGAAAAGCUUGCCACCUACCUGUGGAACUCGAGCAUCGUGCAUAUUGGGCCAUCAAGAAAUUCAAUUUUGACAUGCAGCAAGCCAGCUCAGAAAGAAGAUUACAGCUGGCAGAACUUGAAGAAAUUCGCAAUGAUGCAUACGAAAAUGCCAAGAUUUACAAGCAACGAAUGAAAGUCUUCCAUGAUAAGCAAAUUAUGAGGAAAUCGUUCACUCCAGGUCAGAAAGUGCUUUUAUUCAAUUCUCGCUUGCACCUAUUCCCAGGUAAGUUACGCUCUCGUUGGUCUGGUCCCUUUAUUGUUCAUACUGUUUUUCCACAUGGGGUAAUUGAAAUUAAGGACCCAAAGAACGGUGUCACGUUUAAAGUUAAUGGUCAAAGAUUAAAGCCAUAUCUAGAGUACCAACCACAUAACGAAGACACCGAAAUAAAUUUGAGUGACCCACCAAAUUUGAAUUGAUUUUUUUUUCUUUUCGUUGAUUUGAUUUUUCUUUCUUUCUUUUUAUUAUUAUUCUUUUGCUAAUUGAAAUUGUUUUUGCAUAAGUGUGUUUAUUUUACCAUUAAGUUUUCUCUUAUCAUUUUUAAUCAUGAGUCUCAUACUUAGACCGUUCCUCCUGAACAUUCUUAAACCACUUCAACGUGUCAAAACUCAUCUCAAAAGGCAGAUUCAAUUUUGUAAAACACAACGCAUUUGGGCUCUACAACCACCAGAGUUAGUAGCCUAUGUUGAGGGUUUAGAACGCCAACUCAGAGACAUUGAGAGAAGUGUUUACGACAUCCAGUUGGAGCUUGAGGUAAAUUCAAUAAGAGGACGAUUUUAAUUUUCUUUGUGUGUUUUAAUUUGUUUUUCUGUUUGUGUGCUUUAGUUUGUUACCCCGGUGAAGUGGCGGAUAACGGUACUCCGUGACAAUCAAGUCGGUUACUUCAGUUUCCCAUAAUAACUGAUAUUCUGAGGCGAAGGUAUGGACAGAAAUGAGAUUCUAGCAAAGCUUCACAAGCGAUUCCCUUCACUUCCUUAGAAUGCCCUCCUUACGAUCUAUAAAGCUCGGUCCGAACGCAUGCGAUUGCUCAUGAGGAAUAACAUACCUGCUGAUAUCCGUUGGUUAAUUGAGGCGAAAGUACGAUCGACAGGUGAGUUACCUCCAAAAUUUAUUGCAUUCAUGCCUGGUUGUGGUAAAGGAAAUUAUGCAAGAAAACGACGAGCUCGAAGAAUUUCUGUUGCUUGUCAUAAGUGUGCUAGAAUGAGUUGCAAUAAAAACCCAUGUUCUUUAGGAAUGGUGUCUGACAACAGGGAAGAUAAGAUUCAAUUCAUUAGGGAUGGCUUGGAUAAGGAGUCAUUGGAUGAUAUCCUUUUGUCUCUUGAAACGCAUCCCAGUGGAUAUGUGCAAGGAGCAAUUCUCCAGCUAUGGCCAUUAUUCCAGAAAGAGCAUGCACGAUAUAGUCUCGGGAAUCUGACUAUAAACGACCCUGUUUGCCAGUUUAUAAGAAAACUGGAUAGGAAGCCUAUCCUCGACCCAUAGAGGGCGUUCAAGCCGUUUCUGGACGUAAAAUCAGAGGAAGAUGUGAGCCACAGUCGCAACUACCUGUAAAUAUCCUUUUACUUUAUUGUUAUUUUAUUUCACUAUUGUCUUAUUGUUUGCAUUAUUGUCUUUAAUAAUUUUAUUACUGUUUGCUUUUUCCUUUUUACUGUUUUCUUUUUGACUUGCGAGCCACGUGCUUUACGCGUUAUUUGACACUGAUAUAUUACCUCAUACACAACCAUGACCCACUAUCACCAAGACUCUUAAAUGUGAUUUCUUUUUUGUCAAGCACUCACAAAUUGUUUUCGAGAAGUAUCACAAUGGCAGCUACUCCCAAUAGACAAUUUAAGAACAUUUGUGUACUUUCUGGAUUUACCUAUGGCAAACAUAAAGAGUUCGUUGAGGCAGCCAUAGAUCUUGGUCGAAGCAUAGCAGCGAGAAAAUUACACUUGGUGUAUGGAGGAGGUAAUCGAGGGUUAUCAAAAAUGGUAUCAGAAGCAGCUUUUAUCAGAGGAAGUCAAGUGUUAGGCAUCAUCCCAAGAGUCCUAAAACCAUUGGGCAGUUCGUCUGACUCAUCAACUGGAGAAGAGUUAGUCGUCUCAGGUAUGCAAGAAAGAAUAACUGAAAUGCUUAAUUAUGCUGAUGCUUUUAUUUUCCUUCCAGGAGAUCUUGCAACACUGGAGGCACUUAUGACACUAGCAUCUUGGGCCCAUUUACACAUUCACCAGAAACCCAUCGGUUUGUUAAAUGUCAAUAACUUUUAUGAUGGUUUUAUCGCAUUUCUUAACCAUGCAAUAAAAAACUAUUUCAUUCCUUCUAAUGUGAAAAAACUCUUUAUUUGUGCUCACUCUGCUACUGAGCUACUUGAUAUGUUACAAGCUUAUAAACCGGAGCCAAACCCCUGGACCUUUGUGUUGGAGCGACCAAAUAAUGAUGGUAACAGUAGCCGCAGUAAGAAGUACAAAUUAGAUUUAACUCUCCGCCUAUAAAUAUUUUCUUCUGUGUUGCACCACCCAGGUGAUGUCUUCUAAACUCUACUUCUUUCAUUUCAAACAUUGAGGACAAUGUUUCGUUCUGGUUGGGGGGAGGGAAUAGUCGACAAUUGUGGAAUUUUGGUUAAGUUUUUACUAAUUUUUUGUUGUAGAAACUAACUGUUGCUAACUUUUUGUGUUGAAGAUGGCUGAAUAUGGAGUGUAGUUACUCUAGAAACGCAUCUUCAUUGUUUGAAAAAAAAAAUAUUCAAAAAAAAAAUUCAAAAAAAAAACAAUUAGACAUUUUCUUUUUCUUUAUUAAGUUUUGAUGUUUAUUUUUCUUCUUUUUAAUUUCUCCUCUAUGAAUAUACAUUUUCCAACUUUUGAGUCGAAGAUGGCUGAAUAUGGAGUGUAGUGCCUCUAGAAACGCAUCUUCUUAGUAAAAAAAAAAAAAAAACCAUUUUUCGUUUUCUAUCAUUUUAAGUAUAACUUUUCUAAUUAGUUUUUAUGCAUCAUUUUCAUAUCUCUGCAUACAUAUUUUCCUUUCAUGUUUAGAAUAGGUUGGGGGGGAGAAUGUUGUUUAAAAAAAAAAAUUAUGUGAUUUGUUUUAACAUUAGAUGACAUGAUUAAUUUCAAAUUUUAGUAUUUGUAUUAUCUUUGGUCUUAAGUGAUGUUACAUUAUGUUUGCUACUCUACAUGUUGAUGUCGGAGACAAAUAUGCGUUGCUUGAAGGAAUGAACAUGUCAUAAUAAGUACCAAGUGAGUUUUUGAGCCUAUCAUUUUUCUUGGAGAGUAACCCUUUUGCCCAUUCUUUAUACAGCUUAACAGUUUAUUAUUGUAUACACGAUCUCUAGAUUUCUUUUGAGUUAACCCUUAAUAAAAAAAAAGAAAAAAAAAAGUGUGUUGCUACAUUUGGAGGCCCAUCUAACUAGUAGAUAUGGAAGGUUAUUUAGAGCCCUAAAAGACGAUGGAAAGGCCAUCUUUGAUCCGUUUGAGCCUUUCUAGCCAUCCAUUUUAUUAAAUAUCCAUAGUUAACCCUUUUGAGCCUUUAAAAAAAAAAACAUUUUUUUUGUCAACUUAUUAUCUUGACCCACUCCGAUUUGGAGUAUUAUCCGAUAUUUUAUAAGUUCCAUAACCUAUUUAUGUUUGAGAAAAUGUAAAUAAUUAUGUUGUUCAGUGAAGUAUACAAAAAAAAAAACAACAAAACAAAAGUUGUUGUUUCAAAAGAAUAAAAAUAAAAAUAAUAGGUGAAAUCCACCUUGCAACUUCCAAAAAAUAAAAAAAUAAAAAAAUUCUUUGCAUUUUUCUCAAACAUACACUUUGUUUUCCUUAUUUCCUUUCUUUGUUAACCAUGUCCCUAGCCUACGUUACAUCCUAAUAAAAGUCCUUCAUGAUUUUAGGGAACUAUAAUCUGAAGUAGAAGCUAGUUAUAUGGGCUAAAAAGAUGUAGUGGUGCAUAUAAAAAAAAUAAAUAAAUAAAUUGGGUUGACUAACAGUUUUUAUUUGACUUGAGAUCGUAUUAUUUUUAAGCUGAGGGCAUAUUUAUUUCAUCUUGGUGAGAGCAUGUGAUAUCACUUCUUCAUUAUUUUCUCUCAAUUACCAUUCAUUGGAGUGACUAUUUUUAUUGGGUUUAAUUUAUUUGUAAGAGUGUCACUACUUCCAGUGAGAUUUUGGGGUUUGACAUGUCAUUCUUGAAAGUAGUUAUAACAAAGUCUACUGGGCUGAUUCAUGUGGAUGGUUGAUGUGGGUGUGAUGUUGCUUUAGACUAGAGAUAAUGCUUAUACUUUUAUUUGAUUGCUAUCAUUAAUCUGAUUGAAUAAACACAAGUGUUUCUAAAAAAAAAAAAAAUCAUUUUGAAUUUGAAUUUUGUUUUCGCUUUAUUUGCUAGGGACUAGCAAUAAGCUGGUUGGGGGGUGUGUUGAGUGUUAGAAAAUGCAUAUUUAUAAAGGAGAAAACCGUCAUUUUACAUUUCAAGUCUUACUAACAACCCUUACUUUUAUGUAUUUAACAUUCUUGUGAUUUAAUUACGUGUGUUUUAUUUUAAUUAAGUAAUUUAUGUAUUUUAGGGGCAUUAUAGUUAUUUCACAAUAAAGGAGAGAUCAGACAGCAAAACGGACAUCACUUUUGAACUCAGGACGGUCGAAAACCUUAGGAGGAGCAUAAAAGGAAAAAUGACACUAUUCACAUGUACGGUACUAUUCACGUAUACGGGACUGUAUACGUUACUGUUCACGGCACUGUUCACAUAGACGGAUCGAUGACGUGGCAUUGACCGAUGAUGUGGCAUUGACUGAUGAGGUGUCACGAUCCUGUUGGACUAAAAUUCUUAUGUACUGUUGAUGGUGACGUGGCAGCAUAUCAGUGGACGAAAAAUCUCGCGUACGGUGUAUGCAUCACACAGGAUUAUUUUCAACCAAACCGCGUUACUGUUCAUCCGGGUCAAACCGCGUUACUGUUCAAAGUCGGGUCAAACCGUGUUACUGUUCAUCCGCGUGGUCAAACCGUGGACUGUUGACUGAUGACGUGGCGCAAUCCUGAGCGUUCAAACUGUUUUUAAUCCGAUGGCCAUGAUUUACUCCAUGUAUCUAUAAAAAGGGGGCCUCUCCCCCCUAAAUGGAUAUCUCUGAAUCCAUUUUUGGGAUCCAUUUUCUGUAAUUCCCUCUCCAUCUUGUAUUUUCUUCGUAUUUUAAUAAAUUUCCAUUUUGCCCCUAGUUCAAUUAUGAGUGGCUAAUUUUCUUUCAAGCUUGGGUUGAAGGUGAAGUCUCAACAUGUGUCAUGGGCUUAAUUUGGUAAAUUUAUUUUCUCUUCCCCUCUAGUUUUUGUGGAUGUUUUGACUUCUCGUCGACAAAUAAUACUAAUCUUGUCUAAUACUGCCUUGGUUACACCGGCCCUCUAGUACAAGGUUAUUAUUAUUUGGCACGAUAAGCCCUUAGCACCAUAUUGAUUAGAGCGUGGUUCAUGAGGUGUGGAUUCCCCCCUCAUGAUUUAAUUGGCAUUAAUACGGAUUAUUUAGCCCAUGAUGCAUGUUGAUACGGAUCCAGAUACCCAAGUACGUCAUUUCAAUAGAAUUCUUUUCAAUUUAUUCUCACCAUUUCAAUACCAAUUUUAGAAUUUAUUCUCGCCAUUUUAAUUUAAGUUUUAGCAUAUUCCAAUCAUUUCCACCACAAAUCCAAUCACCCAUUCACAAAAAUUAAUUCUACACAAUUAAAAUCCACCUCCUCGUGGGAUCGACACUCGUCACCAUUAAUCUAUACUACAACAGAUUCGUGCGCUUGCGAGUACAUUAAAAUUUGCACAACAUACAUCUAACCACCAUAAAAGUUUAAUAUGUUCUUGACACCACCUUUGUUUUUAAAUUUGUAUCAAUAAACAAUUUUGACCAUUAGAGUUUAAAUAAAAUAAUCAUUUUACCCUUAAACGAAUUAACAAACUAUUUUAUCCUACAAAAUUUUUAAAAAUAAAAAAAUUAUAAUUACCAUUUAAUCAAUUGAUAAAAUACUAUUGAAAAAUUGGAUGUGUGAGUACUAUUUAAUUAAAUGAUAAAAUAUUAUUGAUUUUUUAAAUCCUUUUAACCUAAAGAACAUGCAAUACUCAUCUCAAAUAUUUUUCUUUUUUUUUUCCCAUCAAACGCACAAUCACAAUUAUCAAACAAUUUUGAUCAUUUAAAUUAAUCACCAGGAUCAUAAUAGUCUAAACUAAUUUUGAAUAAUAAAAAAAUAUAAUUACAAAAAUUAUCGUUUAAUUUUUUUUAUAAAAACUAACAUCUUUAAUUUUUAGAUUUAUUUGUUUUAUUAAAUUUAGAGGUAUUUUUGUAAAUAUAAUUUUUUAUUUUUAAAAAUUUUGUAUGAUAAAAUGAUCUUUUAAUUUAUUUAGGGGUAAAAUGAUUAUUGUAUUUAAAUUCUUAGUGUUAAGUGGUUGAUUGAUAUAAGUUUAUAAACAAAGGUGGUAUAAAGAACAUGUAAAAAUUUUAUGGUAGUUAAAUGUACAUAUAACAAAAUAGUGGUGGUGCAGAGACAAUUUUCCUCUUAUUAUUAUUAUUAUUAUUUUUCAUGUCUCAUGUUGAUAACAUAUGUUACAUCACCUAUUUGAUGGUGUUAGCCGAUUUAUUCUUCUUUUUUCUUUUAUGUAAAAUCAUGGGAUAUAUCACAAGAUUUCUUUUUGAAAUAUUAAAUUCUAUAAAUAUAUUUUGUAAUCCAAAAUAUAUUGGGACCCUAUAAAUAAACACUUAUGCACAACUUAGAUUUCUUAUAUCAUAGAAUUUUGAUAAAUUAUUAGCAUUGAGACUAUGAAAUUUAUUAAUUUAGCGAGUAAUAAUUUAAUGAUAAAUUAAUAAACAAAUUAAUAAUUAUUAAUUCACCAAGAUAGCAUCACGUUCACAAUAAAAUUUUUCUUUUUUAUGAAGUAUAGAGAUGGUAUAAUUAGAGAAUACAGUGAUUCUUCAAAUUAUGUGGAACGAUUUUGAUAUGAUCUUAAUUAAGUUGAUGAGAACCAUCAAGGGAAUACCAUUAAAACUUCAAUGGAUCCUUUGCACAUUCAUGGAGGCCCAAUUACAAGAGCAAAAGCCAAAAAGAUGCAAGCUGCUUUAAAUGGAUUAAUUGAGAAAAUAUGGAUUGAAAAUGCAAUUCAAGAUGCAAGACAUCAUGAAUUGGGCUUGAAGAGAAGACAAGGCAUUGUGGGCAUUAUUCAAGUUAUUGGGCAGCCAAAUACACAAUUUGUAUCAAAUGCAAAAAGGUCAAAUUCGAAAUAAAAACUGUAUUGAUUGAGCUAGAAGUAAUGUGAAACCUAUAUAUCGUUGGAAAGAUAAUUAAGUUAGCUUUCCAAUAAAUUUUACAGAGCUAGAUUUGGAGUUAUCUAGAAGGCAUUAUGACCAAUUCAUUACAGCUUGUUCGGACUUGGGAUUUUCAACGACUCCUUUGUUUUUCAACUUCAUUUGUUUGUUUUGUUUCAAGUUUGUCAAUGUGUAAGGUAAGUCUACCAUCAAUGAUGAUGGGCUAACAUUAAGUUUUUCAAUGAUAGCAUUAAUUAUAGUAGGUUAGCAUUAAAUUUGUCAAAAAUAACAUUAAUUAUGGUGGGUUGGUGAAGACUUUUGAAACAUCCUUUGACAAACCUACUUGGAGGGUUGUUCCAAUGUUUUCAUUUGUAUUUUUAGGAUCUUGGGUUUCUUUUAGCCUAUUUAAAUUCAACAACCUUGUAUGUAAGAAUAUUAGAGAUUAAUGUUAUUUGAAUUUGAAAGAUUAUUCUUUCUUUGGUUCUUUUGAGAACUAGUGAACUUAUCAAGAAUUUGCAUUCUUGUGGCGUUCUAAAUUUAGACUUAUCACUCACCUUCUCAUCUAUUUCUUGAGUGUGGCGUCAAUAUCAUUUUCUAUACCUUUGGUUCAUGUUUUUUUAAGCAUUGGGUCAAGGUUUUGUUUGUCAUAAAUCUGUUUAGAACUUUCUUGGGAAGUUAAAACUACAAAUUAAAUGUGGGUUUCAAGGUUUCAUUGUGGGAUUCACAUCAUAAGUGAACCAAUCACUUGAUAAUUCUUUAACUAAAUGGAAGGCUUACAACAUUGCAUCAGUACAAAAAAGAAAAUCGUAAACAUAUUAUAUGUAUUGAAUUUCAAUUUAGUUAAUUAUUAAUUUCUGUCCUAUAGAAAAAUAAGAUUUUUUUUCCAAAGCUUACUUUUUAUUAAUUUAUCGAACUAUUCAGUUACCACAAUGACCCCCAGAUCAAAAUCAACAAAAAAUAUUAUUUACUCAAAGUUAUUAUUUUAUCAAUUGUUAAUUUAAUAAAACUCUACUGUGUUUCUUGAACACUUAUAAUUGAGGGCUUGAGCAGUGUGAGACUACACACCUAGUGCCAUAUAUUUCAUUACUUCUUUACUAUGGAUGUAUGAAAAUUUGAAUUGAAUGCAGUACAAUAUUGUAUAUUAUAUUUUUGGAAAAAGACAUUCUUACAAAAGAUUUCACAACACUUUGUAUAAAAUUGUGUGUUUUAAUAAAACAAAAUUGUAAAACAUUCAUAAAAUUUUAAACAUUAAUCAUUUACAUCCCUAUUUUGAUUCUUGGGUUGAUAAAUGUCAACAAAAAUGGUAUCAGAGCCAAGUUUUAGGUUCAGAAUAUAAAAGUAGAAGAAAUAGUUGUUUAUUUUGUAAUUAAUGGAGGAUAUAAUUUAAUGAUAGAUAGUAAUACAAUUAAGGAUAACAUAACUAAAUAUAGACAAUAUUAUUAUUUAGAACAAAAUAUAUUAGAUGAUAGCAACUAGAACAAUUGUAUUUAUCCAGAGAGCUCAUGAAAUUAGAAUUGGAGAACUCAUAAUAAUAAAGAAUAUAAAUUUCAACAUAGAUCCUAAUCUCCUAUUCACAGUUAGGAGAGAGGUUUAUAGAAAUAAUUGUUCACAUCCACAAUUACAUUGUGAAGGUUGCUUGAUUUGUGAGCAUAAACGAACUGAUUGUGCCAAUACCACAUGACGCCAAAUAACAUUGACCUAUCCUUCUCAUUAGUGAUCCUCAAGUGGUUUUUCAUAUUAUAAACAAUCCAUGCACGAACAUCCAAUGUAAAACAGGUAUGACUUGUGUGUUUCGAAAUAAGGGCUAACCAAAUGCGUUUAUAGUCAACAUAAUCCCCGACUGCAUGGAUAGCAUCCUCUAUGAUAUGCCCACACUGCAUGCAAGUACUAUCAUUAAGCACUUCUCUUCGUGAUAAUUUAGUAUUAUUUUUCAAUCUAUUAUGCAUCAAUAGCCAAAGAAAGCACUGAAUGCUUUGGGGGCCUCUCAAUCUCCAAAUCAAAACCCAAAGGGAAUUAUUUUCAUUUAGCAUCGGUCUAAAGAGGGAUAAAUAAUCUGACCUCACGCUAAACAAACCAGACCGCGAUGGAGCCCAAUAACAACAGUCAACUUCAUUGCUAACAGAAGGGGGCAUAGUGCUUGCUAUUUUGAGAAUUAUAUGGUGGGGUAGAAAAGAAGCAAAACAAUCCCAGUUCCAAGCACCAUUAUUAUCGACAAAAUUAGCUACACACUCAUUUAAUAUGUUUUCAGUGAUUGUACCGGAAGUAUAAGAUUGCAACCAAUGCCCAUCCUCCAGCCAAUAAUCUUUCUAAAAUCUAGUCAACUUCCCAUUCCCAAUUGCCCAGCGAGUCCCUUAGAGAACCUCAUUCCAUAAGUUUCCCGCGAAUUUUCAUAAAGGAGAACUAUAUCAAGUAGGACGUUUUAGAGGAAGGUUUUCUUUAUCAACGCCAUAUUUAAACAUCAAUACUUGAAUUUAGAAGCUGUGGGGUGAUUCCAUAUGACCCCAACCAAUUUUCAUUAGCAAGGCUUUAUUCAUGAGAUUAAGAUCUUUAAGGCCAAGGCCCCUACAGAAAUUAAGGAGUUGUGCUCUAUCCCACUUAAUAAGGUGUGUGCGAUGAGUCUCGUUAAUCUCGUUCUAGAUAAAAUGCUUGUAAAUCUGAUCAAUUUUACUAUGAAUACUUACAGGUAGCAUGCAGGUCUGCAUGGAAUAGGUUGGGAGAGCCAUAAUGAUCGAUUGCGUUAAUGUUAUUUGACCUACAAGAGAAAGAUAAUUGGUUGUCCAGCCUGGAAGUCUUUGUAGUGCUAAUGGUGGUCAAGGAUAAGGUACCAGUUUCAGUGGGAGACAUUGAGUUUACAUGAGAAAUAUGGGAGAUUUCAUAGAGAAUGUAUGAGUUAGUGACAAUGGUAAACAUGAUUAAACGCGCGAACUAACAUAAAAUGAAAUACAAAAACUAAAUGAUAGAGCACAAUUUUUGAAAAAAGUUUAUUCUUCAAUCCACCAUCAAUUAAACAGAAGCAAGCCACUGUCAUUCUAAGUAAAAAAAUAUAACAACAUCACAUACAUAGGAAUAAUUUUUCAAUAUGGGAAUCUUGAACUUUUCAGUAAAAAAAAUCAGUUUACAAUUUUAUAGGUAUGUGAAAAAUAAAGUUUAUAACAUUGUAAAUCAGAUCACCAGCCAGAAUCUGACUCCACCUACAUGGUUUAGUAAUCAACUAUAACAUUGCAUCCAACAAUGGCGUCACCAGAUUUAAAAUCUGGUCGAUGCAUUUGAGCAAUUGCAUAUCCACCAGUCAAUAGGAACUCGCUAGUGUUGCAAUCGAUGGGCAUCUUACGGACAGGAAUAAUCGACCUGUUGUUGCCAAGGAGGCUGAUACAGCUGCCAUUAUUAGGACCAUCAAUGAACACAAAGCUCAUGGACAUGAUGAUAGCUAGUUGAUGCUGACAAGCCGACCCGUAAAGCCCUUGAGCACGACCAACAAGCUUUGAUUGAGGACUAGUAAUUUCUAUCGACGAAUCAUCCACCAAAUCACAACGCAGAAACAAGUUGGUGACUUGUAAGUAUCAGUGGCUUGAGCAAUGCUUUUUGCCACUAUGUUUUUUUUUUGUUGUCUCUUUUGCAAAAUCAAGCCCCGUAGCCAAAGUCUCUCUGAUCGUAUUGCUGUUGCUGCCACCGGGCAAAUGAUGAGCAAUAAAAAAACUGCUUAAAACAUUGUAGUAACUUUAAAACAAGGCAUGAAAUUAAAAGGAAGAGAAUAAAUGAUGCACUUUUGAAGGUAGAAAAGAAGGAUGAUUCAAGAUUCAUUUCAAAUGUUUUUGAAGUGUUUUGAUCAAUGAAUAUCCAAAGGCUGCUUAACUACAAAGGUGAAGUGGGAAGAAAUUUUGACAUUUUGUUACAUUGAGCUAGCCAGCGAAUGUAUAUGAGGGGCUUCACAUGUACACAUAAAAAAGGAAGAUUAAUUACUCGUGGUUUUUUAUUAAGAAAAAAAAAUGGCUUGCUUAAAAUAUAGAGUGUGGUUAAUUUCAUUGAAGGACAUGACUCAAAGGAAAAGAAAAAGAAAUCUAAUAAUAAACUAAACAAAAAAUAAUGCCCAAAACAAUAAAUUUAAUUAAAUGUACAUUGAAAUUACCUUUAUAAUGCAACAAGAUAUUAAAAUCAAUAGUUAACUCUAAAAAAUGAAGCGUAAUUUAUUUAAUACUUAUUUAUGGACUCUUUCAAUUCCAUUAAAGCCACUGCAAGUUGUUUUUCAAUAUUCACUUAGAUAAAUAGAGGCUCAUGCCUUUCUGAUUCUUCCACAUCUCUUUCAAUUCUAAUUAACCCGUUUGUAAUUCUCUUAAGAAAUUAAAAAAUGUCGAAGAGUCUUACUUUCAUCAUUUUGGCUUUGCUUGUAGUGGCAAACACUAAAAACAUGCUUAUUUCAGCCAGUAGAACUGGCCAAGGAUCUAAGCCAGAGGUUUUAUUUUCUAUUAACCCUACAGCAUCACCUGACAUUGUUGAUUGCUCAGGGCUCACAAGUGAAGAGUGUUUGAUCGAGAUGAUUAAGAAAGCACUUGUAGACUAUCGAUACCCCUGCCCUGAGGGGGGGUGCAAAUGAUAUUGUUAAUAAGUUAUUUCUUUUACCUUGUAGGAGUGCUUUUGCAAUAACGAUCAAUUACAGUGAAAUUGAAUUCGUGUUUUUAAUAAAAUAAAACAUUAAUCCAUUAUGCAUAGGUAAUAUUAUGUCAUAUGUUUUUGGUGUGUGUAUCUCCUACUGCUUUGUUAUAGAUGCAUCGUCGAAUCAAUCUUCAAAAAAUCAAUUUCUUUAAAUAAUAGCAAUUAUCAACCAAUCAACAUUACUAUGUUGGUACCAUUUGUAAUAUUUAAAUUUUAAGUCUAUCUACUUUUAGGGUGAGAUUAUUGAUUCCUAAGAAAAAUAAUAAAAUAAACCCUCAUUAUCGAAAUCCUAUAUUACUAAGCUGUCUGAUUUAAUUUAAUGUUAAACUUUAAUUUAACCCCUGAAAAUGUCCAGACUUACCUACAUUUAUUGCUAAGAUAUGAUUUAAAAGUUCAUCAAUGUGCACCUCAUUUAUGCUCAUCUUUUGAAGAACAAAUAGGGUGGAUUGAGAUUUUCAUGCUUUUGGAGGGUAAAUUAAAGAUAGUUAUUAGGAGGGAACGAAUUGAAGUUUGUUUUUAAAUGCAAAGAUGUUUUCUUUUAGUUUAUAUGAGAUAGUUCGUUUGACUUUAAUUUAACAUAUGUUUUUGUAAUUGAAAUAUAGAUACUUCGUUAUUUUUGUUAUUUAGCUAAGUAAUAUAAUAUUAUAUUUAAUUGAUCACUUAAAAAAUGUUUAUGCAUUAAAAGGUUGUUACAAGUGAAUAAAAGUUAUAGAUUUUAUUUUGAAAUUAAAUUCUAAAAAUAAAUUUAAGAGUUAGUGUUUCAUUUUCUGGAUGUAAAUGCCCUUCACCAAUUUCAUUUUAAAAACACACCAAAAUCCAAGUAAUUUUUUUGCUCUCCUCUCUCAACUAAAAUCUUUCUAUCUUAGACUUCACGUGAUGGAGUUCCAACACUAGUUUGAAGUUCGCAAGAGUAGUGAGGUUAUGUUGCCGAGACCAUUUGACUUUGCAAUAUCCUAAGGGACAUUUGCUAAUAUAACCUAAGUACUACUGAGAAAAUGACAAAUCCUUUUUAAGGACAUUGUAACUGCACAUGCCUCAGUUUAGUUUAUGUUCUUCUCUUUCUUAUUGAUCUAUACUAGAGAAAUUAUCUCUACACCAACUCUAUUUUAUCAUAUGUACAUCCAGAUACCACAAAAUUGUAACAUGUUCUUUGUACUACCAUCAUUUCUGAACUUGUAUUAAUCGACUAAUUCAACUUAACUGGGGUCUUCACUUUUAAGGCACUACCGGGGUGGCCAUUGCCCUCAUUGCUUAUGUACCUUAACUUCAUAUAGAUUUUUACUUUUUUUCGAUCCCUUUUUUGGAGCACAAGUAGAUUGUCGAUUAAUGCCAAACGCACAAGAAUGUGGUCAGAUGCCUAGAUUAGGGAAAAAUAAUGAAAUUUAAAGUAAUACACCAGAUUGCUGAUGUAUUAACAUUAUAUUGAAAUUCAAUAUUUGGCUACCAACAAGCACAUAUUAUAUAUAAAGAAUUAAACACGCAAAUAAACAUAAAAUGAAAUACUUAAAUAAAAUGAUAGAGCGCAUGUUUUGGAAAAGUUUAUUCCUCAAUCCACCACUAAUUAAAUAGAAGCAAGUCACUGUCAUUCUAUGUAAACAUACAUAACUAAUCGCCUACUUAGGAAUAAUAUUUUGAUUUGGGAAUCUUGAAUUUUUCAUUAAAAAAUCAGUUUACAAUAUUAUAAGUACGUGAAAAAGAAAGUGUAUCUUGUAUGAGAGUUUUUUGCAUUACCGAUCAAUUGUAAUGAAAUCGAAGCUGCGUUUUAAUAAAAAGAAGAAAUGGAUCACACAUACAUAGUUCAUACUUCUAAAUGUUGGAUUCAAAUUUAUUAAAACACAACACGGGCAAAGUCACUAGCAAAUAAGAAAGAAUAGCAAAGUCAUUCUUAGGGAAUAUAUUGAAUAUCACUCUAGAUAUGUUAGAGUAGUAAACUUCACUCUGUAUUUUAUUAGAAGUAAUAGGACCAUUUGGUCCAUAUAUUGAAGAUGUAUCUACCUACAAAAGCAUAGUUAAUGGCCAACAAUAUCUCAUCUUAACCACACCAGAGAUAUCAUUUACAAUGUAUAAGCUAAAUUAGUAUAUGGCUGCUCCUACACUUCAACAUCUAAUGGCUUGUAAACGAGUGUUAAGGUACUUAAAGGAACUGGAAGAUAUGGAUGAAACUAAUUGGAUUCACAGAUACAAAGUAGGCAUGUGAUUUGGAUGACAAAAAAUCCAUUGGAGUUUACUACAUAUACUUGGGAAACAAUUUAAUACAUGGUCAUCAAAAAAGCAAUCUAUGGUAGCAAGGUCCAGUGCAGAAAGUGAAUAUAGAGCACUUGCAGAAUUAACUUGGUUGCAAUCAUUAUUCAGUGAAAUCGGAAUACAAUGUACAUUAGUUCCAUCAAUUUGGUGUGAUAAUGCAAGUGCCACUGAAUUAUCCAAGAAUCCAAUCUAUCACUCAAGAACUAAACAUAUUGAGUUGGAUAUGCACAUUGUGAGAGGCAAAAUACUUGUAAAAGAACUUGAAAUCAGUUAUAUAACAUGUGCAGAACAAAUUGCCCAAUUAUAUCUUUACAUAUUAAUUUUGCUAGUAUAAUAUCCUUGAGAAUAAUUGAAUCAAAUGAUUUUGUUACUUUGGCAAUAAUUAAAUAAUAUUAGAUUGAAUUGUUGUGUCAUUCGUUUAGCUUAUUUUAACCCUAUGUAAAAUUAGCUUCGGCAAGUAAAAUGAAAUUUACAUUAUUAAAAUCUUUGUUUGUGGUAAUAAAAGUUCACUUGGAAUUUUAUAAUAUCAACUUGAAAUUUAACUCAAAGUAUUGGUAGUUAAGGAUUUCAAUAGAAAUAUUAAAUAGAAACAAGUAGUUAACAAGUUAAAACAAGUUAACCUAUAAUUGAGUAUGUUUAACUAAACUUAGGGGCUAAUUUUACAAAAAGUUAAACAAUAGAAAGUAAAUUUGGCAUUAAACCCAAAUAGUUAAAAUUUUACCAAGUUAUUGGAAAUAGUCAAACAAAAGCAUUGAAAUAAUAGUUGAAACACAUAAGUUAAAAAGGGAUAAAAUAUUAACCAAAUUCUAAUUUUAAAACUCAUCCAAUAAGAAAUGAAUUUACUUAGAAUUUAACAAAAAGUAUUGGUAUUUAAUGAACUUAAUAUGAACAUUAAACGCAUAGCUGGUAGAUUUAUAAGUUAGAAAUAUGUAAACCUAGAAGUAAGAAGGUUUAACCAAAAUUAAGGAAUAAAAAAAAUAAAAAAGUCCAAUUGGUAUUUAACCUAAAUAAUUGCAACCUUACCUAAUCAGUAGGAAUAUUCGACAAAAAGAUAGUGGAAUAAUUAAUUGAACCAUAUGAACCUAGAAGGGAGAAAAUUUAAGCAAAAUUAGGAACUUAUCCAAUGGGAAUAAAUAUUAUUUGGAAUCUAACCCAAAAUUGGUAUUAAAUGAACGUAGUAGGAAUAUAAAACAUAAAACUAGUAAACUACUAAUUAAGUUGAAGUAUGUGGACCUAUAAGUGAGAAAAUUUAACCAAAAUUAGAGACUAGUUUAACCAAAAAUAAAAUUAUAAAAAAUAAAUUUGGUGCUUACCCUCAAUAAUUAGAAUCUUAUUAAGUUAAUAGAAGUAUUCAACACAAAAAUAUGGAAAUUAGUAGUUGAAACUGGAACCCAUAAGAGAGAAAGUUCAAGUAAAAUUUGGAACUCAUCCACCAGAAAUAAAUUUAACUUGGAAUCUAACCAAAAUAUUGGUAUUGAAUGAAUAUAGUAGGAACAUCAAACACAAAACUUGAGGACUAAUAUGUUGAAAUAUGUGAACCAAGAAAUGAGAAAGUUUAACCAAAGUUAGAGCCUAUUCUAACAAAAACAAAAUUAUAAAAAUUAAAGCUAGUAUUUAUUUCAAAUAAUUGAAAUUGUACUAAGUUACUAUGAAUAUUCAACACAAAUGAAAUAAUUAGUUGAGACAAGAACUCGUAAGAGAGAAAAUUUAAGCAAAAUUAGGAAAUCUUUAAAUGAAAAAUAAAAGUUGGAAUAUAACUUAAAUAUUGGUAUCGAAUUUGGUACGAAUAUCAAAUACAAAAUUGAUGGACUAAUAACUUGAAACGUGGGAACCCAUAAGUGAAAAAGCUUAAGCAAAAUUAACGACUAGUCUAAGAAAAUAUAAUUGUUAUAUUUAACCACAGUAAUUGAAAUCUUACUAAAUUAAUGAGAAUACACAAUACAAAAUUAGUGGAAUAAUAGUUGAAAUAUAUAAACCCACAUGAAAUGAAGUUUAACUAAAAUUAUGAGCUCAUCUCAUAGAAAUGAAAGUUGUUUAAAAUCUAACUCAAAAUAUUGGUAUUUAACGACAUUAGUAGGAAUAUAAAACAUGAAAAUAGUGAACUUAAAAGUGAAUAUACGAACCUAUAAGUUUAACCAAAAUAAGUUACUAAUCUAACAAAACUAAAUUUAUAAAAACUAAAAAUUUAGUAUCUAACCUAUAUAAUUGGAAUCUUACAAAGUUAAUGGAAAUACUCAAUACAAAAAUGAUAGAAUAAUUAGUUGAAAUUACUGAGCCUAAAUAGUAGAAAAUAUAACGAAAAUGUGCUUAUCCAAUAGGAAAUGAAUUUACUUAUAUUCUAACCCAAUAUAUUAGUAUUUAAGGAAUUUAAUAGGAACAUCAAAGACAAAGCUAGUGGAUUGAGAAGUGAAAACGAAUAAAUUAGUAAGUGAAAAAGGUUAAAUGAAAUUAGAGAUGUGCGAAAUCAAAUUGUAACAUCCAAUUAAUAUAUCGGUAUUUAACUAAAAGAGUUGGAUAUGAUUAUUUUAUAGAUUUUUAAUAUCAUUUUAAUUAUAAUAUUUUUCUCAUUCAAAUAUUUUUAUGUUAGUUAUUUAUAAAUUUUCUUAUUUUUCAGCAUUAAAAAUAAAUUGUCAAAAAUUAUUUAGAAAACACCAAAAUCACCAGCUGUUCAAGCUGUAAAGCGACUAUGUAAUAGACAACAACUAGAUAAGUUGGAUGAUCCUUCAUUUUAUUCUCCCUUGCAAGCAGCAAUUUUCAUGGGAUUUUACUUUUGGUUGCCACUACUUACUGUGUCAAAUAGUCCAAGGAAAGGAUGGUAAAGAUAGUGUGUGGAUUAGUCAAAUCCACAUGCACCUUUGUUCUCGGCCAAAUAAAUAUCGGCUCCAUUCUCUCUUCUAGUCUUCUUCAUAAUUUUACGUUGUACACUUUUUAUUUUAUUUUUCUACGCUACACACGUUUUUUUUUCUUUUUUUUUCCUCAGUGUUUUUGCAUGUUGAUAAUUGUAUAGUUGCUCUUAGACAAUCACAUUCGCUUGGACAAACUUCUUUUUAUCAUGGAAAAUGAUCUCUACACUGCUCCUAUUUUAUCAUAUGUACAUCUAACCACCACAAAAGUUUAAUAUGUUCUUGACACCACCUUUAUUUUUAAAUUUGUAUCAAUAAACAAUUUUGACAAUUAGAGUUUAAAUGAAAUAAUCAUUUUACCCUUAAACGAAUUAACAAACUAUUUUAUCCUACAAAAUUUUUAAAAAUAAAAAAAUUAUAAUUACCAUUUAAUCAAUUGAUAAAAUACUAUUGAAAAAUUGGAUGUGUGAGUACUAUUUAAUUAAAUGAUAAAAUAUUAUUGAUUUUUUUAAUCCUUUUAACCUAAAGAACAUGCAAUACUCAUCUCAAAUAUUUUUCUUUUUUUUUCCCAUCAAACAUACAAUCACAAUUAUCAAACAAUUUUCAUUAUUUAAAUUAAUCACCAGGAUCAUAAUAGUCUAAACUAAUUUUGAAUAAUAAAAAAAUAUAAUUACAAAAAUUAUCGUUUCAAUUUUUUUUUAAUAAAAACUAACAUCUUUAAUUUUUAGAUUUAUUUGUUUUAUUAAAUUUAGAGGUAUUUUUGUAAAUAUAAUUUUUUUAUUUUUAAAACUUUUGUAUGAUAAAAUGAUCUUUUAAUUUAUUUAGGGGUAAAAUGGUUAUUGUAUUUAAAUUCUUAGUGUUAAGUGGUUUAUUAAUAUAAGUUUAGAAACAAAGGUGGUAUAAAGAACAUGUAAAACUUUUAUGGUAGUUAAAUAUACAUAUAACAAAAUAGAGGCGGUCCAGAGAUAAUUUCCCUCUUAUUAUUAUUAUUAUUAUUAUUAUUAUUAUUAUUUUUCAUGUCUCAUGUUGAUAACAUAUGUUACAUCACCUAUUUGAUGGUGUUAGCCGAUUUGUUCUUCUUUUUUCUUUUCUGUAAAAUUGAUUGACACUAAAAAGUGUACAUUUAAUAAGGAUAAAAUUAUUAGUUUUUCACUUAUUGUGUCGAUUAAUGCAUUCAUUAUUUCUAAAUUAUUUUAAUACUCCCCAAAUAUAUUUUAUGUUAAAUUAAUUCGUAAUUUGUUAAUUUUUAUCUUGUAAAUAUUUUUCAGGAAUAAAUAUGGAAUUGAAAUUGAAAGUGAGAACAAAGAAGAACUACUGGAACACAAUUGAGGAGAUCUAAUAAUAAAAAUAAAUAAAAUAAAAAAUAAAUAAAGAACAAAAAGACAAAAGAGUAAAAGGCAAGCAAAACAUUGGUUGCCUGAGAUGGUCAGGAGGCCAUCACGCCUCCUGGCCAUCACACUUCUCAACAUUUAUUUAAAUUUUAAAAAAUAAAAUAAUAAUAUAAUAAUAAAUUAAAUAAGAAUCAAAAGAAUGAAAAUGAGGCAAUUGUUGCCUAUAAAAGCCGAAGUAUUGGGAAGCUGAAGGGGGAGAGCUAUUUUGAGAGCUUAAGCCGAGAGAGAAUUUGAGAGCUAAAGCUGAGACUGAAGAUUUUCUUUCUUUCUUUGGUUCUUUUCUUUUCUUGUUUCCAUUUGUAUCAAUUUUCUUUGUAAUAUAUUUCAAAAAGUUUAUUAAAUAAGAAGAGUGUUGUGUUUUCUUUCAAUAUGAGUAGCUAAUUUUAUUAAGCUGAUGUGAAGGGUGAAGCUCAAUAUUUCAAACUAUUAAUUAUUAUUAUUUUCUCAAAUGAGUUUUUUUAAUUCUUUUCUAAUUAUUUUUAUAUUAUGUAAUUUAUAAAUCUCACUGGAUUUUAUGGUAUUUUGACAUAAUGUUGACACAUUAAUAUAGUGUGGCACAUUAGGUACUUUAUUCUAUAUUUAUCCACAUACAUAGAAUUAAAUGAUAUAAUAAUUAAUUGAUAAAAGUGAGGCAAAAUAUAAAUGAGAGAGUAUUAAAAUUAUAGUUUGAAUACAGAGAGUGGAUCCUAAACCUUAUCUUAUUUUUAAAUUGAUUUCAAAUAAUUUCUUUUCCCCACAAUUAAUUUUCUUAGUUUUACUAGAUUUAAAAUUUCCUGUGGUUUGACCCCGGUCUCACCAGGUUAUAUUAUAACUAGACACUCUUAUACUUGAGAGUAAUACACUUUUGAGUCGUGUCAAGUUUUUGACGCCGUUACCGGAGAGUUUUCUAAAUUUGGUAUUAGUUUGUCUUUACUUUUAUUUUAAUAUAUUUUUUGUUUUGUCGUUACCAUCUUUCCGUAAUUCUAUUUUAUUCUCUUUUUGUAAAACUUCAGGCGCCCCUCUUCUUUUCAAACCUUAACAUUAUUCAUAAAAUUUUUGACAAACUUCAUCUUAGCCUAGAAACCUUUGCAAAUCAGUUCCCAAAUCAAAUUUAUUUCUUUAAAUUUCUGCAAUUUACUUUCUGCAUUUAUUUUAAAUGGUCGGUUCUACCUCCUGACUGUUAUUUAAAUUUUGUUAAUUUAUGUAUUUUUAUUUAUAUGGUUGGUUCUACCGCCUAGCAUUUUAAUUUCAGUUUAUUUAUUUUUGUGCAUUAAUUAAUUUAAUUUUAUGUUUUAUUAUAUGGCUGGUUUUAAAAUACCGCCUAAACUGUUUCUUUUAAUGGCUGGUUUCACCGCCUAAUUUAUUUAUUUAUUUUUUAGUUUGUUUAUUUUUAUUUCAUAUUUUUUUUUGCUUAUUUGAUUUCCAGUUUAUUUUUAUUUCUGCAAUUUUCAUUUAGCGUUUUUGCAUCAUUAGUUUAGCACACAUCAUUAGCAUUGUAUGCGUUGUUGGUCUUGUACAAAUAGUGGUAGAUUGAUUAGAAAAUCACCUUCACCACCCUUAAAUAUGGCUGACAUAGGAGCUGAAAAUUUUUCGGAGCACGAAAAUGACCAAGCCUUACAAAAUCUUCAUGAACAACCUAGGACCCUUAGAGACUUCAUGCAUCCUACUAGAACAGGGUCACCAUCAUGUAUAUUUUUCCCUCCUGAUGCAUCACGUUUUAAUUUCAAGCCUGGUAUAAUUCAACUUUUGCCUACCUUUCAUGGUUUUGAGUCUCAAAAUCCAUAUUUGCAUUUAAGGGAAUUUGAGGAAGUCUGUAACACCUGUACUGAUCAAAAUUGUAGCAUGAAUAUAAUCAGGCUUAAGUUUUUUCCUUUCUCACUUAAGGAUAAAGCUAAAACUUGGCUAUAAAAUCUUAGGUCAUAAUCCAUCAGAACUUGGGAUGAAAUGCAAGCACAAUUUUUUAAAAAAUUCUUCCCACCCCACAGAACGUUUUGAAAAGACAAAUCACCAUUUUCACUCAAAAAUCAGGAGAAACUUUGUACCAAUGUUGGGAUAGGUUUAAAGAACUACUUAACAUUUGCCCACAUCACGGUUUUGAAACAUGGAGAUUAGUGUCUUAUUUCUACGAGGGAUUAACAUCCCAAGGUAGACAAGUUAUUGAAAUGAUGUGUAAUGGUGAGUUUAGGGACAAAAAUCCUGAAGAUGCAUUAGACUAUCUUGACUAUAUAGCAGAAAAUGCACAACACUGAGAUACAAUUGGUUUUUAUGAGUGAUCAAGUAAACCCCGGUCAUCUCCAUCUGGUGGAGGCAUGCAUAAUCUUAGGGAAGACCAUGAUUUUCAAGCCAAAUUUGCAUCGUUAGCUAGAAAAGUCGAAGCAUUAGAGUCGAAAAAAAAUGAUCAUGUAAAGUCUGUUAAAAAUAUUUAAUGUUAUGUUUGCGAUUCUACUGACCAUUUUACGCAGGACUGCCCAACUUUACCAGCCCUAAGAGAAAGUUUGCAUGAACAAGUAAAUGUUGUUGACAAUUUCAAAAGGCCAAAUCCAAAUCUAUACUCCCAAACUUACAACUCUGGUUGGAGAAACCACCCAAAUUUCAGUUGGAGAAAUGAUAAUCAUGCACAAUCUUCACAACGUGUUUUUGUUCUUUAUUUUUUUUUAUUUUAUUGAUUAUUUAUUAUUACAUCUCUUCAAUUUUGUUCCCGCUUUCAAUUUCAAUUCCAUCUUUAUUCCUAAAAAAUAUUUACAAGAUAAAAAUUAACAAAUUACGAAUUAAUUUAACAUAAAAUAUAUUUGGGAAGUAUUAAAAUAAUUUAGAAAUAAUGAACGCAUUAAUCGACACAAUAAGUGAAAAACUAAUAAUUUUAUCCUUAUUAAAUGUACACUUUUUAGUGUCAAUCACACCCCCCAACCAGCUUAUUGUUAGGCCCUAGCAAUUUAAGCGAUAAAAGUUUAGUAAAAUUUCAAACUCAAAUUGAAAAUCAUUUUUUUUUAAAAUUAUGUUUACUUUUUCCAUCAGAUUAAUGACAACAAUCAAAUAAAAGUAUAAGCAUUAUCUUCAGCCUAAAGAAAAUAACACCCGCUCAAAACAGUUCAGUAACAAGCCACUUUUAAGAAUGAUACAUUAAACCCCAAAAUCUCACAAUUAGGAGUGACUAUCUCAAAAGAAGAUAUACUCCAAAUUAAUUUGUCACUCUAAAAAAAUGGUAAAUUUGAGAGAAUAAUAAAAUAAUAUCACACGCUCUCACCAAGAUAAAAAUUAAUGCCCAAAACUUAGAAAUAAAAUGAUAUCAAAUCCAAUGAAUUACUAGCAAAAUUUAUUUUUAUUUUUACUUAUCACCACAUCUUUUAGUCCAUAUUACCAGUUUUUACUUCAGAUUAUAGUUCUCAAAAAUCGAGAAGGACUUUUAUUAGGACGUAACGUAGGCUAGGGUUAUGGCUAACAAAAAAGGUAAUAGGGAAAAUAAAAAUAAAUCUUUGAAAAAUAGGGGACUUUUUGGAGAUUAUAAGGUGCUCUUUUUUUUUUUUUCAAAGGCUCAAAGGGGUUAACUAUGGAUUCUUUAUAAUAGGGUUGGCUAGAAAGGCUCAAACGGAUCAAAGAUGGCCUUCUGUCAUCUUUUAGGGUUCUAUAUAAUCUUUCAUAUCCACUAGUUCAAUGGACUUUUAUAUGUGGUUGCACAAACUUUUUUUUUUUUAAAUAUUGAUAUCUUGUACAAUAAAUUGUGAAGCUGUAUAGGCAAACAAGGUUACUCUCUAAGGAUAACAGGCUCAAAAACUCGCUUGGUCUUUUUAUAACAUGUACAUUCAUCCAAAUGGCUUAAUCAAUUUCACUCAUUCAAUUUCUCAAUUUACGUUUUAACAUGCAAAGGGAAAAAUAUAGUGUAACAUAACUCAAGGCCAAAGAUAAUACGAAUACUAAAAUUUGAAAAUCAUAAUGUUAUCCAGUAUUGAAAGAUCAUACCAAAAAAUAAAAUAAAUUUUUUUAAGAAAGCACUAAAAAAUUAGGACUAAUUGCAGAAACUUAAGGGAGAUGAUUAAGAGAAAAAGACCGAAAACAAAAAGUUAGAAAAUUUUUUUUUUGGAAGAAAACACAAAAAUUAAGAAGAUGCGAUUCUAGAGACACUACAUUCUAUAUUCUAUCAUCUUCAACUCAAAUUUUUAUCCAAAGUUAGUCUUUACAACAAAAAUUAGUAAAAACAUCACUAGGAAUGAGACAUUCCACAAUUAUCAACUAUUCCCUCUCUCCAACCUGAAGGAGACAUUGUCCUCAAUGCCUAAAGAAAGGAGUAGAGUUUAGAAGAUAUCACCUGGCCAUUGCUGGAAAUAUUUACAAAUGGAGAGUUAAAUCUAAUUUACACUUUUUACGAGAGUUACUGCCAUCGUUAUCAGUUGCCCAAUCCAAUGCCAAAGUUAUGGGAUCUAGCUUUGGUUUGUAAGCUUGCAAAAAGUCAAGCAACUCAUUAGCAGUAUGAGCACAAAUGACGAGUUUUUUUUGCUGAGGAUGGAAUGAAAUAAUUUUUUAUUGUAUGAUUAAGAAAUGUUAUUAAGCCAUCAUAAAAGUUAUUAAUAUUUAACAAACCGAUUGGUUUUUUAUGGAUAUUCAAAUGGGCCCAGGAAGCAAAUGUAAUUAGCGCCUCCAAAGUUGCAAGGUUUGCUGGCAAGAAAAUAAAAGCGUCAGCAUGAUUUAACAUUUCGGAUAUUCUUUCUUGCAUACCUGAGACAACUAACUCUUCUCCAGUUGGUGAGUCUGGUAGCCAUCCUAAAGGUUUUAAGGCUUUUGGAAUGAUGCCUAGCACUUGGCUUCCUCGAACGAAAGCAGCUUCAGAGACAAGCUUUGAUAAUCCUCGGUCACCUCCUCCAUAUACAAGAUGUAGUUUCCUCUCUGCUAUAGCACGACCAAGAUCUACAGCUACUUAAACGAACUCCUUAUACUUUCCAUAGCGAAAUCCAGAAAGCACACAAAUAUUUUUAAGUUGACUGCUUGAAGUUGCUGCCAUUACAAAAAUUCUAAAGAGAAACAAUUUGUGAGUGCUUAAAAAGGAGUUCCUAUUUAAGGAUCUUGGUGACGGACAUAAUGAUGUACAUUUGUAAAUGGGGUGGUGUGUUUGUCAAAUGACGCGUGAAGCUUUUAGCUUAAUAAUUCAAAUGCAAACAGUGAAAAAAAAAGCAAACAAUGAUUAGAUAAAAUAAAAAAAACAAUAAUAAUAAUAAUGAAAAAGAUAAAAGAACAGUAAAAUAAAAGGAUAUUUACUGGUAGUUGUGAUUGUGGCUCACAUCUUCCUCUGGUUUUACGUCCAGUAACGGCUUGAACGCCCUCUAUGGGUCGAGAAUAGGAUUCCCAUCCAGUUUUCUUAUAAAUUGGCAAAUAAGGUCUUUUAGAGUCAGAUUCCCAAGACUAAACUGUGCACUUUCCUUUUGGAACAACUUCCACAAAUUUUGAAUUUCACGUUAAACAUAUAUGCUCGGAUGCGUCUCAAGAGAUCGUAAGAUAUCAUCCAACGAUUCUUUACUCAUGCUAUCCUUAACGAAUUUGAUUUUAUCUUCACGAUUUACAGAAACCAUUCCUAAAGCUUUACAACGUGGAUUUUUGCAAGCAAGUCUUACACAAUGAGAACAUUCAGAGCCAAGUCGCUUAGCUCUUCUUUUUUUAGCAAAUGUACUUUUACCAAAACCAGGCAUGUAGGAACUGAAUGGAUCAGGAAACUCACCUGCCAAUCGGACCUUUGCUUCGAUUAACCACCGAAUGUCAGCAGGAAUCCCAUUGAUCAUUAACAAACGCAGUCAUUCACAACGAGCUUUAUAACUCUUCUUAAGAGUAUUUUGAGGGAGAGAAGGAAAACGUUGAUGCAAAUUUUGUUGUAUUUCUUCCAUGUUUGACAUUGAGGUUUCAGUUAUUGUGGUAAACUGAGAAUACCGACUUAAAAAGUCACGGAGUACUAUUAUCCGCCAUUUAUACAGGAGAGUGAAUCAAAACAAAACAAAUCAAAUCUGCAAAAUCAAAUCAAAAGUGAAAAAUAACAACAAAAUAAAACAAAAACACACAAGGAAUAUAACUCACCUUCGUCCUUUUAUUGAAUCCAGUUCUAAUUGCAGAUUAUAAAUACCAUCAUCUAUUUUCUUGAGUUGUCUUUCUAGAUCUUUCACGUCAGAUACUAACUCUGGUGGUUGCAGAUCCCGAAUGAGAUGUAAUUUACAAAAUCAGAGCAAUUUCCUUAGGUGAAAUUUUACAUGAAAAAGCGUUUUAAAAUGAUCGAAAAUGAAAUUUCUCAUGGAGGUACUCAUGAUAAGUAUAAAAAUUUGGUGAGCUAAAUCACAAUUGUCAAACAACACACAAUUAAAACAAUGCAAUGCACUCCAUUCAAGACAUAGGGAAAAGGGAAAAGAAAAAGAAAUCAAAUAAUUCAAACGAUAAAGUAACAGUAAAUCAAAUUCACAAAACGUUAAAAUGAACAGGCUUAAUCAAAAUUUUGGUGGGUCACUCAAAUGGAAUUCGGUAUCUGCUUUAUGUGGUUGGUAUUCCAGAUAUGGUUUCAAUAUUUGGCCAUUAACUUUAAAUGUGACACCAUCCUUUGGAUUCUCAAUUUCUACGGCUCCAUAUGGAUACACAUUUUUUACAACAAAUGAACCAUUCAACUUUGACUUUAACUUCCCUAGAAAGAAAUGAAGACGAGAAUUAUGAAGCAACACUUUUUGACCAAUUUCAAAUGUUUUCUGAAAAAUUCUUUUGUCAUGAAAAAUUUUGGUUCUUGCCUUAAUAAUUUUGGAAUUAUCAUAUGCAUCAUUCCUUAAUUCCUCAAGUUCAUUUAUUUGCAAUUUACGCACAUUGCCAACAUCAUCAAGAUUUGAAUUAAAAGCUUUAAUGGCCCAAAAUGAUUUAUGUUCAAGUUCUACUGGUAAGUGGCAAGAUUUUCCAUAAACAAGCCGAUAGGAUGACAUUCCUAAAGAUGUUUUAAAAGCAGUACUCUAUGCCCAAAGUGCAUCAAUUAGUCGAAGAGACCAAUCUAUACAGUUUGGAUUAACUGUUUUUUCUAAAAUUUGUUUUAUCUCCCUAUUUGCUAAUUCAACUUGACCACUUGUUUGAGGGUGAUAAAGGGUAGCAACCUUAUGUGUAAUUCCAUAUUUCUUCAUUAAAGACUCAAAUGGCUUAUUACAAAAAUGCUUACCUCCAUCACUGAUAAUGGCUUGAGGUAUUCAAAAUCUGCUCAAAAUAUUUUCUUCUAAAAAGCGGAUCACAAUCUUGUGAUCAUUGUGCCGACAAGGAAUCGUCUCGAUCUAUUUUGAAACAUAAUCAACAGCAACCAAAAUGUAUACAAAUCCAAAUGAUGAUGGGAAAAGACCCAUAAAAUCAAUUCCUCAACAAUUAAAUAUUUCAAUGACAAUGAUGGGGUUUAAAGGCAUCAUGUUCCGCUUUGAAAUAGACCCUAUCAUUUGAUAAUUCUUACACAUUUUACAGAAUGCAUGUGAAUCUUUAAAUAAUGUAGGCCAAUAAAAUCCACACUGCAAUAUUUUGCAGCUAUCUUUUUUGAAGAAAAAUUGCCACCGCGUGCUUCAGAAUGACAAAAUUGAAUGACCCUACUUACCUCGUCGUCUGGUAUGCAUCUUUGAAAAAUUUGAUCGAAGCAGUACUUGAACAGGUAUGGCUCAUCCCAGUAAAAGCUUUUUACUUCAGUUAAGAAUUUCUUCUUGUCUUGGGAACUCCAGUCACAUGGCAUUUCACUUGUUGUAGGAUAAUUAACAAUAUUAGCAUACCAAGGCAUUUUGUUUAUAGAAAACAAAAAUUCAUCAGGGAAAGAAUCAUUGAUGGGUGUUGUUUCAAUUGAAGACUCAUUUGUAAGUCUUGAAAGAUGAUCUGCAACAACAUUUUCAGCGCCCUUUUUGUCUUUGAUUGUCAAAUUAAAUUCUUGAAGUAGCAAAAUCCAUCGUAUUAACCUUGGUUUGGCAUCCUGUUUUGACAUUAAAUAUCUCACAGCAGCAUGAUCAGAAUAAACAACAGUACAUGAACCAAUUAAAUACGAACGAAAUUUAUCCAAUGCAAAUAUUACAGCAAGUAGUUCUUUCUCAGUUGUAGUGUAAUUCAUUUGAGCAGUAUUCAAAGUUCUACUUGCAUAAUAGAUGACAAAGGGCUUACCUUCCUUUCUUUGACCCAGAACAACGCCAAUGGCAUAAUCACUAGCAUCACACAUUAGCUCAAAAGGUAAAGACCAAUCAGGGGGUUGCAUUAUUGGGGCUGAUGUCAAAAAACUAAUUAUCUUUUCACAAGCUUGUUGACAAUCUUUAGUCCAUUCAAAUUGUGUGUCUUUUAUUAGGAGGUUACAAAUUGGUCUAGAUAAGGCACUAAAAUCUUUUAUAAACCUCCUAUAAAAUACUGCAUGUCCUAAAAAAAGGGACUUCUCUAAUUGUCUUUGGUGAGGGUAAUUUUGAAAUGACUUCAACUUUGGCUUUAUCAACUUCGAUUCCUUUUAAAGACACAAUAUGGCCUAAGACAAUUCCAGAAGUGGUCAUGAAAUGACAUUUUUCCCAAUUUAAAACGAGUCCUUUUUCUUUGCACCUUUCCAAAACUUUUUCUAGAUUAUCAAGACAUGUAUCAAAAGAAUUACCAAAUACAGUUAAAUCAUCCAUAAAAACCUCUAGACAAUUUUUAACCAUGUCACUAAAAAUGCUUAGCAUGCACCUUUGAAAUGUUGCAGGAGCAUUACAAAGUCCAAAGGGCAUUCUCCUAAAUGCAAAUGUUCAAAAUGGGCAUGUGGAUGUGGUCUUUUCCUGGUCUUCUAAGGCUAUAGGGAUUUGAUAAUAGCGAGAGUAGCCAUCAAGAAAGCAGUAGUAAGGAUGUCCAGCUACUCUUUCGAGAAUUUGGUCUAGAAAUAGAAGAGGAAAAUGAACUUUUCUAGUGGCAUCAUUUAAUUUUCUGUAAUCAAUGCACAUGCGCCAACUAGAUGGAAUUCGUGUUGGGAUUGAUUCACCUUUUUCAUUUUUUACAACAGUUAGUCCAGAUUGUUUUGGUACUACUUGUGUUGGACUUAUUGAUUUACUAUUAGAGAUAGGGUAGAUAAUUCCUACAUCUAGUAGUUUAAGGACCUCAUUUUUUACCACUUCUUUCAUAUGAGGGUUUAGUCUUCUCUGUGGUUGACGGGUUGUUUUGGCAUUUUCCUCUAAGUGUAUUCGGUGUGUGCAAAUUAAAGGAUUAAUGCCUUUUAUGUCUUUUAAGGUCCAACCAAGUGCAAUUUUAUGCCUUUUUAGUACAGAUAACUUACCCUCUUGAUCAUGUGUGAGUUGAGAAGAAAUUACCACCGGAUAUGUCUGCUGCUCUUCUAGAUAGGCAUACUUCAAUUCUUCUGGUAAGAGCUUUAAUUCGAGCUCUGGUGCUUCCUCUUCGUUUGCUUCUUUAUGUUGUAUUGUAUCUUCAAAGUUCGAUUGGUCAUCGUCACCUAUAGGUACCUGCAUAGAAUCAAGUGUAGGACAUAUGUUAGCAGUAUCAAAAUCUAAUUCCUUACUUGAUUCAACCGAACCAGCAAAAAAAAAAUUUCCGCAGAGUUUGUAAAAUUCUCAUCCUGAAUGUGUUCCUCAAUGAUUGGGUCGAUGAGAUCAAUUUCAUCAUUCUCAUUAUCAUCAUCUUCUUGGUGGUGAGGUUGUUUACACAUGUUGAACACAUUGAGUUCCAGUGUCAUGUGGCCAAAAGAUAAAUUCAUUAAUCCAUUCCUGCAAUUUAUCAAAGCAUUAGCAGUAGCUAAAAAUGGUCGACCCAAUAUAACAGGAAUUUGUUUGCAUUCAUUAGCAAUUGGUUCAAUUUCCAAAAUAAUAAAAUCCACAGGAUAUAUGAAUUUAUCAGCAAGUAAAAGAGUGAUAGAAGUUGGUUUUAACUUACCGAGAUUGAGUUGUUGGUACACUGAGUAAGGAAGUAAAUUAACACUGGCACCAAGAUAAAGUAAAUCAUGUCCAAUUUUAUGAUCCCCAAUAGUGCAAGAAAUAGUUGGACAACCAGGAUCCUUGUAUUUCAAAGCACUAUUGGUUGAGAGAAUGGAACUUACCUGUUCUGCUAGAAAAGCUCUCUUUUGCACCUUAUGUUUCCUUUUCACCGUGCACAGAUCUUUCAGAAAUUUAGCAUAGGACGGCACCUGGUUAAUGACAUCCAGCAGAGGAAUGUUGACCUUUAGUUGUUUAAAAACUUUAUAAAUUUCGGUUUCAUUUCUUUGGCUUGAUCAGUGCUUGAGGAAAUUGGGUUACAAGAGGAGAGUUGAUUAUUUCUUCAUGGGUUAAAGGUUCGACAACCUCUUCUCUAUUUUCUGAAAUUGAAUCUUUACUAGUUUCACGAGGGUCCACAAUGUGUUUUUCAACUACUUUACCGCCACGAAGGGUUAUAACCGAUUUGACUUGACUCAUAUUUUGGUUUCCUGAAUUUCCCAUUUUAGGAUGUUGUUGACUUUUGGGGUUUGGUUUAGGUUGAGUAGGAAACUUUCCUUUUUCAUGUAUGGUCAGAGCAGAUGUAAGUUUGGAGAUAAUUUCUGUCAAAUUGCUUAAGGUUUGCAUCUUUUGGUUAUUGAUUGACUCUUGUUUUUUAAUAAACAAAUACAAUGUGUCUUUCAGAGUUUUUCUUGGUGGUGGGACAUAUGGUGGGUAACUUUGGGAGUUUUGGAAAUUUUGACAUGGAGGGGCUGGUUGUGAAGGUUGUGCAUGAUUGUCAUUUCUGCAACUGAAAUUUGGGUGGUUUCUCCAACUAGAGUUGUAAGUUUGGGAGUAUGAAUUUGGAUUUGGCCUUUUGAAAUUGUCAACGACAUUUACUUGUUCAUGCAGACUUUCUCUCAGGGCUGGUAAAGUUGGACAGUUCUGCGUAGAAUGGUCAGUAGAAUCGCAAACAUAACAUGAAAUAUUUUGAACAGACUUUACAUGAUCAUUCUUUUUCGACUAUAAUGCUUCGACUUUUCUAGCUAAUGGUGCAAAUUUGGCUUGAAAAUCAUGGUCUUCCCUAAGGUUAUGCAUGCCUCCACCAGAUGGAGAUGACUGGGGUUUACUUGAUGACUCAUAAGAACCAACUGUAUCCCAGUGUUAAUAAAAAUUGAAAGCAAUAAAUUAAAUAAAAGUACAAGAACAAAUGAGUAAGAGAGAAGAGAAACAAACACACGAAAUUUUACAUGGUUCGGCAAUCCCCACCUACGUCCAUGCCUCCAAGCGAUCCAAUCUUGAGGAUUUCACUAUCCGAGCCUUUCCAAGGCUUCAACCGUUUACAAUUGACUUCAAGGCGUCAAUGAACCUUUACAACAAAGAGAUUAUCUCCCAAUCUCUUCACUCAAGUGUCUUACACACUCAAACUUUUACAAUUAAGAUGAAGAAAUGGAAGUUACAAUAAAACUCACUCAAAGAGUAGAUAUUCAAAAAUGAAGAACAAGAAAUGAUUCAAUGUUUUGUGAUUUACAAAUUGAAAGCUCAAGAUAUCUCGUGUGCUUUUUGUUUAUGCUUGGUGGAGAGCUUGAAAAUGAGUUGGAUUUGAGUUUAUAUAGUUUAAGCUAAAAAACUAGCCGUUAUGCAUAUUUUGGUCGUAACCGGCUUGCUUGCCAUUUAGGAAUCCGGUAAGCUACUUUUAUGUUACUGUUAAGGCAAAAAUUUGAAUUUCAGAAUAUCCGGCUUGCCGCUUUUCAUAUCCGGCAAGCCGCUUUUGAAAUCCGAAUUGCCGCUAGUGAAAUUCGAUAAGCCAUUUAUGCUCCAGAAGCUUACUGCCAAAAAUCUGGUUUGCCAUUUACCAUAUCCGGUAAGCCGCUUGCUACAGUGACUACUACAAUGAAAUAUUUUCCAAAUUUACAGUUUAACCUAAAAUUUUAUAAAACUAUAUUAUGGCCCAAAAUGUUAUGAAAGUUUACAAAUAGGUCCAAUUUCAUAAUUUUAAAUAAUGCUUUGUCAAUCCCAAAACUUUAUGAAAUUAUGAUUUCGCCCAAACUAUGUAAAAUUAUAGAAUGACCCAAAAAUAUUUAAAUAGUUUCAAAUAGGUCCAAAUCUAACAUUUAAAACAUUAUCAAAGAUUUUAAAAUACUUUCAUUUUAGUCCAAAAUACUUUAAUUCCAUAACAUCAUUUUCUUAUUAUAAAAGCACAAUUCCUAAAUCUUUGCUUCAUCAAUACAUGUGGUUUGUUAUCAUCAAAAUGAAUAUUUAUAGCCAUAUAGGCUAACAGAUUUGUCUUUUGAAAGAAUUUGUUCUGUGGGGUGGGAAGAAUUUUUUCAAAAAUUGUGCUUGCAUUUCAUCCCAAGUUCUGAUGGAUUUUGACCUAAGAUUUUGUAGCCAAGUUUUAGCUUUAUCCUUUAGUGAGAAAGGAAAAAACUUAAGCUUGAUUAUAUUCAUGCUACAAUUUUGAUCAGUACAGAUGUUACAGACUUCCUCAAAGUCCCUUAUAUGCAAAUAUGGAUUUUCAAACUCAAAACCAUGAAAAGUAGGAAGAAAUUAAAUGAUACCAGGUUUGAAAUUAAAACAUGAUGCAUCAGGAGGGAAAACUAUGCAUGAUGGUGACCCUGUUCUAGUAGGAUGCAUGAAAUCUCUAAGGGUCCUAGGUUGGUCAUGAAGAUUUUGCAAGGCUUGAUCAUUUUCGUGCUCCGAAAAAUUUUCAGCUCCUAUGUCAGCCAUAUUUAAGGGUGGUGAUGGUGAUUUUCUAAUUAAUCUACCACUAUUUGUACGAGACCAAUGACGCAUGCAAUGCUAAUGAUGUGUGCUAAACUAAUGAUGCAAAAACGCUAAAUGAAAAUUGCAGAAAUAAAAAUAAACUGGAAAUUAAAUAAGCAAAAAAAAUACGAAAUAAAAAUAAACAAACUGAAAAAUAAAUAAAUAAAUUAGGCGGUGAAACCAGCCAUUAAAAGAAACAGUUUAGGCGGUAUUUUAAAACCAGCCAUAUGAUAAAACAUAAAAUUAAAUAAAUUAAUGCACAAAAAUAAAUAAACUGAAAUUAAAAUGCUAGGCGGUGGAACCGACCAUAUAAAUAAAAAUACAUAAAUUAACAAAAUUUAAAUAACAAUCAAGCGGCAGAACCAACCAUUUAAAAUAAAUGCGAAAAGUAAAUUAAAGAAAUUUAAAUAAAUAAAUUUAAUUUGGGGACUGAUUUGCAAAGGUUUUUGGGCUAAGAUGAAGUUUCUCACAAAUUUUAUAGAUAAUGUUAAGGUUUGAAAAGAAGAGGGGUGCUAACUGAAGUUUUACAAAAAGAGAAUAAAAUAGAAUCACAAAAAGAUUGUAACGACAAAACAAACAAAAAUAAAUUAAAAUAAAAUAAAAAUAAAGUAAAGACAAACAAAUACCAAAUUUAGAAAACUCUCCGGCAACGGCGCCAAAAACUUGACACGACUCAAAAGUAUGUUACUCUCAAGUAUAAGAGCGUCUAGUAAUAAUAUAACCCGGUGAGACCAGGGUCAAACCACAGGGAGUUUUAAAUCUAGUAAAACUAAGAAAAUUAAUUGUGGGGAAAAGAAAUUAUUUGAAAUCAAUUUAAAAAUAAGCUAAGGUUUAGGAUCUACUCUCUGUAUUCAAACUAUAAUUUUAAUACUCUCUCAUUUAUAUUUUGCCUCACUUUUACCAAUUAAUUAUUAUAUCAUUUAAUUCUAUGUGUGUGGAUAAUUAUAGAAUAAAGUACCUAAUGUGCCACACUAUAUUAAUGUGUCGAUAUUAUGUCAAAAUACCAUAAAAUCCAGUGAGAUUUAUAAAUUAACAUGAUAUAAAAAUAAUUAGAAAAGAAUUAAAAAAAACUCAUUUGAGAAAAUAAUAAUAAUUAAUAGUUUGAAACAUUAAGCUUCACUCUUCACCUCAACUUAAUAAAAUUAGCUGCUCAUAUUGAAAGAAAACACAACACUCUUUUUAUUUGAUAAACUUUUUGAAAUAUAUUACAAAGAAAAUUGAUACAAACGGAAAUAAGAAAAGAAAAGAAAAGAAACAAAGAAAGAAAGAAAAUCUUCAGUCUCGGCUUCAGCUCUCAAAUUUUGCUCUCCAGCUUCCCCCCGCUCUUAAAUUUCUCCUCUUUUUUUAUAGGCAACAAUUGCCUUUAACUUUCUUUAUUUUAUUAUUUAUUUAUUAUUUUAUUAUUAUUUUAAAAUAUAUAAGUGUGUUGAAAUGUGUGAUGGUCAGGAGGUGUAAUGGCCUCCUGACCAUCACCAACAUGUUUUUGUUCUUUUGUUCUUUUUUUUAUUGAUUAUUUAUUAUUACAUCUCUUCAAUUUUGUUCCAGUAGCUCUUCUUUGUUCCCGCUUUCAAUUCCAAGUCCAUCUUUAUUCUUGAAAAAUAUUUACAAGAUAAAAAUUAACAAAUUACGAAUUAAUUUAACAUAAAAUAUAUUUGGAGAGUAUUAAAAUAAUUUAGAAAUAAUGAACGCAUUAAUCGACACAAUAAGUGAAAAACUAAUAACUUUUUAUUGUCAAUCACACCCCCAACCAGCUUAUUGUUAGGUCCUAGCAAUUUAAGCAAUAAAAGUUUAGUAAAAUUUCAAACUCAAAUUGAAAAUCACACCCUCUCAAAACAGUUCAGUAAAAUCCUGUAAAAUGAUCAAUCAUCAGAGCUACAUUAAUCAAGCCAAUUUUAAGAAUGAUACAUCAAACCCCAAAAUCUCACGAUUAAGAGUGACUCUCUCAAAAGAAGAUAUACCCCAAAUUAAUUUGUCACUCUAAAAAAAUGGUAAAUUUGAGAGAAUAAUAAAACAAUAUCACACGCUCUCACCAAGAUAAAAAAUAAUGCCCACAACUUAGAAAUAAAAUGAUCUCAAGUCCAAUAAAUUACUAGCAAAAUUUAUUUUUAUUUUUACUCAUCACCACAUCUUUUAGUCCAUAUUACCAGCUUUUAUCUAGAAGAAUACACAUGUAGCUUUGAAGAAUUACAUUAUAAAUGUGAAUUUGAUAAAGUUGAAAAUACCAUAUGCUAUUAUAAUGAUCAAUAUUUUAUAAAGAUACCAGAUCCAUGGGGGAAAACGAUUAUGUUAGAAUAUAACAAUGAAUAAAUUGAUACCCUAAGAAAUAGGAUCAGAUUUGCUCGAAAUAGAAUUACUGAACGGUAUGUUGAAAUAAGAGUUAAGAGACUUUGGUAAAGUCCCCAUAGUUCAGCUUCCAUAAUGGAACAACUACCCAAAUUCAUGUUAAAACCGCAAACCCAUUCCCUACAAUAAUUCCUCACCAAGCCACCAGCAUUAGCCAAUCCCGAUCUCUUUAAAGCCCCAUCAGUAUUGAGCUUGAAGAACGACCACUUUGGGGGCAGCCAAUAGAUCCAUCUUUUAGUUUUUGGAACUCUCUGACUAUCUAAAGACUUUAUAAGCAGCGAUGCUUUUUUCCGUGCAAUUGUUCACAUCCACAAUUGCGUUGUGAAGGCUGCUUGAUUUGUGAGCAUAAACGAACUCAUUGUGCCAAUAUCACAUGCGCCAGACAUGACGUCAAAUAACAUUGACCUAUCCUUCUCAUUAGAGAUCCUCAAGUGGUUUUUCAUAUUAUAAACAAUCCAUGCAUGAACAUCCAAUGUAAAACAGGUAUGACUUGUGUGUUUCGAAAUAAGGGCUAACCAAAUGCACAUAGAGUCAACAUAAUCCCCAACUGCAUGGAGAACAUCCUCUAUGAUAUGCCCACGCCGCAUGCAAGUACUAUCAUUAAGCACAUGUCUUCGCGAUAAUUUAGCAUUAUUUUUCAAUCUAUUAUGCAUCAGCAGCCAAAGAAAGCACUGAAUGCUUUAGGGGCCUCUCCAUCUCCAAAUCAAAACCCAAAGGGAAUUAUUUUCAUUUAGCAUCGGUCUAAAGAGGGAUAAAUAAGCUGACCUCAUGCUAAACGAACCAGACCGCGAUGGACCCCAAUAACAACAGUCAACUUCAUCGCUAACAGAAGGGGGCAUAAUGCUUGCUAUUUUGAGAAUUAUAUGGUGGGGUAGAAAAGAAGCAAAACAAUCCCAGUUCCAAGCACCAUUAUUAUCGAUAAAAUUAGCUACACACUCAUUUAAUAUGUUUUCAGUGAUUGUACCGAAAGUACAAGAUUGCAACCAACGCCCAUCCUCCAGCCAAUAAUCUUUCCAAAAUCUAGCCAACUUCCCAUUCCCAAUAGCCCAGCGAGUCACUUAGAGAACCUCAUUCCAUACGUUUCCCACGAAUUUUCAUAAAGGAGAACUAUAUCAAGUAGGACGUUUUAGAGGAAGGUUUUUUUUAUCAACGCCAUAUUUAAACAUCAAUACUUGAAUCUAGAAGCUGUGGGGUGAUUCAAUAUGACCCUAACCAAUUUUCAUUAGCAAGGCUUUAUUCAUGAGAUUAAGAUCUUUAAGGCCAAGGCCCCCACAUAAAUUAAGGAGUUGUACUCUAUCCCCUUAAUAAGGUGUAUGCGAUGAGUCUCAUCAAUCUCGUUCUAGAUAAAAUGCUUGCAAAUCUGAUCAAUUUUACUACGAAUACUUAGAGGUAGCAUGAAGGUGUGCAUGGAAUAGGUUGGGAGAGCCAUAAUGAUCGACCGUUAAUGUUAUCGGACCUACAAGAGAAAGAUGUUUGGUUGUCCAACCUGGAAGUCUCUGUAGUGCUAAUGGUGGUCAAGGAUAAGGUACCAGUUUCAGUGGGAGACAUUGAGUUUGCAUGAGAAAUCUGGGAGAUUUCAUAGAGAAUGUAUGAGUUAGUAACAAUGGUAAACAUGAUUAAACGCGUGAACUAACAUAAAAUGAAAUACAAAAACUAAAUGAUAAAGCACGAGUUUUGAAAAAAGUUUAUUCUUCAAUCCACCAUCAAUUAAACAGAAGCAAGCCACUGUCAUUCUAAGUAAAAAAACAUAACAAAACCACCUAUAUAGGAAUAAUUUUUCAAUAUAGGAAUCUUGAACUUUUCAUGAAAAAAAUCAGUUUACAAUAUUAUAGGUACGUGAAAAAUAAAGUUUAUAACAUUGUAAAUCAGAUCACCAGCUAGAAUCUAACUCCACCUACAUGGUUUAGUAAACAACUAUAACAUUGCAUCCAACAAUGGCGUCACCAGAUUUAAAAUCCGCUCGAUGCAUUUGAGCAAUUGCAUAUCCACCAAUCAAUAGGAACUUGCCAGUGUCGCCGACGAUGGGCAUCUUACGGACAGGAACAAUCGACCUGUUGUUGCCAAGGAGGCUGAUAUAGCUACCAUUAUUAGGACCAUCAACGAACACAAAGCUCAUGGACAUGAUGAUAGCUAGUUGAUGCUGACAAGCCGACCCGUAAAGCCCUUGAGCACGACCAACAAACUUUGAUUGAGGACUAGUAGUUUCUAUCGACGAAUCAUUUGCCAAAUCACAACGCAGAAACGAGUUGGUGACUUGUAAGUAUCAGUGGCUUGAGCAAUGCUUUUUGCCACUACGUUUUUUUUGUUGUCUCUUUUGCGAAAUCAAGCCCCGUAGCCAAAGUCUCUCUGAUCGUAUUGAUGUUGCUGCCACCGGGCAAAUGAUGAGCAACAAAAAAACUACUUAAAACAUUACAGUAACUUUAAAACAAGGCAUGAAAUUAAAAGGAAGAGAAUAGAUGAUGCACUUUUGAAGGUAGAAAAGAAGGAUGAUUCAAGAUUCAUUUCAAAAUUUUUUGAAGUGUUUUGAUCAGUGAAUAUCCAAAGGUUGCUUAACUACAAAGGUGAAGUGGGAAGAAAUUUUGACAUUUUGUUACAUUGAGCUAGGCAGCGAAUGUAUAUGAGGGGCUUCACUUGUACACAUAAAAAAGGAAGAUUAAUUACUCGUGGUUUUUUAUUAAGAAAAAAAUGGCUUGCUUAAAAUAUAGAGUGUGGUUAAUUUCAUUGAAGGACAUGAUUCAAAGGAAAAGAAAAAGAAAUCUAAUAAUAAACUAAACAAAAAAUAAUGGCAAAAACAAUAUAUUUAAUUAAAUGUACAUUGAAAUUACCUUUAUAAUGCAACAAGAUAUUAAAAUCAAUAGUUUACGUUAAUAAAUGAAGCGUAAUUUAUUUAAUACUUAUUUAUGGACUCUUUCAAUUCCAUUAAAGCCACUGCAAGUCGUUUUUCAAUAUUCACUCAGAUAAAUAGAGGCUCAUGCCUUUCUGAUUCUUCCACAUCUCUUUCAAUUCUAAUUAACCCGUUUGCAAUUCUCUUAAGAAAUUCAAAAAUGUCGAAGAGUCUUACUUUCAUCAUUUUGGCUUUGCUUGUAGUGGCAAACACUAAAAACAUGCUUAUUUCAGCCAGUAGAACUAGCCAAGGAUCUAAGCCAGAGGCUUUAUUUUCUAUUAACCCUAUAGCAUCACCUGACAUUGUUGAUUGCUCAGGGCUCACAAGUGAAGAGUGUUUGAUCGAGUUGAUUAAGAAAGCACUUGUAGACUAUCGAUACCCCUGCCCUGAGGGGGGGUGCAAAUGACAUUGUUAAUAAGUUAUUUCUUUUACCUUGUAAGAGUGCUUUUGCAAUAAUGAUCAAUUACAGUGAAUUUGAAUUUGUGUUUUUAAUAAAAUAAAACAUUAAUCCAUUAUGCAUAGGUAAUAUUAUGUCAUAUGUUUUUGGUGUGUGUAUCUCCUACUGCUUUGUUAUAGAUGCAUCGUCGAAUCAAUCUUCGAGAAAUCAGUUUCUUUAAAUAAUAGCAAUUAUCAACCAAUCAACAUUACUAUGUUGGUACCAUUUGUAAUAUUUAAAUUUUAAGUCUAUCUACUUUUAGGGUGAGAUUAUUGAUUCCUAAGAAAAAUAAUAAAAUAAACCCUCAUUAUCGAAAUCCUAUAUUACUAAGCUGUCCGAUUUAAUUUAAUGUUAAACUUUAAUUUAACCCCUGAAAAUGUCUAGACUUACCUACAUUUAUUGCUAAGAAUAUGAUUUAAAAGUUCAUCAAUGUGCACCUCAUUUAUGCUCAUCUUUUGAAGAACAAAUAGGGUGGAUUGAGAUUUUCAUGCUUUUGGAGGGUAAAUUAAAGAUAGUUAUUAGGAGGGAACGAAUUGAAGUUUGUUUUUAAAUGCAAAGAUGUAUUCUUUUAGUUUAUUUGAGAUAGUUCGUUUGACUUUAAUUUAACAUAUGUUUUUGUAAUUGAAAUAUAGAUACUUCUUUAUUUUUGUUUUUAAGCUGAGUAAUAUAAUAUUUAUAUUUAAUUGAUCACUUAAAAAAUGUUUAUGCAUUAAUAUGUUAAUUUUUCGCGCCUUGGAAGGUAAUAAUUUUUUUUUAUAAAAAAAUAAUGCAAGCAACAGUAAGAAUUAAGAUUAAUCAUAUAAUGAUGCAAACUAUGGACAUACUAAUAAGUUGGUACACGGAAUCUUAAUCAAUGAUGUCUGGUUUCAGCUUUCCUUGUUUUUUCUUUCUUCGGUAAUGCUCUUAAGAUGUUAUGAAUUAAACAAAUAUAUGUUCCCAAUUAUGCACUCUUAUCAUAUAAGGAGCAUCAUAAACAGAGGAAAAACAAUUUCAAGUUUGGUGACCAAAAAGACUUGAAACAAUGCCUAAUGUCUUUGAAAGAAGUAGGGGAUUCAACAUAACUGUGUGGACUGAAUAGAGAAGUAGUAGCAAAUAGAACACUCAACAUAAAAGGCACCGAACAAAAUACAGUUAAAAGGCUGUUACAAGUGAAUAAAAGUUACAGAUUUUAUUUUGAAAUUAAAUUCUAAAAAUAAAUUUAAGAGUUAGUGUUUCAUUUUAUGGAUGUAAAUGCCCUUCUCCAAUUUCAUUUUAAAAACAUACCAAAAUCCAAGUAAUUUUUUUGCUCUCCUCUCUCAACUAAAAUCUUUCUAUCUUAGACUUCACGUGAUGGAGUUCCAACACUAGUUUGAAGUUCGCAAGAGUAGUGAGGUUAUGUUGCCGAGAACAUUUGACUUUAUAAUAUCCUAAGGGACAUUUGCUAAUAUAACCUAAGUACUACUGAGAAAAUGACAAAUCCUUUUUAAGGACAUUGUAACUGCACAUGCCUCAAUUUAAUUUAUGUUCUUCUCUUUCUUAUUGAUCUGUACUAGAGAAAUUAUCUCUACACCAACUCUGUUUUAUCAUAUGUACAUCUAGAUACUACAAAAUUUUAACAUGUUCUUUGCACUACCAUCAUUUCUGAACUUGUAUUAAUCGACUAAUUUGACAAUAAUAAUUAAAAUAAAAUGACCAUUUUACCCCUAAGUGAUCUAAAAGACCAUUUUAUCCCACGAAAUUUUUAAUUAAAAAACUAUGAUUACCAUUUAACUAAUUGAUAAAAUAUUAUUGAAAAAUCAACCUGCGCGUACUAUUUAACUAAUGGAUAAAAUAUUAUUGAUUUUUUCAAUUCUUUUGACCUAAAAAAUGUGUAAUUCCCAUCUUAAAUAUUUUCCUUUUUUUUUUAUCAAUUGUACAGUCACAAUUAUAAGACAAUUUUCAUUUUUUAAAUUAAUCACCAAAAUAACAAUAGUUUGAAUCAAUUUUGAAUAAUAAAAAUUAUAAAUUGGAAAAUGUAUCGAGUAAAAAUUAUAAUUAUAAAAAUUAACAUCGCAGAUUUUGAGAUUUUUUUUAUUAAAAUCAAAGGUAAUCUCAUAACUAUAAUUUUUUUUUUCAAAAAUUUUGUAGGAUAAAAUAGUCUUUCAUUUCAUUCAAGAAUAAAAUGGUCAUUUUAUUUCAUUUCUUAGUGUGAAAGUAGUUCACUGAAAAAACUUUAGAAACAAAGUGGUGAAAGAACAAGUUAAAAAUUUGUGGUAGUUAGAUAUAUGUAUGACAAAACAGUGGUGGUGCAGAGAUAAUUUCCCUUCAUACAAGGUUAUUAAAAAAUUUUGUUUCAAUAAACUCAUGACAAGUGUGUAGCUAGCUUACUAGUAAACUUAGGCACUCUUAGAAAGAUUCUAAAGCAAAAGUAAUGCCUGAAAAAUCUAGAUUUAAGUAAGGCCAUUUGUGACCCUUUUAGUCUUUUCUAAGAACUCAACUGGUAUAUUUUUUCAUACACUAUGGAUUGUUUUAUGUCAUUUAUUAGCAAUAAUUUUCAACAUAUAUUCCCAAACUUUACCAUUUUAUAGCUUGAAGUUCAUAGGGCUUUGGAAUUAGAUCAUUUACAAAAAUCUUUACAAGGUGAUAAUGAUACGGAGAGAAUAUGUAAAUUUUAAGUCAGCCAGUAUGAGGGCGCCUUCAACUUAAUUGGGGUCUUCACUUUUAAGGCACUACCAGGGUGGCCAUUGCCCUCAUUGCUUAUGUACCUUAACUUCAUAUAGAUUUUUACUUUUUUUCGAUCCCUUUUUUGGAGCACAAGUAGAUUGUCGAUUAAUGCCAAACGCACAAGAAUGUGGUCAAAUGCCUAGAUUAGGGAAAAAUAAUGAAAUUUAAAGUAAUACACCAGACUGCUGAUGUAUUAACAUUAUAUUGAAAUUCAAUAUUUGGCUACCAACAAGCACAUAUUAUAUAUAAAGAAUUAAACACACAAAUAAACAUAAAAUGAAAUACUUAAAUAAAAUGAUAGAGUGCAUGUUUUGGAAAAGUUUAUUCCUCAAUCCACCACUAAUUAAAUAGAAGCAAGUCACUGUCAUUCUAUGUAAACAUACAUAACUAAUCGCCUACUUAGGAAUAAUAUUUUGAUUUGGGAAUCUUGAAUUUUUCAUUAAAAAAUCAGUUUACAAUAUUAUAAGUACAUGAAAAAGAAAGUGUAUCUUGUAUGAGAGUUUUUUGCAUUACCGAUCAAUUGCAAUGAAAUCGAAGCUGCGUUUUAAUAAAAAGAAGAAAUGGAUCACACAUACAUAGUUCAUACUUCUAAAUGUUGGAUUAAAAUUUAUUAAAACACAACACGGGCAAAGUCACUAGCAAAUAAGAAAGAAUAGCAAAGUCAUUCUUAGGGAAUAUAUUGAAUAUCACUCUAGAUAUGUUAGAGUAGUAAACUUCACUCUGUAUUUUAUUAGAAGUAAUAGGACCAUUUGGUCCAUAUAUUGAAGAUGUAUCUACCUACAAAAGCAUAGUUAAUGGCCAACAAUAUCUCAUCUUAACCACACCAGAGAUAUCAUUUACAAUGUAUAAGCUAAAUUAGUAUAUGGCUGCUCCUACACUUCAACAACUAAUGGCUUGUAAACGAGUGUUAAGGUACUUAAAGGAACUGGAAGAUAUGGAUGAAACUAAUUGGAUUCACAGAUACAAAGUAGGCAUGUGAUUUGGAUGACAAAAAAUCGAUUGGAGUUUACUACAUAUACUUGGGAAACAAUUUAAUACAUGGUCAUCAAAAAAGCAAUCUAUGGUAGCAAGGUCCAGUGCAGAAAGUGAAUAUAGAGCACUUACAGAAUUAACUUGGUUGCAAUCAUUAUUCAGUGAAAUCGGAAUACAAUGUACAUUAGUUCCAUCAAUUUGGUGUGAUAAUGCAAGUGCCACUGAAUUAUCCAAGAAUCCAAUCUAUCACUCAAGAACUAAACAUAUUGAGUUGGAUAUGCAUGUUGAGUGUUAGAAAAUGCAUAUUUAUAAAGGAGAAAACCGUCAUUUUACAUUUUAAGUCUUACUAACAACCCUUACUUUUAUAUAUUUAACCUUCUUGUGAUUUAAUUACAUGUGUUUUAUUUUAAUUAAGUAUUUUAUGUAUUUUAGGGGCAUUAUAGUCAUUUCACAAUAAAGGAGAGAUCAGACGGCAAAACGGACAUCACUUUUGAACUCAGGACGGUCGAAAACCUUAGGAGGAGCAUAAAAGGAAAAAUGGCACUAUUCACAUGUACGGUACUAUUCACGUGUACGGUACUGUAUACGUUACUGUUCACGACACUGUUCACAUAGACGGAUGAUGACGUGGCAUUGACCGAUGAUGUGGCAUUGACUGAUGAGGUGUCACGAUCCUGUUGGACUAAAAUUCUUAUGUACUGUUGAUGGUGACGUGGCAGCAUAUCAGUGGACGAAAAAUCUCGCGUACGGUGCAUGCAUCACACAGGAUUAUUUUCAACCAAACCGCGUUACUGUUCAUCCGGGUCAAACCGUGUUACUGUUCAUCCACGUGGUCAAACUGUGGACUGUUGACUGAUGACGUGGCGCAAUCCUGAGCGUCUAAACUGUUUUUAAUCCGAUGGCCAUGAUUUACUCCAUGUAUCUAUAAAAAGGGGGCCUCCCCCCCCUAAUUUGAUAUCUCUGAAUCCAUUUUUGGACUCUGUUUUCUGUAAUUCCCUCUCCAUCUUGUAUUUUCUUCGUAUUUUAAUAAAUUCCUAUUUUGCCCCUAGUUCAAUUAUGAGUGGCUAAUUUUCUUUCAAGCUUGGGUUGAAGGUGAAGUCUCAACAUGUGUCAUGGGCUUAAUUUGGUAAAUUUAUUUUCUCUUCCCCUCUAGUUUUUGUGGAUGUUUUGACUUCUCGUCGACAAAUAAUACUAAUCUUGUCUAGUACCGCCUUGGUUUCACCGGCCCUCUAGUAUAAGGUUAUUAUUAUUUGGCACGAUAAGCCCUUAGCACCAUAUUGAUUAGAGCGUGGUUCAUGAGGUGUGGAUUCCCCCCUCAUGAUUUAAUUGGCAUUAAUAAGGAAUAUUUAGCCCAUGAUGCAUGUUGAUGCGGAUCCGAAUACCCAAGUACGUCAUUUCAAUAGAAUUAUCUUCAAUCUAUUCUUGCCAUUGCAAGUCAAAUUUUAGAAUUUAUUAUCGCCAUUUCAAUUCCAAUUUUAGAAUAAUUUAAAUCACUUCCACCACAAUUCCAACCACCCAUUUACAAAAUUAAUUCUACAUAUAAUUAAAAUCCACCUCCUCGUGGGAUCGACACUCGUCACCAUUGAUCUACACUACAAUAGAUUCGUGCGCUUGCGAGUACAUUAAAAUUUGCACAACAAGUUUUUGGCGCCGUUGCCGGGGAGGUAAGUAAUUUUAAUUCAUAGAAUUAAUUUUUGUGAAUAAUUUCUUUUAUUUGUUUUCUUGUAUUUUUUUUAUUAUUAAAAAAAAAAGAAAAAAAAAGUGAAUCUACAUUUAAAGGUUAGUAUUUCUUUUCUU
rnacentral:lncRNA from 1 species